UAUGAGUUAAGUGAAGUGGCAGCGCCAAAUUAUGAUAGCUACAUAUUGGGGUGAAAGUUUGGGAUUAAAUUAUAUAUUAUAGAUGUAAUUUAUUCAUCAAGUGAAAAUCAUGCACCGCCAGAUUUCGUCAUUGAAUUGGAUAAUUAGAUCGGCAUUUGGUUUUUACUUGUAUAUGUGAGUAGGGCUGCUCUCUGUAUUUUGAAGUUGGUGUGCAAGUUGAAACUAACCUGAUGUUGAAUUUUUGCAUGGAUUGAAUUGGAAUUGCAAUUAAUUCAUUGAGAGAAACUUACGACCCACCAGGUUUUUUCAUUGAAUAAGAUAACUACAUCGGCAUUUGAUGUUUUCUUGGAUACGUGAGUAGGACUGUUCUCCAUAUAUUGAAGUUAGUUAUGCAAGUCAAAACCAUUCUGUUCAAGCCUGAUGUUGAGUAAUAUCCAUGGGUUGAAGUCGUGAAUCAAAGCUGAGACUUAGGGUUGACAGUAAUUGCAGCUUUAGCCUGUUUGGACAUAAGGUGAUGAGACUGAGUGGUGUACGUAAAAGAAAAGGAUGUCAACUUUGAGCUAGAGCUGAGUAUUCAUUCCACGUUCUGGGUUUUGGUUGACCUCUAUAUCUUGACUGGUUCCUAGUGAAGACAAAGCCCCAGAGUUACAUUUCACCCACGAUAUUUGAGUUUAUCGAGUUACCACGUCUUAUACUUUCCCUGAAAAACAAAUAUAUGUGUUAAAACAAGGUUGAAAAAAUUAUUUACUGAGUUUUUAUGGGUGCAACUCAUGUUUUGAAACAUUUAAGAUUUUUAGCGGUUAUGUUACUAUCCCGUGGUUGUUUAAGGUACAAGAGACAGUAAAAAAAAAAACAUAGUAUCUUAAUUAGUUAUAAUAAUCCUACAAGUGCACAUGGGGUAAAGUUAUUGUCAACUCAUACUAGCGUGUGAAAUUUAAAGAGGUCUUAGGGUUUUGUGAGUUUUGAAUUCAAGGAACAAAAUAAUAAGUCUAGUGCAUAAUAUUUGAAAACCCUGCUUCAUCGUGUAAAAUGGAUUAAAUUGCUCUAAGGUUUGUCCAAAUUAAAUUGUCUAAACUAUUUUACAGGCUUGUGGGAACAAAUAAAUUUUUUUUCUAGCAACUCCAGAGUCAAUUAAAAGUGGAAAUUUUUUUCCUAAAGCAGCGUUUUGUUGAAGGCAAUAAAGGCCCAGAUAUGGGACACUGCAGGUCAGGAGCGAUACAGAGCAGUAACGACUGCCUAUUAUAUGGGUGCACUUAGAGUGCUCUUUUAGUUUAUGAUGUGACAAAAUCAACAACAUUUGAAAACGUGAGCCGGUGGCUGAAGGAUCUGAGGGACCAUGCAGACUCCACCAUCGUGAUCAUGAUAAUUGGCAACAUCUGAAACACCUCCCAACUUCUAUGUCGAUUUUUCAGUCUCUCGAUGGCUUAUUGUUGAAACAUAUUUUUAUUUAAUUUUUGUUAACAAUGUUGUAUCUGAAUUAUUCUCCUCAAUUGUUGUUGAGAUUUCAGAAUUAUUUUGCUAUGGCUGUGUGCACUAGCCAUGUUUCAGCGUACUUUGUUUUUUUAUAUCCUCAAUUACAAGGCAAUGAAGCUGGCUUUUUACAUUUUCUUUUCUAAUUUGUAUCUAUUUUUUUUAUAAAAUAGGUAUUUUCCUUGUGUGUUUGCAGAGAUCUUAAACAAUUUAUGUUUUUGUAACAGUAACCAAUAUCUUUUAUUAUACAAAUGUCUCUCUCAAUUUUUUAUAUUUUAUCUUUUAUAUAUAUACUGUUUGCACAGUUCUUUCAGCAAAUUUUUUUCUGUGGUUGCACUAUUUCAUUUGUUUCCGCAAAUGAUUUUUUUUAAAAAAAGAAAAAGAAUUAAUUUGUUAACUUGCUAAGAGCCCAUCAAAUUAAAAGAAAUUAUGUUAAUUGUAAUAUUGAUAUGUAGAUUGAUUAUUGGAUGCCAUGCUACAGUACACAAUUUAAAAAUUGAAAUAUUACAAAAGCGCAUAAAUUUUAAUGUGUGAACGAAAUGAAAUUAGUUGUAGUUACAUGAUAAUAGAUACAUAAGAUAUAAUAAGUCUCCUUCUAAUUAGGUGUGAGGAAGAUCUUAUUUUAUUAAAAUGAUGACUAAAUUAAAAGAUAAAAUAUGUGUUUCAAAUUUUUUUUUAAGAUUUGUUCUUAUAUUAAUAAAUUGACAACUUCCUCAUUAGAAAAUAAUUCAAUUGAUCACAGUUCCCACCAGUUAAACCGUUGCAUUUGCAUAAUUUCAAUAUAUUUGCAUUAAUUCAAUCAAUAUUAUUUACUGUCUUACUAGAUAAACAAAAAAGAAAGAAAACAAAACAAAAAAUUUAUUUACCAAAAAAAAAAGUUAUUAAUUACAGAAAAUAAAAUGGAUAUGAUGCAAUUGAUGCACCAUUCUCAAUAUUAUUUACUGUCUUACUAGAUAAACAAAAAAGAAAGAAAACAAAACAAAAAAUUUAUUUACCAAAAAAAAAAGUUAUUAAUUACAGAAAAUAAAAUGGAUAUGAUGCAAUUGAUGCACCAUUCUCAAUAUUCAUACCGGUUAAGUUUAAUACAUAAAUCAAGUAAAUUUCCUUACAAAGCCAACGGUCUUUCCCCCUUUUUUUUAAUGCCACCAAUGGAUGAUAUCCAUUUUAGUCGGUUAACUUUAACUUCUAAGUUGGGUCUAUUGCAUACUCGUACUAGUAAGUACUCUAGGUAAGGGGGUUCAUUGCCUAACCCACUAAGAUUUUGUUGUAUGGAAAAAAUUUAUAAUACAACAGAAGUAAUAUAACUAAUUAAUAUAUGUAUGAUACAUAUAUUUAAAUUUAAUGUAACUAUCACUUAUAUAAUAAUUUUUUUAAAUAAAUACACAUAUAUCAAGACUGACCAAUUAAAAUCUGAAUCAAGACUGUGACUCUAAAUAGGUUGGAAGUAUUGUAGCUUUAGCUAAUCCUGGAGUGAUGUGUUUACACUAAUUCCGGCUUACCUCCUGAAUCUCUAUAUAUACGGCCCUAUCCUAAAGCUUGUUCAUCACUUGCUUUCUGUUUUCUCAGUUCAUUUGCUUCCAUUUGCUUCAUCUUCCUCUUCCACUUGCAUGCUUCUUAAUCCAAUGCAGUGUAUAUAUAAUUAGUAGCAAGUAAAUUAAUUAAUCAGUAGCAAGCAACUCUUUUAAAAGUCAUGCUACCUCUUAUGAACAGAAAGAGAAAGCAAAGAAAUGGAAGUGCGCAGGUUUAAUGUUAAUGGUGGGUACCGAGUUGAGAGAAUCACAACAACUGAUUCUCAUCAAUUCCCACUGGAGAGGCGUACCUAAUCUUUCUACAAGUCAAAAUUUUUUUCUGACUAGCUAUCUUAUCAGGCUGCACAGUACUCAUUUCUACAAGUCAAAAUAAUCAUAGUGCUACAAAUUAAUAAUGUUGUACAAUUAGAUAUGGUGAGAUAUAAUUAAUUGAUUAAAGUAAUAAAAAUAAAAAUAAAUUAUGCUGGUCCUAAUAUAACCAAUUUGAUGAUAUGCCACAUUAGUUUAUAUAUAUAUAUAUAUAUUUUUAUGUAAAAGUGUUUAUAAUUAUAUAACUACUCGUAAAAUUAAAGCAGCUGAUGAAAAGGUUUGCUCAAUCCUCAUAAUAUAUGAUCAUGUUGAGGACCAAAUAAUAAUUUGACACUUUUGAACGAUUAAUUAGCAAUUAGUCAUCCAAGUUCAUGUUUUGCAACUAAAUACACAAUUACACAUAGUUGCAGAACAUGGAAUUAAUAUAGUGCUAUUAUAACAUUGGUAUAAGUGUUGUACUUGGUGUGAACAAUUAUGUAUAGAUCCCACUAUCUUACAUGCAUGUAAAAUAUAUUCUCCUCAUAUGAACAAUGUAUGAGUCCCACAUAUGUACUGUUCAUAUGAGUAGAAUGUAUGUAAGAUAUAGAUUGUCUUAUGUAUAAAUGUAACUUGAGUCAGCAUGCAAAUAUCAAUAGUCAAUCAAUAUCAAUAGCCACGUUCUCGUUCUUCCUUUUUGUACCAACGGCCGCCACAAGCCAAGAGAUAAUGAUCUGGCCCCGACCCGAAUGUUAUGUCCUCGUUUUCUCCACACAACUUCGUACACUAUUUAACAGAAAAAGACAUAAAUUCACUAAAAAUAUUUUAAAGUUUAUAGAAAGGUAAUAUUUUAAAAUUCACUAAAAAUAUCAUAAUCCCAUUUCAUCAAAUGUUCUCGCAAUUGCAACCUCCAGUUUUUGGGAAAUUUAUGAAAAUAACCAUAAAUAUUUUGUUAUUUUCACAUCUAACCCUCUCAAGUUUUUUCUAUCAACAUUAGCCAAACACAAGCCUUUCUCCCCAAAUUACCCUUCUUUACAGACCAAAAGCAACAAUUUUUCUCCCAUAUCGUCAAACCAAACACAGCUUUCCACUCUUGAAUCAUCAACCAACGGCGACGGCAAAAGACAACGGUAAAAGUGAAAUCCGUUUUUGGGAAAUUUCCGAAUCCAACACUAAUCGGCAUCACUUAGUGGUAUGAGUUAUUUUCUGAACUUGCUGAACUGAGUCGUGGGUGAAUCUGGCGACAGGCUGCCUGUCGCACCAAGCCUUGGAGAUUCAUUAAAACUGUAUUAAUUUGAUCCGGAUCCAAAUAAUUUUUUUUUUAUAAUUUCAGGCUUAAUGGAUUCAGUUGUACUUGAAUUGUGUUACGUUGGUUGGUGGGAGACAUUAGAUGAUGGCUGUAUGGAGUAUGUGAAUGGUAAAAAUCGAGCUUUUUUGGUUGGGAAAAAUUGUCUGUUUGAUCAGUUAUUGGCAAGAGUAUACGAGGUGUUACAAAUAAACCCUAAUGAAUAUAGUAUCACAAUGAAGACAACUUUGAGGUCUAGUAACACAUUAUAUCGUAUAUGUGCACUGCCCAUGGAUAUAUUUGAUGAUGAAAUGGUGAGGGUUGUGUUGCAUAUGGCAUCCGACGUAGCCAAUUUUGGAUGCAUUCCUAUAUUCGUGACCACAUCACCUCGAGUUCCGAGUGAAGAUAUUGAGCCACAUGUCGAUACAGAAACUUCGUUUAGAGCAAAUAUGUCUAGCCCCGAUAAUGAUGAAGAGGUGUUGCCAAGGACAAUAUCGCUGCAGCAAUAUUACUCUCCAAUCCACGACAAUUAUGACAACAUUGAUGAUAACGGCAUUACGUUAGAGGAUGUUGGAGCAACGGUAUUUCCAAUAACGACUUCGUUGGAGCAACGGUAUUCUCCGUAUCACAACAAUGAUUUUCGGGAUAAUGAUGAUUUUCAUCAUGAGACAGAGGGGGAUAAUGUUUGUUCAGAACCUUCUAAUAAUACGAGGGGCACUCAUUUCAAUAAUGAUGGUGAUGAUGGAGGAGCCGGUCCUUCGAAUGUUCCGUCGUUUCAGCACGACGAUGAGUGUGAAGACAAUACUCCUGUGAAUAAUAGAGGCAAUAGACCUAGUCUUUUUAUGGUUCGAUCGAGAAGGCGAAUUGACCCCCUUACAAGUCUUGCUCCAACUUUGCCUUCGAACAUGGUUGCUCCAAGCUUUGUUAGCAGUUGUGAUUCAGAUGAUAUCAGUGUGGGUAAGCUAUUUGCUGAGAAGAAUGAGUUUAUAUUACAACUACGCAAGGUUGCCUUUAGAGAUAAGUUUGAUUUCAAGAUUGCACGGUCUACUACGACACGUUUUGAGGCUCACUGUUGUUCAGAAUCAUGUAAAUGGCGUAUUCGAGCAACUAGAUGUUCGAACGAGCAAAAUGUUCCUUGGGUGGUAAAGAGAAUUGACAAUGUACACACUUGUCAUAAUGAGAUAUUGGUUGAUGGACGUCAUCAAGUAAGGAGCCGGGUUGUCGGUCAUAUUAUCGCAGAAAAAUAUAUUCAAGACAAGAGGAUUUAUACUCCGAAUGACAUAAAAACAGAUAUGCAACAGGAAUACGGUGUUCAGUUAACAUACCAGCAGGCAUAUCGGGCGAGAGAAGUUGGUCUUGAAAUAGUUCGAGGCAACCCUGCAGAGUCAUACAACUUGCUCCCUAAAUACUCUCACGUACUAACUACAGCGAAUGAGGGUACAGUCACUCACCUCGAGCAUGAUGGAGAUGGUAAUUUCUUGUACUAUUUUGUAGCACUCGGAUCUUCCAUCAAGGGUUUUAUGCAGUACAUUCGGCCUGUCAUUGCUGUAGAUGGUACUCAUCUGAAGGGACUAUAUCAUGGAAGCAUGUUCGUGGCAACAUGUCUUGAUGGUAACAAUCAAUUGUAUCUGUUAGCCAUUGGGAUCAUGGAUUCAGAAAACAAUGAUGCUUGGGAAUGGUUAUGAUGAAGUUACACGGUGUGAUUGGCGAUAGACCUGAGUUGGUAAUUAUCUCUGAUCGAUGCACUGCCAUAAGGAGAGCCGUUCUUAAAGUAUUUCAUAAUGCAACUCAUGGCGUUUUUUUUUACCACAUCAAAGGUAACAUUAAGUCACAGUUUAGAAUGUCCAAAGCUCUUUGGGAUGAAUUUGAGCCUGCCUUUAUUAAUGCAGCAAAAGCAUAUGGCCACGAGGAAUUUAAGAGACAACUUGAAAGGUUGUGGAUGAUCCACUUGGGUGUGGCUGAUUACCUAGAAAAUAAUGUCGGUACGUGUAAUUGGGCAAGGUCUCAGUUUGAAUGUAGGAGGUACAGCAUACUUACCACCAACAUCGCGGAGAGUGUUAAUUCUUUCAUGCGGGAACCUCGAAAAUUUCUUGUUACUCAUCUUGUUGAUCACUUUAGGAAAACAAUGCAUCAAUGGUUUUAUGAUAGGAAAAUUGUGGCUGAGUCAAUAACUACUCGGCUAACAACAUGGGCAGAUGAAAUAGACACUGAGAGGAGAACUAUAGCUGAAAGAAUGAUAGUUCGGCUGGUGUCUCCGCAUCGAUUUCAAGUUAUAGGCGGUGGGCUUAAGGAAGGUUUGGUUGACUUGCAAAAGAGAACUUGGACCUGCAGAGUGUUUCAGCUUGAUCAGCUUGUAUGUGCUCAUGCAAUUGCGGCGUGUCUAACACACCGGGUGGAUUUUAUUAACCUUUGCUCGGACUUUUACACUACAGAAUCGUUGGCGAUGGCUUAUGCACAACCAGUAGAGCCAGUUGGUGAUGUGGCUGAUUGGGAAGUUCCAGAUGAAAUUCAGGAGAUGCAAGUGUACCCACCAGUUGAGGCACCACCACCUGGCCGUCGCAAAGAGCUCAGAAUACCCUCGGCUGACGAGGAUGUUAACCGGCGGACUGUAAGAUGCGGGCAAUGUCAUGAACUGGGCCAUAAUCGUAAGCGAUGUAAGAAUCCCAUUGCGUCAACUCGAAGUUAGUUGUUUUUGUGUUUCGUUGGUUAAAACUGUAAUUGUUUUUUGUGUAUUGUACACUUAUAUGUCAUAAAAAUUUAUUUUUAUUUUAAAUAUUAAAAUGUGAGCAUUAAAAUUAUAUAAACUUAAGUGUGCAAAUUAAAAUAAAAAUUCAAGUUUCAACAUUCAAAUUACUACAACGGUUUACAAUACAAUAUCGUCAUUAAAUAUGUCAACCGCAAUCUUCUUUCUAAAGUACUCGACAUGACUAGCGUUAAACUCCAAUCCAAGCCCGAACAUUAAAUACAUCGUAACCAUCAAUACAAAAACACCGCAAUCGCCAGUUCCGGGCUCUUGUUGUGGCGCGCUCUUAACUGCAAUAACUUUCCAGGGGUCUGCACUCCGCAACCCGGGUCGGAUGUUGUAGAAGCCAACAUAUUCCAACCAUCGAGGGAAUAUAACUUCAAGUGGCUUGAAUUUCAACUUGUACCUUUUGUCGUCGCGAAAUGUGAGUAAUGAGUCAUAAAUCCAGACUUUAUUUUUCCGCAAGUCAACUCGUGUUAGUACCCAAUGCGCGCCGUCCAAGUUAACAGGGAUGAGUAACUGUAUAUUAAAAUUGAAAAACAUGUUCGUUAUAUAUGAAAUUGAAAUACAAAAAAAAAAGCGACAACUCGAAUAUUUUCAUUAUGGAGUAUGUGAAAUGCAAUAAAAUACAUACCAUAUCGACAUCCGUCAUUGAUUUGGACAUUGUGUGUUGUUGCCCACAAAGAUAACUAUUCAAGCGGUCGUCGAAUACCAAUGAAUCGACCGAACAAUCCCCGUUAUUCCAUAACUGAUUCAAGAACACCUAGUACAUAGAUAACCAAGAAAUGCAUAAAUGAACAAAACUUAAAGGCAAUAAUUAAAAAAAAAUUAAAUAGUAUUUAUAAGUUUUGUCGGCACGUUACCCAAAAAAAUGUGUCAGUAUGUGUGACACGUUGGAGUAAGGCAUUUGGAUACUGUCAUUGUUUCUCGCUAAUCAAGCGUAGAUACUUGUGAAUAUGCUGUAGAGAAACAAAAAUAUUACGAUUUAAAAGAAAAAUUUUGGUGAAACAAAUCCACAACAGUAUACAUAACUUCGGAAAUAUAAAUACCUCAUCGCCUAGCCAUCCCAUCGAAGCUGUACCCAAAAGUAUUUGAAAGAAUGACCGCGGGUGCUGGACUCUCCGACGGACUCUGCUAUCACCAGUGAACCAUUGAUCAAACUCAGCAAACAAACUAGAGUCCUCCAAUCCUCUCAGUGGAUUUACAUCCACACUCGUACUUAUGUCAAUCGCAUGCUCCAUAUUUGGGGUCGAGGUAAAGGCCGGACGUUCUGUCCUCGCCUGACCGGAGGAAUCAUGUAAGGACUGUUAUAAACAUACGACGGUAUGUACGCGUGGCCGAACUUACUAACGCCCGGAGGCACUUCAGUGAACACCUGCACGCUCUCCCCACUAACAUCCCCGUAGAAACUAUACAACGACGUGGGCGUAGACAUAUUUUCAUUGCCCACGUCAGUAUACACUCCAUAGUCAUCUGGGGUCUGUCUAUUCGCCAAGAAGAACAUAUUAAACAACUAUCAAAUUAAAAGUUAAACGAACAUAAUUAUUAAAUUUAAAUUUGCUCACCGCAUACGAGCGUGCAGUGGGAGAAUCCUUAUUUGGAUGUUUAGAAAAUGUGUCGAUGAAGCCAACAACGAUUUCUUUAAAAUCUUUUAAUUCUGACUUUAUUUCAUACACGUUACGAUCAAUCUUAUCCAGCCGUUGUUGUAUGUAAUCAUUAAACUGCUUUGUCCUCGACUAUUACAAAAGAAAAAAUAAAACUUUAGAAUAACAAUAAAAAAUUUAUAAUUUAUAAAGGAAAAAUAUCGUAUAUUAUUUAUAACCUCAGAAUCCCGUGCGUCAUCAGAGUUGUCUAUUUGCUGCUGGUGGUCAUCACCAGCCACCUCAUCCUCAUAAGUGUCAUGACACUGCUCUGGUAUUGGGUUUGGUAUGUCAUCAUGAUCGUCAUGCUCGUCUGAUUGCCUUGUAACCGACGGCAUCGCGUUGAUUGAGGGUUGGUGCUGUAUAAAGUAUCAUUUAAAAUUAGUAAAUGAAAAGUCAAAAUUUUCGAUUAAACAUUUUUUAGUACUUAGAGUAUACCGACCUUAUGAACCCAGUCUGGAAUGCUUGGCAAGUAAUCCUUCACAGAGAGCCAAUAAUUUCUGCUACUCUCCUUUGAAUUUGGCUCAAGAGUUUGUAAAACGUCCCCCUGCCAUAAAUUCAAUUGAAAAUUUUAAGUAGGUAUGCAUAACUUAAAUUUAGUAAAGUAAAAAAAAUAAGUAAUACAUAUUACUUACAAGACGAGAUUCGUCGUUGAAGAACGAAUAAACCUCCGCAAAGUUGAUUCUCGAAGACGCCAUGGGCUUCCAUUGCAGAAUGCGAGGAAUCUUAUUCUUCGUUUUGAUGACCCAUGUUGAUGGCAACCCUCCGAUUGCUUCGUAAAUCCAAGCCUACAACAACCAAAGUGAAAAAUCAAAUAAAACAACUAUCAAAUAUUUAAUACUAUAAAACUUAUUAAUAAACAAAAAAAAACUCACCUGAACCCCAGACGUAAAGCCGUAAAGAUUGUAUUUUUCAAUGUUAUGAUCUGGAUUUUUCAACCGAGUCUUCUUAAAUUUCUCGUCUUUCUCGAACAGUGCAUUGUCAAGACUCUCAUAAAUCAUUUCCCACGACAAUAGACCCUAUAGACGCUUUCGGAAGUACUGUAUAUCAUCAACUUCGUCAAGCCAAUCGAAAUUGAUUUGACAGUGAUUUUUUCUUGCAUUUAGUACUCUGUCCGCAAAAUAAAAUAGCGCAAUCUUUAAUGCGUCCAUAUCGUCCAUUUCCUCGAAUUUCAACUCCUUAAAUACUGCAUCGAAUUGGUUCACAUUAAUCUUACGAUGCACACCACCAAAAUACGUAUUUUGUAGCCUCUGCUCCAUUUCAUCAUUUUUUUGAUUGGUAUCAACACCAAAUGAAAGUCUAGUAACCAAGCACCAUUCGACAAUUGACAAGCGAAUCAAAUGCUCACUAAUUUGAAACCAUAACUGAUCUUCACGACUAUCUUCUUCAUGGACCACUUGCCUCAGUAAAAGAUUGUGCAAAAUUACCCCACUAAAUGGAAAACUUCGACACUCCAAGAAAUGCCCAAAUAUAUCCUUUUUGAACAUACUCAACUGCCGCUUUGUUAAUUUUUCCUCGAUGGCUUUUACGACCGAAGAUAACUUACACAUGCUCGAAAUUCGACCAGGAAAGUGAUCGGCAUAACGAAAAUACAUCUUGCCUACUUCGAUAUCCGGUGAUUCUGAUUUCGCCAUGUAUCUGUAAUAUUUAUAUAAUUAUUACAUUACAUUUACAGAAAAAAAAAUUGACUCUUUAAAAAAAAGGACACUCUAAUUUUUGGUGCGACAGCUGCCCAGCGAUGGGCACGCGCGCGCGUGCCCUACUCCCCUCCCUCCCCACCCCCAAAAUUAAGCCACAACACUCCAAAAUCGAAAAACAAUACUCCCAAACACCACUAACCACCACAAACAUCACCACCACCACCAUUAUUCUCAAGCUAUAACUAUUAUUAUUCUAAAAUCUCAUUUUAAAUUAAUGAAAAUAAGAAAAAUGACUAACCUAGGUUUUGUUUAAGGUUGUAGAUCGUAGAUCGGAUGCCGGUGAGAGAUGGAGCCGCCGCCGACGAGGGUUGAUGUCGCCGCCGAUGAUGGGAGUUGGAUCGGUUUGGGAGAGAUGAGUGAAAGGGAGUGUUGGGGAAGAGAUGAGGGAGGGGUAUUUUGGUCUCAAAAGUUGUUUUAUGGCUAAUGUUGAUAGAAAUAUUUUUGAGGGGUUAAGAUGAAAAACAUCAAAACUUUAAUAGUUAUUACUGUAAAUUUCCCCCAGUUUUUGAACUUGCCGAGAAUAAAUUCUAUACUGUCCAUAAAUAAAUGUUUGUCUCUUCUGUCAUCAUUUGAUCCUUCGAGUUUUUCAAUAUUAAUUUUAAAUAGCAAAAGAAUCUCUUUUGUUUGUUAUGGGAGUGUGACUUGUCGGGCCCAACAAACGGUUUUUUUCCCUCAAAGUUCCAUACUUCUAUUUAUGUCCUAGAUCUUAAACCCCUUAAAGGUCAAAUCAACUCUGGGACCCUUUUUAUCUCAUAUUAAAGUCAUAAACAAUCACCUUAAAUUUAAAGACAGUACCCCAACAUAUUAAAUAAAUUUUAAAUUUAAUAAUUUACAUAAUAAUAUUAAAUAAAAUUCAAUUAUAAUUUAACAAUCAACAAUUUAUAUCAAUUCAACAUAAAUAACAUACAACAACACUAUAAAUUCACAAACAAUAAUUUCAUAAUAUAAAUCAAACAUAAAAAAAAAUUAAAAAAAAUAAAGGUAAACCGAUUUAUUACAAUAUUCUCUAAUUAUUAUUAUUAUUAUUUUAGUAUAUUUUUCAUAGUUAAUGAAAUUAUAGAGUUAAUUAUGCUUAUACAUUUAAAUAAAUAAUUUAAUUUAUAUAAUUUUCAAUUGAAAUUGAAAUUUAAUUAAAUAAAUAAUUAAAUUAUAAAAUAAUGCGGAUCCAGAUAUCCAGUUAUUCGGAUCCGCACGAAUCUUGAUUUUUAAGAUUUGGAUCCAUAUUUUUUAACAUGCAGAUCCAGAGUUUAUUGCCAACCCCAACACUAUUUCAUUUCUGGAAACAGACUUUUAUUUAUUUAUUUUUUAGAAAAAGAAGAAUAAAAAGAAAUACUAUGUCUACUUACUUGGCUCCAAGUAUAAUAUUAAUAAAGAAAUAUAUAUUGAUUAUUUGAUGCCACCUUACAAUGCCAAAUUUAGAGAAAAUUGUUACGAAUAAUUAUUGGAAAAUGAAAUGAAACAAAAAAUUGUUACCUGAUGAAGCACCAUCACAUCCUUGAGCUUUAAGACAAUAAAAGUCGCGUAAAUUGGGGGACCCGCAAAGUCGUCGUGUAAGUUUGCUUUACGUGAUUUGAAUAAGUUUGCUAAUUUCAAAAGAAAUGAAAAAGAAUAAUUGAAAAAUCAAAAUGCACUUCUAUCUUGCCACCACUCGGCACUCACCCUCUCGACUAAAUGUCAUUUUCUUUGAACUUUCAUGGCUUCUAAGCUCCCAUCAAGAAUUAGAAAUUCACAAAUCCAACCUUUAUUAUCUCAGCGAUACAUCCCGAUUCCAAACUUUACCUCAUAAGCGAUUAUUGGUAACAAGCACCAUUUUUGUCAAUUGCAUAUAUAUAUUUGGCUGAACGGUCAAUUCUAUUUUACUUCUGACGUAGCAAGCACGUCCCAUUCCCCACACACCAUUAUCUUGCCACCACUCACCCUCUCGACUAAAUGUGAUUUUCUUUGAACUUUCAUGGCUUCUAAGCUCCCAUCAAGAGUUAGAAAUUCAUAAAUCCAUCCUUUAUUAUCUCAGCAAUACAACCUUUAUAAGCCGUGGGGUCAAUUGCAUAUAUAUAUAUAUAUAGGGCUGAACGGUCAAUUCCAUUUUACUUCUGACGUAACAAGCACGUCCCAUUCCCACACACCACUACUUUUUCACAAGUUUACCAUUUGGCUUUUGAGUCCAGUGGUGCUAAUUUUUGAAGAUACUCUUACUGAACUGAGUGACCAAUUUCUUUUAUGCUAAAUGUAUCCUGUGAUGCAGAAGAAGAAGAAGAGUUGCAUUCUGAAGUCAAUAUGAUGCAAAUAAGCUGCCCUCGCCAUCAUCACCUUCAACCCGCAUCACUUUAAUCCUUCAAGGUAGGGGUGUUCGCGGAUCGGAUUUUACGGAUUGGACAUCAAUCCAUAUCCGAUCCAUGAUUUUGCGGAUUAUAAUUUUUCAAUCCAAUCCAAUCCACGGAUUGAUAAAAUUCAAUCCAAAUCCAAUCAAUACAUCUGCGGAUCGGAUGCGGAUUUGACUCAAUCCGUAUGCAAUCCACCAUUUUACGCAUUAGUUUUCGAAUUAAAAAUUUUUAGUUCUCUCCAACUAAUGAAAUAAAAAAAUCUAAUAUAAAAAUAAUUUUACUACCAAUUAAAUUUAAAAUUGAAUAAAAUUUAAAUAAAUUAAUUGUUUAAAUAAAGCUAAAAUAAUACAUUUAAAGUUUCAAAAUAUAACACAUCGAGAUUAAGUAUUCAAAUAAAACUACAAUAAUACGUUCAAAGUUUCAAAAUAUAACACACCAAGCUUAAUUGUUCAAAUAAAAUUACAAUAAUACGUUAAUAUAACACCGAAAUUAAUUGUUCAAAUAAAGCCACAAUUAAUUGAAAUGACGAAGUUUCGGAAACCAAACACUGUCUGAUCCUUCACCAGGGUUGUUACUAGGGUUGUUGCGCCUGUCGAAAAGUGAUGAUUACGGAGCCAUCCACGAUGGGAACCACGAGAAGUCAUACGGGUGGCGAUCUUGAAGGUUGUGAUAGUGAAAUUGUUCAACUGAAACUAAUGACUGUGAAGUGGCUUGAUGGACUUGGGAAAGAAGAUGGCUUGCUUUCGCCGAAAUCGCGCAGCCGAUGUCCUUUAAAUCCGUGUCGAGAGUGUAUCCAACCAGUAUUGAGUGUUGCUAGUGUGUGUGACGGCGGGGAAGCUUAGGGUUUUUUGUUUGCAAAUUGUUGGUGACUUUGCGUUAUGUUACUUUGCUUUUACUAGUGCGUGUGACUUUAUUUUUAUUUUGUUUUAAAAUUUUUACAAGUUAUAUUUGUAUAUUUGAUUAUUUAAUUAUUUUUCAUUUUAUAUUAUUAUUGGGUAAUGGCUAAGAUAUGUUAUAAUGCUUAGUAACUAUGCAAUGUCACAUUUAUAAUUUUUUAAUUAUAUAUAUAUAUAUAUAUAUAUAUUUUUUUUUUUUUUUUGCGGAUUCACGAAUUUCUGCGAAUUUACAGAAGUAAAUCCAUAUCCAAUCCAUCGACUAUGGAUUUUUAAAUUUUCAAUCCAUAUCCAAUCCACCAAUCCACGAAUCGGAUUUAUACGGAUCAGAUUCAGUCGAUCGGACAUAUUGGAUUCUGAACACCCCUACUUCAAGGCAUAUGCCUACACUUUUCUUACAUUUUUAGUCAUUAUGAGCUAAAUUUUCAGCACAUACAUAAUGUUAUUUCUUUAUAUCAAUAUAUCGAUGUGUCUAAGUUUAAUUAAACUCAAAUUUUAAACUUUUGAAAGUAGAGAUUAAUUGAAAAGUUUUUUUAAAAUAUUAAAAAUUUUAAAAUAUUCACCACUUUUUUAACAAUCUUAUUUUAUUCCUUUAUAGCAUAACUUUAAAAAAAAUUAAUUAUUAAAAUAAUUUUUAGUUUUUAAUAAAAACUCUCAUUAACAAUCAAACAACUAUUAUUAUUUUUUUGUGUGAAAACUUUACCAAAAAAAAAAAAAACUCUACUCAAAUAAGCUCUAUUUGAAAAGUUUUACUGAAUGGAGUCUCAAUAAAGAAAAAAUAACUCAUUUAAUCUUUAAAAGUUCUUUUAAAAAACAAUAAAAAUUUUGAAAAAAUUUUAUGAGAUUAAAUAAGUAUUUAUGAUAAUUAAAUAACUCAUACCAAAUAGGCACAUAAUUAUAAAAUGAUAUACUUUAAUAUUUUUCAUAGUGAUUUGAUAUUUUGUAAUUCUAGUAAUAGUUAGGUGAUAAUAGCUCCUUUUAGAAUUAUAAAAUCAUAUGUUAGCUUUAAUAACAAAUUAGAAUUGACAACAUUGUUGUAAUGUAAAAAACAUUAUUAAAUUUAGUUUCACUAAAAGAAAAUAUCGUAACACACUUGUGAACAGACCGUUUGUAUGCUUAAUUUAAAGAUUCGAAUUAGUUGAGUUAAUUAACCGUUUGUAGACUUUGAGUUAAUAAACCUGAGUUAAUUGAUAAGAGAUGUGAUUUCUAUCCACCCUCCCAGUGCGUUGCGUCAUCCCAGCCCCACUGCAAUGCCUUUGGCCUUUUGCCUUUUGCCUCCCUCCCAAUGCCUUGUUCACUUCAUUUUCAUGAUGCCUAUAAGAACUGCGAGUUAGGCACACACUCCUGAGCAGGUCGGUUUUGUGCAGAAGAAGAAGAGUUGCAUUCCGAGAUCAAUAUGAUGCAUAUAAGCUGCCCCUGCCAUCCUCGACAGAACUUUGAUCCUUCAAGGUUCCCAAGUACACUUUUCUUACAUUUUUAGUUGUUAUGAGCUAAAUUUUCAAUGCAUACUGUUCUUUCUUUCGUUCAUAUGAAGCUUAAUUAGUUUUGUCAACUCUUUUGGCAUUUCUUACUUGACUAUAAACUUAGUUAAGAGCACCCUGUGAUCUGGAGAGUAAGGGCUAGAACUUGAUGGCGCCAUGUUAGACUAGUGUAUGAGGCUUGUUCAUGCAGUAAUAAUUGGUCUUGAUGCAGGCAAUUUUUUUUUUUUUUAAGCUAAAGAAAGUUAAGUUUUAGAAGAUCAUUACUUCUUUAAACCCAGUAAGCGUAUAAGUUUCUCUUCUUUUGGGUUUUGUAGAAUUAUUCAUUUUCUCCUUAAUUCCCUUUAUCAUGCUCUACCAUAACUGAGAAACAUGGCAGCAGCGGCGGGUCUACAGGUGGGCUACAACGGGCUGUAGCCCGUUCUUGAUUAGGAAAAACUUAUUUAUAUCCCUUAUAUUUUCAUCAAUUUUAUAUAAUAAUAUAGUUUUUAUUUUCUUUCAUGUAUGUCCCUAACUCAAUUACCCUUAUAUUUUCAUCAAUUUUAUAUUAUAGUAGAACUUUUAUUUUAUUUUCAAAUAUGUCCUUAAUCCAAUUAUAUUUUUUCCAUUUGAAAUUAGUUACUUAUUUAUAAAAUGAUUAAAUUGUACAUUUAUUGAAUAUAUUGAAAACAUUAGGGGGCCAAAUGUUGCUACUGCUUUAUUUUAAAAUAUUCUAAUUGAAAAAAAAUAUGUCAAUCUAAUAUAAAAUUUUCACUAAUAUUAUAAGUACUUACAAAAACAACAUGUAAUAGCAAUUAUCAACAUUUUCAUAAACUUUUUAUGUGAAUUUUGAGAUUUCAUUUAAUAGUAAGUUAGAAAAUAAAAUUUGAGUAUUUUGAGAAGUUUUUCAUAAAAGAAUCAUCAGCAUAUGAUUCUUCAAAGAGAGUCAGAGCACUUACCAAAGAAACAACGGCAUUUAAAUACAUUUUUAUUAGAUGAGUUUAGUUUAUUAUUGAAAUUUUUGACUAACAAUAUAUUUAUAAUUUUAAAAGAUGAAUAAAUUUUUUAGUUGUUUAAUUUAUUUAAGCCUACUAAUUAAGUACUUGACUUCAAACAUUAAAGUUUUACUUGCGAGUUUUAGUUGAUUGUAAUUACAUGCAUUGCUUUAAUUUUAGCUUAAAAUUCUUAAUUGAUUUAUUAAUCGUUAUAUAAUUAUAUUUUAUUGAAGGUUGCAAUGUCGGAUUCCAUAAUUGAAAAAUUGGGUUUUCAUAUUUGAAUUACCUUUUGUUUUCUACUCUUUUUUUAUAAGUAUUUUCAUUUCGAGUACGUAUUUAUAAGAAUAAUGUUCUUCAUGUCCCUCUUAUUUGAUGCACUUCUUCCUACUUAUGAAUUUUUAUAAUCACUUCAAAAUAUUAUUUUUUUAAUUUAGCCCAAGAUAAUAUAAAUUCUUGGGUCUGCCCUGCAUGGCAGAGCAUGAUGAAUAUUAUUAUUUAAUAAUAAUAAUCAUACCAACAGAAAGAAUGAUUCAUAGAUGAUCAAUCAACAUUACUUAAUCAAGAAAUAACACAAGAACAUCAAGAUUGAGUCAAAGAGACAAGAUUAAACACGGCAAAAAUGAUCAAUUACAAAAAAGCUCACACAACAGGACACAACAUAAACAGGAAAAUUAAUUGACCUCACUCUUCUUAAAAUGAGUGUAUCUUAAAAAAAAAAUGGAAUUACAUAUCAUCUAAACAAAAAAUCCUGCAGUUACUCAACAUAUCAAAUUAGAGUCCACACAAUCACUCAAUGCAAAUUAUUUACACCACAAUGUUUUGACUUUUAUUUACGUAAGUUAUUUCAGAGCUGAACUUGAUCAAAUUAGGAGUUAGAGAGUUUCGAAUAUUGACUCAUUAUAUUGUAAAGUUCGUAAAUAUGUCUAUUGGGCUGGGUGUUUUUCUCAUAUAUAGGAAGCUUUCCUUUUGAUUGUUAAAAUUAAUUCGAUGGUUUUGCAGCGAUAACAAUUUCAUUUCCUCAAUUCCAUACCCACAAGUUUUUGGAUAUCUCAUCCCGACUUUAGCCACUAUUAUGGGUGCAUAUGUACAAGGCACAACUAAGUCAUUGAUGGAAACUCAUAGAGUAAGCUUGUGUGUUUCUCUGGUGGCCAUAAUCGUCCACUACAUUGCGUUUGCUGCCGAUAAGAUGCCUCGACGCCAUCAAGCAAACUUUUCACAAUUAUGGGGCCUCAUCGCCAUUGUCUUUGGAUCUCUUUCAGCAGUGUCGUUGAUCUCCACAUUUUUCACGCAGUCAGUUGCUGAAAUCAUUUGCUACGUUGCAUUGAGUUGCACUGCUAUUAUCAUAGUUGUGUACCAAUAUGUCAGAAAGCUUAUGGAUGCUUGUCAUUGGCUUUACCACGAAAUUUUGAGGCCAUUUUUCAGCAAGAUCUUGAAUUGGUUUCAAGCUCAUUGUUACAACUUCUCUUCGACGGAACAGCCGCAACGCCCCACAGUGUAAUUGAAGAAGUUUAAUAUUUAUUUUAAAAUUUCAUCCAAGAUACUUUACAGAGAGAUUCCACUUAUGUUUCCAAAUUUCAAUAGAUCAAAAUAUAUACUCAAUAAUAUAUAGUUUUUCAUUCAAUAAUAUACAAUUUAUUUGAUAAUUUUUUAAGAUAGUUAAAUACAUUGAAUUAAAUUCUAAGAGUAAAUAUGUAUGUUGUAUAUCUGAUGUAAAAAAAAUAUAUUCUUAGUUUGCCAAUAAAAUUGGAACAGGUCUCACUGUAUUUGUUCCCUAAUUUCAUGAAUUUUAGCUCUCACUCUCAUUCAAUGGAUCAAAAUAUACACUCAAUAAUAUAUGGUUUGUCAUUCACUAAUAUAUAGUUUUUGAUAGUGCAUUCGUAUUAGAUUUUUAUAUGCAUUGUUUUAUUGUUAUUAUAAAAUAUAAAUAUCUGUAUUGUUUGUGUUUUUUUGACGAAUUAGAGACUUGAUAUCAACUGUAAAGGGAGAGUAGUAGAUUAUUUGGGUGACAAGAAAAGUCCACAUAUUUAUUGUUUGUGUUUGGGGUAAGGGCUUCGUUUCUACCCUGAACAUUGGCUCUAAGGAUAUCCAUGAAUGACAUUUAAAAUAAAAUAAAAAAGAAUUAAAAAUAAGAAAGAUGUGUUUUGAUGUGAAUAAAAAAUUAAUAACAUAUUUUUCUUGUAUCGUUGUUAUUUUAUAAAUUUUUUUAUUAUAAAUUUAUGAAAUAAUAAAAGAAUACAAGAAAAAUAUGUUAUUAAUUUUUUAUUCACAUCAAAAAAUAUUUUUAUUUUUAAUACUAUAAUUUUUAUUUUUAUUUAUAUAAUUUAUAAAUAAAUAUAUAUUAAAAAUAUUGUUAAGAGUUAUUAACUAUUAUAAAAGUAAUAAGAAGUAAGUAAAUACAAUCUUUCAAAAGAAAAUUUUAACAUUUACUAUUUGAUAAUUUUUCAGGAUAGUUAAAUUCAUUGACUUAAACUCAUAAAUUCUGCUAGUCACUAUAUCCACCGCAAUCUCAUUUUUAAAAGAAAAAAAAGUUUAAUUACCAAUAAAAUUGGAAAAUGUGUCAUGCCGUUAUUAAUGUCGAAAACUUUUGACUAUAUUAACGUACUUAACUAAUUAUACAUCUAAAUGUGAAGAAAGAAAUUAGCAAAGAAUAAAAUUUAAAAUUUCCUAGUACUUGAAAUUCGGGGAAAAAAAAAAAAGAAAAGGCCAAAUUUCAGUAGCUCUCGGCCCCGCACUUUCGGGGUAAAAAAAAAAAAAACCCCAAAACACAUCAGCUUUCUCUCUCACUAUCAUUCGAAGAAGCAUCGUCACAAUCAUUUGAAAUUCUAUAAUCUCAGUUUCAAUGAAGACGAAGAGGCUUGGUUUAAAUAUCGGCUUUCAUCAUGCAUUUUCAGGUUUAAUUUCAGUUAAUCUGACCAAAUUUGAUGGAUUUGUUCCCUAAUUUCAUGAAUGUCAGCUAUCACUUUCAUUCGAUCGAAGAAGCUUUCACUUUCGUUUGAAAUUUUUGAUCUCGAUCGGUUUCACUGCAAAGGAAGAGGUUUGGUUUUAAUCUCGCUUUUAUUCAAGAAUUUCAUGUUUGUAUGCGUUUAAUCGCACCAAAGUUGAUGUGUUUCUCCUCUAAUUUAUGGUUAGGGAUCUAAUUUAUGCCUCUUGAUGUAAAAAAUUUAGAUUUGGGCUUUGAUUAUUUGAUUAUUAAUUUUGUAGCGUUUGGAUACUGUUGAACAGAGUGAAUUAAUCCACAUCAAGUAUGUAUUGGAACUAUUAGGCUGAAACCAGAUGGCUUCUGUUUACUAAGCAAUACAAGAAUUGAGUUAUAAUUAGGUCUGUUUACUAACUUAUCUGUACUAUCAUCUUUUUUAAUUCAUUCUUUAAGCUAAAUUAGGGUAUUAGAAACAGAGCUGGGAAAGAAAUUAGUACCUGCAUUCAUUUUAGUGGAUCUUGGACCAGCUUGUUCAUUCAUCUACAACUAUUAGAGUUGCACAACUCCGUUCAUAUGCCCCCAGUGUUGGCCACAGCUGUCUUGUGUGCAUGUAAUUUAGAGAAUAAAUAAAUUUAAGUGUAGACUAAUAUUUCUUUUCUUUUAUGAUAUGUCCAAUGAACCACAUUUUUCAAUUAUACUUUUUUUUCCUCCCCUCAAAAAUACAUAUCCUUCCUAGUACUUUUCCAAUGGAUCUCAUUUGUUUUCUCCCUAAUACAUUUUUUGCAGUUAGAGGUGCCUCAAAAGCAAUUACUCAAGGAGAGAUGUGCUUUGGCAUGGAUUAUGUUGGAUAUUUAGUCUUUUUCUUAUGGAACUAAUGACACAUCUAUUUUAUUACAAUGCCUUUCCAAUUGGAUGAGUUUAUCAGAAAAGAUAGGCUUCAUGUUGGGACGUCUUUUGAUCUCCAUUUUUUGUCUAGUAACUAAUUUGUUCAAUAUUUACUUGUGGCAUGUGGGGACUGUCAUCUCCUUUGGAUGUACUCAUCAUUGUAUAUGGUGUAAAUGGUGACCUUCAUUACCUUAAUUUUUUUAUAUGUGGAUUCGAGGCUUCUUACGUGCUUAUGUGAAUCUUUUUUUAGCACGAUCAUUUCAUAAAUGUUACUCUAUGGCUUCCAGAAUUUCUGAAGAUUUUUUCAUGGAAUAUUCUAUGUUUUACCUUUCAAGGGGUUAAAAGUGAGAAAUGAAUUAAUUGGACUCUGGAAAUUGGUGUAGCUAUUCUGUGGCCUAGUAGCUCUUAAAAUUUUACAAAACUCCCUUUCCUUGUUAUUUGAUUCCCUCUCAUAUUUGGUAUGCUGAAUUACAGGUCUAUCAAUGGAAUCUUAGAUUAUAUGUUAUGUGGUUUUCAGAUGUGCCUAUAUUGUACUUAGAUGGUAUUAUGAGCAAAUUGCUAGUGCUACUUCAGGUAUAUUGUCAGAACAAUCAACACCCAACUUAUAAUACAUACGUUUAUAUCAGAUUUACUGUAAUGAACGAACAAUGCCUUCCUCUAAAUUUUUCAUUUUUGGUGCCAGAAUGGAAAACAAAUAGUGCAAGAAGGUGUAUUAAUUGCCUUGGCAUCAGUUGCUGACUCAUCUCAGGUAUUUUAUAAAAUAUGCUUUGAUUAGAAGCUAUUACUUAUAGAAACCUGUCUGACAGGAUGAUCUUUUUUGGAGUAGCUACUCGGAUGGAAACUUCUUUAAAAAGGGAAAAAAAAAAUUAGGGAAGCAAAGUUUAUGUUGAAUUAAAAGAAAAGGUAUCUACAAAAGUGAACAAUCCGUCGCUCCUUAUAAUACCAGCUUCUGCAUUUGAAGUUCUCUCUCUCUCUUUUUUUUUUUUUUUUGGGUUGAAAAGAAUAUUUCUAGAUACAUAUAAUGCUCUUUACUGUCUGUUCACCUAAUAUUUAACUAAUUUUGAAGGCUCUAGAUUUUAUUAAUGAGAAACCAGGAGUCCGUCCUUGUAUUGAUUACCACAACAGCUGUUGAUUGCUGUGGUUUGUCUUUAACACAAGAACUUAAAAUUUUGAGUUUCAUUUUAUCCAAAAGCCUAACUUUCAAUGUUUUCAGACUAACCAUCCUUUCUCCACUAAAUCAGAAAACAUAUGAUCAGUAAUGAACUUAGAGAUUCAGUAUCUUAAUUUAGUGUAAGUAGCCCUACUAUAUAACAAAUUCAGUCUUCGGAUUCUGCAAUUCAAUUUUUCUUGAUAAGUUUACUUUUUUUUUUCUUUUUUGUCCUCAAAAUGUAACUAAUUUUCUUUAUCUUCAACUUUCUUCAAUGCUCAGGAACCAGUGAAACCAAAGUAUUUGAUGAGAGCAGCUCACUGAGAAGUGAUUACUUGACUGAGGUAAGAGCCUGAUUUCUAUAAACAGUACAAAAGGCCUUUGCGGAUGACUUGCACAGAUUUUAAAAUAGUCGCAACGUAAAUAUAGAUUUAUUGCCAUUUAGAUUUUUAGACUUUUAAGAAGCAAAUAAAUAAUUAAUUAAAGAAAGUAGUUUUAUCAGACAAAAUUCAUAUUAUCCUUAAAAUUCAAAAAUCAUCAUAAAAAAUUAAGUUUCUCUCCCCCUCUCUUACUCUCAGUCUUGUUCAACCCUUCGCCUCUCAGCCUUGCUCGAUAGUAAUUUAUUGAUUUCAGUUUUAGGUAAGCUCUGUCACUGCAAACUUUUGGUCAUGUGAAUUUUUGUUAUUGCAUAGAUCUUAAUUGGUCAAAUUGAAGGGGAGAAAGUUGCUGAUCGCAAAGCUGAUUCUGAAAGCACUUCUUCACUUUUUCAGUAUGAUUUUACAGAUUCAGUAUGUAAUUGAAGUUCUAAAGCAAUGAUUUAGAGUAUUUAGAUGAAUGGUUUAAAUUAAUCCAUCAAAGUUGUGGUUUAUACACAUGCAUCAUCAUGGGAACAUCUAAUUAGAUAAUAGAUUUUUACUUUUUAUCCUUCUUGUCUAUUUUACUUGUGUAUGUGAGUAAGGCUGUUCUCUGUAUGUUGGAGUUGGUGAUGCAAGUUGAAACUAACCUGAUGUCGACUCUUGGCAUGUUAGAGUUGAAUUGGAAUUGCAAUUAAUUCAUUAAGAGUAACUUAUGAGCCAUGGGGUUUUCUCACUGAAUUAGAUAAUUAGAUCGGCAUUCGAUGUUUACUUGGAUAUGUGAGUAGGACUGUUCUCCAUACGUUAAAUCAGGUUGGAAAAAUUAUUUACUGAAUUGUUAUGGGUGCAAUUCAUGUGUUGAAACAUUGAAGAGUUUUAGCCUUUAUGUUACUAUCCUGUGGUUUUCUAAGGUACAAGAGACAUUAAAAAAAAAAAAAACAUAAUAUCUUAAUCACUUCUAGUAAUCCUACAAGUGCACAUGACUUUGUGGGUUUUGAAUUCAAGGAACAAAAUAGUAAGUCUAGUGGAUAAUAUUUGAAAACACAUGUAAAAUGGAUUGAAUUGCUGUAAGAUCUGUCCAAAUUAAACAGUCUAAACUAAUUUACGGGCUUGUGGGAACUAAGAUUUUUUUUUUUUUUCCUAGCAACUUCAGAGUCAUUGAAAAAUGGAAAUUUUGUCCAAAAGCAGCUUUUUGUUGUAUGAUUAAAGAGAAAUGUGAGAUUUUCAGGUUGAAGGAAGGACAAUAAAAGCGCAGAUAUGGGACACUGCAGGCCAGGAGCAAUACAGAGCAGUAAUGACUGCCUAUUAUAGGGGCGCACUGGGAGUGCUCUUUUAGUUUAUGAUGUGAGAAAAUCAGCAUUUGUAGACGUGAGCCGGUGGCUGAAGAAUCUGAGGGACCAAGCAGACUCCAACAUCGUGAUCUUGAUGAUCAGCAUUGUGAUCUUUUAUUUAAUUUUUGUUAACAACGUUGUAUUUGAAUUAUUCUCCUCAUUGUUGUUGCUGACUUGAGAUAUCAGAAUUAUUUUGUUAUGGCAGUGUGCGCUAGCAAUGUUACAGCUUACUCUGGUUUUUAGUGUAUAGUAUACUGCUUCAGUUGGAUUCUCUACCACAAGGCAAUGAAGUUGGCUUUAACAUUUUCUGAGGUCAUUUUUGUAAAUUGAUUUGACAAAAAUGGUAUUUUCCUUGUGUUUGCCUCGAACAAUUGCAAUUUUCUAGUUAUAAUGUUUUUGAAACAACAUCCAAAUAGCGUUAAAUAUCUUUUGCUAUACAAAAGUCUCCCUCAGUUUGCUAUUAUUAUUAUUCUUUUUUUUUUUUUAAAGUUCAUUGCAUUAUUAUGACCAUUACAUAGUUUGUUAUAGCAAGUUCGGAUGUUGCACUAUUUCAUUUGUGAAAACAGACUUUUAUUUAUUUAUUUAAAAAAAAGAAGAAUAAAAAAAAUACUAUGGCAACUUACUUGGCUCCAAGUAUAAUAUUAAUAAAGAAAUAUAUAUUGAGUGUGAUGCCACGUUGCAAUGGAAAAUUGUUACCAAUAAUUAAUGGAAAAUGAUAUGAAAGAAAAAAAUCGUACCUGAUGAAGUCAUGAAGCAUCAUCACAUCCUUAAGCUUUAAGACAAUAAUAGUCGUGUAAAUUGGGGACCCGCAAAGCCGUCGAGUAAAUUUGCUUAACGUGAUUUGAAGUUAUACAUAAUUGAUAAUUUCAAAAGAAAUGAAAAAGAAUAAUCGAAAAAUCAAAAUGCACUUCUAUAUUGCCACCACUCACCCUCUCGACUAAAUGUCAUUUUCUUUGAACUUUCAUGGCUUCUAAGCUCCCAUCAAGAAUUAGAAAUUCACAAAUCCAACCUUUAUUAUCUCAGCGAUACAUCCCGAUUCCAAACUUUACCUCAUAAGCGAUUAUUGGUAACAAGCACCAUUUUUGUCAAUUGCAUAUAUAUAUUUGGCUGAACGGUCAAUUCUAUUUUACUUCUGACGUAGCAAGCACGUCCCAUUCCCCACACACCAUUACUUGUUCACAAGUUUACAUUCAUUUAGCUUUUGAUUCCAGUGGUGCUAAUUUUUGAAGAUACUCUUUCGAAACUGAGCGACCAAUUUCUUUUAUGCUAAAUGUAUCGAGUGAUGCAGAAGAAGAAGAAGAAGAAGAGUUGCAUUCCGAAGCCAAUAUGAUGCAAAUAAGCUGCCCUCGCCAUCAUCACCUUCAUCUGCAGCACUUAUAAUCCUUCAAGGCAUAUGCGUACACUUUUCUUAUAUCUUUAGUUAUUAUGAGCUAAAUUUUUAACACAUACAUAAUGUUAUUUCUUUAAAUAUAUCGAUGAGUCCAAAUUUAAUUAAUCUCAAAUUUUAGACUUGUGAGAAUAGAAGUUGAGUUUUUUUUCAAAUAUUAAAAUUUCUAAAAUAUUUUUCACUUAUUUAACAAUUUUAUUCCAUUCUUUUCAUAGCAUAACUUUAAAAAAAUUGACUAUUAAAAUAAUUUUAUAAUUUUUAAUAAAAACUCUCAUCGACAAUCAAACAAAUAAUUUUUUUUAUAAAAAAUCUACUUAUAAAAAUUUUUAAAAAAACUCCAUUUAAAUAAGUAAUAUUUAAAAAUUUUUAUUAAAUGGAGUUCAAUAGAGGCAAUAUAACUUAUUUAAUCUUUAAAAAAUUUUCUUAAUUUUUUUUUUAAAAAGAACUUAUAAGAUUAAAUAAAUAUUUAUAAUUAAUAAAUUAAUCAUACCAAAUAGGUAAAACAUUGUAAAAUGAUAGACUUUUAUGGUAGUUUAUUACCGACUUGCUGUUCCUUGAUGGUAGUAAAUUGAUUGUAUGAAAGAUAAAAAUUAAUAAGAAUUUUAUAUAAUAAAAAAUUGAUUAUUUGUGUGAAGGUACAAUUAUUUUUUUGCCCUUCGAACGGGUGUGUUUUUACAUGGGCCCGUUGUGUAAGUGUUUACACACAACUUUGGAAUUUCAUAUGAUAUUUGAUUAUUUGCGAAAAAUAUAUUCAGUUUUCAACGUCCGUAGAUCUUGCUUGUCUAUAUGCAACACCAUAUGAUAUUGGCACCAGAAUCAUACAAGUUGAGGCUUGGCACGGCACGGGCCAGGGCUUUUUGAUCUGGGCCUUUAAGAUUUUGCGUUUUGCAAUUUCUUCUCUCUCUCCUCUCUUUUUUUGAGAAUUUGUGUUUUGUAAUUUCUUAAAAUUAGAGUUAAGCUCCUAGCACCUCUUUAAUUAAAACUCUUAUGAAACCCCCACUUAUUAUAUGUAUAGCUCUUAUAAUUAAAUAUUUAACAUAAUAUUUUAAAAUAAAAAUUCUUAUCAUUAUAUAAUUUAUUAUUUUAUUGUCCCUAAAUUAUUUUCAUUUUAAAAUGAUUAUUUAUAUCAUUUACAUAUGGGAGGGUUCAUGUUUUUUAAGUGUAAAAAUAUUUUAAUUCAGUUAAAUUUAUAUUUGUCCUUUUAUGUAAUUUUCCUCUAGCAAUAGAGCUACAAUUACAAAAUGUGGGGUCUUAAUCUUACAAGUAUUUUAAGAGACUGUGAAAAGCACUACUCUAAGAUUAUCUUCAUUAAAUUUCACAAAGAUAGUAACUUUUAUGGUUCUACCACCCCUCGAUUUUUCUUAUAAAGCCUUUCUUUUAUAUUUAUGAUUUCACCUUAGUAAGACCACAUAAAACAACAAAUUCAGUUUGAUUUUUUUUAACCUCUUUCUUUUGUAUAAUUUUAACCAUGGUUAAAAUAGUUAGGAUAAAAGGAUUUAAAAUAUUAAUCCUCACCGUNNNNNNNNNNNNNNNNNNNNNNNNNNNNNNNNNNNNNNNNNNNNNNNNNNNNNNNNNNNNNNNNNNNNNNNNNNNNNNNNNNNNNNNNNNNNNNNNNNNNCAUACUGACUAUUAAGAACGAUCCAUCAUCAAAAAAUGAUAGAGAAAUUUGGGCUAAGAAGUAUACACUACAUCUGUAUACUACUUUGAUGUAAAACUUUAUUAUGGAAAUUAAGUAAUUAUAUCUUAUUUUGAUGGUUUUGCAGUUUGGAAAGUUUGCAAUCAUUAUCGGCACCAUACCACACAUUAUUUCUAUUUCUAAUUCCAUUGCUUGUCGAAGUUAUUGAGACUAAUAAUAUUCAAGAUGAAAAGAAAAAUGUUGAUCGAAACAAAUCCAAUUAGUAUGUGCCUGUUUUUGUUGGCUUUACUCAUCUACGUCUUUGCAUAUUUUGUUGCCAUGAAAUCGAACCAUCAAAUAUUCAAGGCAAUUGCUGUUAUCUCAGGAUCUCUUUGUUCAGCCUCGUUGGUCUCCAUUAUUCUACUACACACAUAUGGACAUUUUAGUUUCAUUAUGUGGGCUUUUGUUCUUCUUCUUGUUGCUUAUAACAGGAGGCUUUAUAAGAAGAUUUUGUAAUUUUGGAAUAGAUUUAGAGAAAACAACCAACUACAAUUGCCAAUAUAGCUCGAUCGCCUGCUAGGUGUGGAUGAAUUAAAACUUUUACAUGCAAAGUACCAAAAAUCAUUAAGUGCUAUUAUAGUUUAUUCGCAUACACAUCUCUUAUAGUUCUUAGCUUGACCAAAUUAUGAUUUUAAUUAUCAAAAGAAGAUCUUGUACCAGUCUAAAACAUCAAGUUAGUGUUAAAUUGAUCAAUUUAUCUUAUAUUGAAGAUUUUGUUUUUUCAUUUACCUACCACAUUUAUCGUGAUGCAUUGAUUUAGGAAAAAUAAUCAAAAUCCUUGGUUGUUUAAGAAAAAAUUCAUUAACUUUAAUUUCAAAUAUUUGUUGUAUUUUUUUAACUUUUAAUGUGAUAAAUCUACCAUUAAAUAAUGAAAAAAAUCUAGAUAUACUGGUUAAAACACACCCAAAAAAAAAAGUUCACAAUUUUUUUUUUUUACAACAUGAGUAUUCCAAUGAAUUGUGAGAGGGGAAUUGAUUAAUUUCUACAAACCGAAUGAGGUUUAAUAACACAUAUUUCAAAAGGUAUUAUUAAUAAAAGUAUAAAUAAAAUACAUCACUUCAAAAAAGAAAAAAAUGAAAAGAAAAUAACCAUUUGGCUGAGGAGUAUAUGCUGUUGCGUGAUCAAAUUUAUUUUUUAUUUUCCCCCACCUUGUCGAAGCUGGUACUAAAACUAACCAGUAAAAUUAAAAAAAAUAAUAAUAAAUUGGUUUUACUAAGCUAAAUGUAUAAAUCAAUUAAGCAUUUUUUUUUUCAAAAAGAAAAUUAUAUAUGCAGACACGCACAUGUGGAUGACAGCGGCGGUGGCCAAGAAGCAGCCAGAGUGGCAGCGGCGGCGACCAUGAUUGUGUUUGUAAUAUAUUUGAAUUUUGAUGCCGCAGUUUUUAUCUUUUUUUUUUUUGGAAAAUUAUCAUUUACAUGUGUAUUACAAUCAAAAUUCUAGCACAUAUUAAAUCAAUAGUCUAUCGUGGCAAUUACAUAAUUAAUUUAACAAUACUUUAAGAAUAAUGAUGUAUGCACAACAAUUUUAUAAGAGAUAGAAAAAUAUUUUUUAGUAAAGUUUUCUUUUGUUAUGUAGUAAAUUUUUUUUAUUCUACAGUGAUAGUGUACGGUUUUUUGUACUAUCUGUUGUACACAUGUUACUAUAUAUAUAUAUAUAUAUAUUUUAAUUUAAUUGCAACAUUUGGCCUAAAGCAUUGAUUUUGGGAAAAUAAUCAAAAUCCUCUGCUGUUUAAGAAAAAAGCGUAUUAACUUUAAUUUCAAAAUUUUAUUGUAUUUUUUUAUUAUUUUACCUUUGAUGUGAUAAAAUCCACCAAUAAUGAAAGAAAGAUUCUGGGAUAUAUUAGUUAAAAAAACAAAAAAAAAAAGAUAAAAGUUCACAUAUUUUUUUUUUCUUUUAACAACAUGAGUAUUUUGAUGAAUUGCGAGAGAGAAUUGAUUAUUUUUGACAAGAAAAACAUGGGUAUUAAUCAUUUUCAUGAUUUAUCACCUAUGUGCAAAGUACAAAUAAAAAUACAACAAUAGAACAAUGAAAAGAAAAUUACCGUUUGGCUGAGGGGUAUUAUGCUGUUACCUGAUCAAUAUUUUUGGGCCCACUCUCUCUCUUUGUUUUUUACAAUUAAAAAUUAAAAAAUAAAAAAAAAAUCACAGGAAAAUCAAGGAAAUCUAAACCUUAUCCUCAUGACAACGGGUUUUUUAUUUAAAUAUACUUCAUUUGUCCUUAAAUGCCAAACCUAUACCCUAUUACAUACAUAUACCUCAUAAAAGUGUAAAAAGUCAAAAAUAACCUAAAAAAAUAUCUAUUUACGUUUAAUUCUUCUCUCAUGACUUCUACAUAAUAACACAACCAAAGUCGAGUAUACUCGACUUUUUACCUGAUUUAAUUAAAAGAAAAAUUUUCAUUUCAAUUUAAGUUGAGUAUUCUCAACUAAUUACCAAACUUCAAUGAAAAGUUAAGAAUUUUUAUUGAAUGAAUAUUGGGUAAAGUUAAAUUAAAGUCGGAUAUUCUCGACUCUUUACUCGACUUACUUGAAAAAAUCGAGAAUUUUUUAGAUAAUUUUUUAUUUCAAUUGAAGUCGAGUAUUCUCAACUAUUUACCCGACUAACAUGAAAAAGUCAAGAAUUUAUGCUGAAUUAUUAAUUGUGUAUGGUUUGAUUGAAGUCGAGUAUUCUUGACUAUUUACCCGACUUCGAAGAGUUGGGUUUAGUUUUAUGAGGAUUUAGUAGUGGUUAUUUUUGUAUUUUCUCUAAUUUUUUAAAGUAUAUAUGUGUAAAAUUUAAGAGUGUUAUAAUUUUAGGUAUAUAUUGAGUAUUUUGAAGGAAAUGGGGUACAUCCCACAUAAUUCUCCCCAUGACACCACAUCAGAAACAGCACUUACCCAUUCCUAUGUUACAUGUAUACAGGUUGAAGUUGUCAUCUCUGAGUCCAACGCAAUAUUCAUCCAAUUGAUUUUUGGAGACACCAAAACAAGUCUCGAGCACUUGAUGGCCCCCGUGGAGAUUGGAGAGGCUUUUGAUAAAUUUUAUGAAAUGAACUAACACACAUAAAUUGGAUAUAUAGAUGAUCGAGAAGAAACUCCAGCGACUAGGCCCCAGAUAUAGCUUUCGCUCCCUUGUCUCUAAAGGAAUUUGCCCAUCUAGUGAUUCCAAAGUUCAGUUAAUUUUCUAAAAUGAUUUUCUAUAUAUAUAGAGAGAGAGACAGAGAGAGACAGAGAGAGAGAGGCGUUGAAUUAAAUUCUUAUAGUAAAUAUACACAUUGGAUAUCGUUUUUAUAAAAAAAAAAAUGUUUGCUAUACCAAUAAAAUUGCAACAGGUGUCUUGGCAUUGAUUAAUGUCAGCUUUACGUUUGGCUGAAACUGUGUGGGUUCUGUUCACUAACUUAUCUGUAUUAUCGUCUUUGUUAACACAUUCUUUAAGCCAUAUUAGGGCUGUAGAAACAGAGCUUGAAAAGAAACCAGUACCUGCAUUCUUUGUGGUGAAAACUUGGGCCAGCUUGUUCAUUCAUAUACAACUAUUAGAAUUGCUCAACUCCAUUUACAAUGCCUUUGCAAUCAGAUGAGUUUAUUAGAAAGGAUAGGCUUCAUGUUGGGAGCUCUUUUGGUCUUCUCUUAUUGUCUAGCAACUAAUUUGUUCAACACUCCCUAGCGGUAUGUGGAAACUGUUAUCUUCUUUGGAAGUACUCAUAUUGUACAUGGGGUAAGUGGUGAUCUUCAUUACCUUAAUUUUUUAUAUCUGGAUUCCAGGCUUCUUACAUACUUAUGUGAAUCAUUUUUUAGCACGGUCACAUUAUAAAUGUCACUCUAUGGCUUUCAAACUUUUCUGAAGUUUUUUAUUUCCAUUGAAUAUUCUAUGUUUUACCUUUCAAGGGUUUUAAAGUGAAAAAUGAGUUUAUUGGACUUUGGGAAUUGGUGUAGAUAUUCUAUGGCCUAGUGGCUCUUAGAAUUUUUCAUAAACUCCCUUUCCUAGUUAUUUGAUUUCCUCUCAUAUUUGUAUGCUGAAUUACAGGUCUAUCAUUGGAAUCUUAGAUUAUAUGCUUGGAUGUGGCUUUGAGAUGUGCCUCUAUUUGUACUUAAGAUUGUAUCGUGAGCAAAUUGCUAGUGCUACCUCAGUCAACACCCGCUUUAUGAUACAUGCAUUUAUAUCACACCAUACUUUAAUGAACAAACAUUUUCUUCCUCCAAAUUUCUCAUUUUUAGUGCCAGAAUGGAAAACAAAUAGUGGAAGAAGGUGUAUUAAUUGCCUUGGCACCAGUUGCUGACUCAUCUCAGGUACUCUAUAAAAUAUGCCUUGAUCAGAAGUUACUUCUUAUAGAAACCUGUCUGUCUGACAGGAUUUUUUUUUUAGUAGCUACUCGGAUGGAAACUUCUCUGAAAAGAAAAAAGAAAAAAAUAAGGAAGCAAAGUAUAUGGCGAAUGAAAAGAAUAUAUCUAGGUACAUAUAACGCUCUUUCUUGUCUGUUUACCUAAUAUUUAACUAGUUUUGAAGACUGAAGAUUUAGUUAAUGAACAACCAGAAGGAGUCCGUCCCUGUAUUGAUUACCACAAGAGCUGUUGGUUGAUGCGGUUUGUUUCUAACACAGAAACUUUAAAUUUUGAGUUUCAUUUGAUCCAAAAACCUCAAUUUCAAUGCUUUCAGACCUUUCUCUACUCUAAAUCAGAAAACAUAUUAUCAGUAACGAGCUUAGAGAUUCAGGUCCAGCUUAAGGUAGUAUAAGUAGCCCUACUAUAUAACGAAUUCAGUCUUCUGGUUCUGCCAUUCUAGUUUUCUUGAUAAGUUUACUCUCCUCCCCUCACCUCCCAAAAUGUAACUAAUUUUCUUUAUUUUAAACUUUCUUCAAUGCUCAGGAACUAGUGAAACCAGAGUAUUUGAUGAGAGCAGAUGAUUACUUGGCUGAGGUAAGAGCUGAUUUCUAUAAACACUACAGAAAAAAGGUCUUUUUGCGGCUGAAAUUUAAUUAGAUUGGCAUUUGGUGUUUAUUCAUCAAGUGAAAAUCAGCGCCAAGGUGAGCCGGUGGAAGAGGGAUCUGAGGGACCAUGAAGACUCCAACAUUGUGAUCAUGAGGCAACAGGACUGAUCUGAAACACCUCGCAACUUCUAUGUUCACUUUUCAGGCUCUCGAUGGUUUAUUGUUUAAACUUAUUUUUAUUUAAUUUUUGUUAACCAUGUUGUAUUUGAAUUAUCCUCCUUAGUUGUUGUUGUUGAGAUAUCAGAAUUAUUUUGUUAUGGCAGUGUGCACCGGCCAUGUUACGGCUUACUCUGGUUUUUCAGAUCCUCUAUUAUAAGGCAAUGAAGUUGGCUUUUACAUUUUCUUUUCUAAUUUGUAUUUAUUUUCCUUGUGCUUUUGCAGAGGCCUUGAACAAUUUAUGUUUUUUUUAACAAUAACCAAUAUCUUUUAUUGUGCAAAAGUCUCUCUCAAUUUUUUUUUUAUAUAUUAUUACAUACACAGAGAGAGAGAGAAUUUUACACAGUUCUUUUAGCAAGUUUUUUCUGAGGUUGCAUUAUUUCAUUUGUUUCCACAAUUAUUUUUUUUUGAGAAAAAGGGAAAAAGAAUUAAUUUGUUAACUUCCUAAGAACCCAUCAAAUUAAAGAGACUAAACUUAAUUGUAAUAUUAGUAAAGAUAUGUAGAAUGAUUAUUGGAUGUCAUGCUACAGUGCGCAAUUUAGAAAUUGAAAUAUUACAAAAAUACAUAAAUUUUGAUGUGUGAAUGAAAUGAAAUUAGCAGUAAGUACUUACGUAAUAAUUAAUAGAUGUAUAAAGAUAUAAUAAGUUUCUUUCCAAUCAGGCAUGAGUAAGACCUUAUUUUGUUAAAUCAUGACCAAAUUAAAAAGACAGAAAAUGAAAGAUAAAAAUUCAUUAGAAUUUUAUAUUGUAAAAAAAUUGACUAUUCGUGUGAGUGUAGGCCUUUUUUUAAUAUAUAAUUACCCCCUUGAACGGAUGUGAUUUGUCAAACUAGCAUCACUCUUUUCCCAUGUGCGAUGGGAUAAUGGGAUUUCAUUUACCCUCAGCUAAUAGCGUCUAAGAUUGUCAAAGUUAAGGUAAUACAUAGCUAAUUGACCGCCCAUAAAUUACCGCUCAUUCCCCUGCUGCCUGCUCCCCUGCUUUCCCCUGCUCCCCCCCUACCUUUACCUUUUCAUGAGGCUUAUAAGAACUACGAGUUGAACUGAUGCUGCUGAGGAGGUGGGUUUUGUCAGAAGAAGAAGAAUUGCAUUGCGAGAUCAAUAUGAUGCGAACAACCUGCCCCUGCCAUCAUCGACAGAACUUUGAUCCUUCGAGGUACCAACCUACAUUUUCUUACAUUUUUAGUUGUUACGAGCUAAAUUUUCAAUAAAUGCAGUUCUUUCUUUGAUUCGUAUGGAACUUAAUUACUUUUGUCAUCUUUUUUCGCGUUUCUUACUUGACCAUAAGCUUAGUUAUGAGUAUUCUGUGAUCUAGAGAGCAAGGGCUAGAGCUUGAUGGUGCCAUGUUAGACUAGUUUUAUGAGGUUUGUUCAUGCAUUAACAAUUGAUAUUGAUGUAGGCAAAUUUUCAAACUCAGUGAGUGUAUAAGUUUCUCUUCUUUUGGGUUUUGUAGAAUUAUUCAUUUUCUCCUUAAUUCCCUUUAUCAUGCUCUGACAUAACAGAGAAACAUGGCGGAGCAUAAUGAAUAUUAUUAUUUAAUAAUAAUAACAAUAAUCAUACUAAUCGAAAGAAUGAUUGAUAGAUGAUUAAUCAACAUUGCUUAAUCAAGAAAUAACACAAAAAUAUCAAGAUAGUGUCAAAGAAACAAGAUUGAACAAGGCAAAAUGAUCAAUUUAAAAAAGGCCGCAUAAAAGAACACAACACAGGCAGGAAAAAAUAACCAUCCUUACUCUUCUUAAAAUGAGUUUAUCUUAAAUUAAAAAUAGAAUCAUAUGUCAUCUGAACAAAAAUUCUGCAGUUCAUAAAUAUAUCAAAGACUCUACACGAUCACUCAACGCAAGCUAGUCCAGGAUGUUCUGACUUUCAGUCACCAGAGCUGGGUUAUAAGUUGGUUGACAGAGCAAUUCCGGCACUUGUAACUUGGAGUUAAGAGAGUUUCUAAUAUUGACUCAGUGUAAAGUUUGCAAAAAGGUCUAUUGAUCUGGGUCUUUUUCUCUUACAUAGGAAGCUUUCCUCCUGAUUGUUAAAAUUAAUAUGGCAACAUAUGUGCGUUAAUAUCGGACUCUUAAUCAUGCUGAAAUUGUCUCAACAACCAGAUUAUAUAACAGCAAACCCAGAUUGCACCAGAUUCAGCCACGUGGAUAGCGGUUUGCGACGACGCUGAUUCGAGCUCCUCACAUGCUUCCUCACGUGAACCACUUAAGUCAUGGUUAAAACGGCUUUCGAGGCUGGCGUUUUAAAGCUUAUGAAACUUAAGUGAAUCACGUGUACAGCUCGUGAUCAACUAAAACAAGUCCCUUUGCUUAAAACGCUGCCGCUCCUUAUGUAUAAGUCCAUACUAAGAGCAUCUCCAAAAGACUAUUUAAAUUUUACUCUUCAAUUUUUAAUUUGCUUACUGAUGUGGCAAAUAAGUGGGUAGAAAAAUAUAAUCUCCUCCAAAAGACACAUCAAAUAAGAGCAAGUUAAUAUUAUUUUAAUCAAUUCUUUCCCUCUAUCAAAUUUAACUACCCUCCAUUUUUUUUCCCUCCAACAAAUUUAAUUAACCUCCAAUUAUUCACUCUAAUUAUUUUAAUUACCCUCCAAUUUUUUUCACUCCAACGAAUUUAAUUACCCUCUAUUUUUUCCCUCUAAAAAAUUUAUUCAACCUCUAAUUUUUUUUUGGGCUUUUAACUCUUUAUGAAAUAGAUUUUUGUGAAUGAACUUCUCAACCUUCCUUCCGCCAGUUAACUAUUUUUUUUUUCCAUUGUUUUCCUUCAUGGCCAGCAACUUUAAGAUAAAGAUGCUGUCAGAUUCAUCAUACUUUUAACUCUUUAUACUUUAAACUCUUUAUGAAAUAGACUUUUGUGAAUGGACUUGUUCAACCUUCCGCUUGUUAACUAAUAUUUUUUCCUCAUUGUGUUUCCUUCAUGGCUAGCAACUUUAAGAUAAAGAUGCUGUCAGAUUCGUCAUCUGAUGAUGAUGAAAUUGAGAUGAUUGCAGCGGUAGCCAUUGCAAAGAGAAGACAUAAAAAAUCUGGGCGUUGUGGCUCCAUCAAAGGUCACGCAACAAUUUGGCGUGAUAGAUUAGCCGGUCAUGAUAGGCUUUUUCAUGAUUAUUUUUCUGAAACUUCCACAUAUCCUCCAAAUAAAUUUCGAAGGAGGUUUCGAAUGAAUCGCCAUCUAUUUCUGCGUAUUAAAAAUUCAGUGGAACAGCACGAUUCAUAUUUUGUCCAGAAAAGAAAUUGUGCUGGAGUCCUCGGUUUGUCAUCACUACAAAAGAUCAGUGCAGCAAUACGAAUGCUAGCUUAUGGAGUAUCCGGUGAUUCUAUUGAUGAGUAUGUGAGAAUUGGCGAAAGCACUGCAAUCGAAAGUUUGAAAAAGUUUGUUCGUGCAGUGAUUGAAAUUUUUAGCAAUGAAUAUUUACGAUCUCCUAACACAAAUGACAUUGCUAGACUUUUAGCAGAAGGUGAACAACGUGGGUUUCCAGGAAUGUUGGGAAGUCUUGAUUGUAUGCACUGGAAGUGGAAAAAUUGUCCAGUGGCAUGGAAAGGGAUGUAUGUUGGUCAUGCCCAUGAACCAACAAUAAUCUUAGAAGCAGUGGCCUCAUAUGAUCUCUGGAUAUGGCAUAUGUUUUUUGGGUUACCAGGAUCCCACAAUGACAUCAACGUGCUUGAUCGAUCUCCAUUAUUCAAAGACUUAGCUGAAGGACGUGCUCCAUCAGUAAAUUACUCAAUCAAUGGUCAUAAUUAUACAAUGGGGUAUUAUCUUGCAGAUGGUAUAUAUCCACCAUGGUCAACUCUAGUGAAAACAAUACCAUAUCCACAAGAAAAUAAGCAUAAGAAUUUUGCUAAAGCUCAACAAUCAGCCAGAAAGGAUGUUGAGAGAGCAUUCGGAGUGCUCCAAGCUCGUUUUGCGAUUGUGCGUGGACCUGCUCGCUUUUGGGACCGUGAUACACUUCACGAUAUCAUGAAGGCGUGUGUUAUAAUGCACAAUAUGAUUGUAGAAGAUGAACAUAUUACUAAAGAUAUAGAGGACUUAAAUGAUGAUGUAUGUAAUGAAGAUUGGGUUAAACCAUCAUUUGAACGAACAAUAGGAAUUAUGGAAUUUAUUCAAAAUCAUCAUCGAAUUAGAAGUAGAGAAAAUCACUCUCAACUUCAAAAAGACCUCAUUGAACAUUUGUGGAAACAUCAAGGAUCCCGUAAGGCCAUGUAAUUUGAUAACAUGCUGCAUUAUUAUCAUAUUUGUCUUUAUCUCUAAGUAAUUUGUGAUGAUUUUAAAUGACAUUAUUAUUAUUGUCUUAAAUAUAUUUUGGCUUUUCAUAAUUCUAUUCAUGUGCUCUGUUUUUCCUGAUAUGAAUACAAACUAUAUUGCCAACAAAUGCAAUCAGUAGUUGCAUCAUUGGAAUGCCAUAUUGGACCAAAUUCAUGUCUCAGGCAAUGCUAACAAUGACACCAUGGAACGAGGUUGCAGUAGCCAAAAGCCAGUGCAAAAAUUAGGCUUUCUUUGGCCUCCUCACUGGUGAUCGCAAAGAGCACUUCCAGAUCAUGCAGUAGCUGUGCUUAAAACAUGGAUCUACGAAAACUUAAUAAAUUAAAUAGAUAAUAUUAAUUAUAAAAUUACAUGAAAACAUACAAGAAUUUAAAGGAAAAUAAAAUAAUAGAAUAGCAAAACAUUCAAUCUUUAUUUUUUUUUUCAAGGAUUUCCAUUUGACGAUGAUAAUAAUAUUUUUGAAGAUGAGAAGGCAUUCCACUUGUUUCCAUUCGCAUUAUUUUCUCUUCUUCUCGCAAUUCCUCUAAGUCGGCUUUUCGUUUUUCUAUUUCCACCAUUUCUUUUUCUAAAAGAUACUUCUUCUCAUUCAUAUUUGCUUUUCUUACUCGUUCUUCUUUUUUGUCUACACGCAUUUCUUCUAAAAUUGUCACAAGAGGAUCAGAAUUUUUUUCUCUAAUCUUACGUUUCUCACUUUUCUUUCCAAGUGGUCUUUCUAAAUCAACAAAAUUGGUGUCACCAUUAUCAUUUUCAUCAAGAUUGAUAGGAGUCUUUGCAGUUGAUGAUGAGGAUAUACCAGGCGAUGAAGCUGAAAUUCCCUUUUUCUUCUCUCUUUUUGCUUGGUUAUCAGUCAACCAUUUUGGAUGAUGCCUCAAUAUAUUCCAACAGUGUUCAAAAGUAAAUUUUGUUUUGAACAUUUCCUUGUACAGAGCCUUUGCAUUCAUAAUCUGAAAUAAUUCAUUUUAAUUUAUAAACAAAUAAAAUGACAAAACUAAUUGAUUUGUUUAAUUAAUUAAAAUAGAUACCUUGUCUUGUUCAUUCACGCCACUUUGUUGUCUAUUUUCAAUUUGGGAAAAACAGCCAUGAAAUUUGUUGGUGGCUUGCUGUAUCUUUGACCAACGCUGCAUCAAUGAUUUUUCAUCCCGUUCAGAUUCAAAAUUCUUAUAUUUGUGAAAAUAACCCCACACUCGAGCCCAAAAGCUUUGGUGUGUUUGAUCAGUUCCUUGGACAGGAUCCAAACUAAUAUUCAACCAUGAUGAAACAAGAUGCAUAUCUUCAUCUGCAGAAAAAGCCUCACCGCGUUUCUUUUGUGAAAUGGAGCCGAGAAGAGUUGCUGAUAGAGAUGAUUCAAUGAAUUGAGAUGAAUGAGGUAUUUGUGUAGAAAACAAUGGAUGAUCAAAUUGAUCCAUUUUGAUGAAGUCAAGUGAAAAACUGAAAAAAAAAAAAGCCGUUCAAUUGUUGUUUAUGUUUUUGAAAGGAAACAUAAAUAAUAAUUAUAGCAGUUGUAUCUUUUCAAUAAAAAAUAAUAAAAUAUUAAUAGAAGAGGGAGAAACUCACUCGGUAAUAUUGAAGAGUGAGAAACAAAUCUUAUUUGAAGAAUCUAAAUUAACGUGUCUUUUGGAGUGUUUAAAAUUGAUAUGGCUCUUCAAAUAAGAAGUAGAAUUUUAUUUGAAGACUCUUUUGGAGAUGCUCUAACUGUGAAUAUGUUGUUGUUUCGGAUAAUUUUUAUGAUAGAAUAUUUUUAAUUCUCACCACCUCAUUUUUUAAACAUGUUUUUAUCUAAACCUUUGAAGGUACUUAUUUUAUUUUUAUUAUUUUAGGAAAUUCGAAAUCCAAUUCAUAUCCUCGAGUAAUAAUACUUUGAAGGCAUAAAUUAUCCAAGGAAAUAGGAUUAAUUUUAAAAGGUCAAAGUCCAUAUUCAUCUUUACUUCUUAUCAAGAAGGAGAAUUGUUGGUUUCCCUCUACGAAAAUGACUAUUUGCCUCUUAACCCAUUCUAUUUUUAUAACUUCUGGUAACUUGCUUGACAUCAUAAUUUUGUAUUAUUACUCUCAUUUCUAAAUACGCUUUUAUUCAUUUUUUUAUAAGUUUGAUAAAUCUGAAAUUAAAAUUUAAAAAAUGUUACAAAUUAAAAAUAAGAAAAAUUCUUAUUCUUAUUUUUUUAUUUAUUCUUAUCUAUUUCUUCUUAUUUUUAUUUAUUUAUUCUAUUUUUUACAUAUAAACUAAAAUGAUAUUAAUUAAAAAUAAUAAAUAAAAACUUUAAAAUAAUUUCUACUUUAAAUACAUAUUUGCUUUUCGCAUAGAUUGCAACAUAUACCAAAUGAUCACUAUAUAGCAAACAAAAAUAUUAUAUUAGUAGAUUCCUUUAACUAUUAAAUUAAGGGAUAAAUUAAAAAAUAAGUAAAACACACACUUCAAUUCAAUGUAUUUUGUUAUGUAAUGGAUUAAAGUGCAUGUUUUUCUUUAUUUUUAACUUAUCCUUAACUUAAUAACCUAAAAAAACUCCUUAUUGGAGCAUUACUAAUAUAUGUAUGUAGUAUCAUUCUCUAGUGUGAAUGUCCUCAUAUUUUUCAUAUGGCCAUAUUGGUAAACAGUGCAGUUUAAUAGUGCAUUAAAAAAUAACUCUAUUAAACCUUAUAGUUUGCAUUGACUUUAUUAAAUCACACGGUUUAACAGCAUGCCCACAUUAAAAAAAAUACAUUGUAUAUCUCAUAAAAAAAAAAUUAUGUUUGCUAUACCAAUAAAAUUGGAGCAAGCGUCAUGACACUUAUUAAUGUCAGAUUUCUUAGGUUAUUCAAUAAAAUUGGUUUCAAUCUCGCUUUUAUUCAAGAAUUUCAUGUUUGUAUCCGAUUAAUCUCAUCAAAGUUGAUGUGUUUUUCCUCUAACUAAUGGUUAGGGAUGUAAUUUAUGUCUCUUAAUUUAAAAAGUUUAGGUUUGGGCUUUGAUUAUUUGAUCAUUAAUCUUGUAGCCUUUGGAUACUUUCAAUGAGAGUGUAUUAAUCCACAUUAAGUAUGUUGUAUUUGGACUAUUAAGCUGAAACUAGACGGCUUCUGUUUACUAAGCAAUACAAGAAUUUGAGUUAUAAUUAGGUCAGCUUUAUGUUUGGCUGUAACUAGAUGGGUUCUGUUUACUAACUUAUCUGUGUUAUCGUCUUUAUUAACCCAUUCUUUAAGCUAUAUUAGGGUAUUAGAAACAGAGCUAUGAAAGAAAUUAGAACCUGCAUUCAUAUACAAGUAUUAGAGUUGCGCAACUCCAUUCAUUUUCCCCCAGUGUUGGCCACAGCUGUCUUGUGUGCAUGCAAUUUAGAGAAUCAAUAAAUUUAAGUGUAGACUAACCACGAUGUUAAAUUUACGGUAAAAGAAAACGAUGUUAAUGUUAGUGAAUUUAUAAUAAAAAGCUAACCACGCAUGAAACUUAUUUUUAUUUAAUUUUUGUUAACACUGUUGUAUUUGAAUUAUUCUCCUCGUUGUUGUUGCGACUUGAGAUAUCAGAAUUAUUUUGUUAUGGCAGUGUGCGCUAUCAAUGUUACAGCUUACUCUGGUUUUUAGUGUAUACUAUAUUUUGGCAGAACAAGUUUACAUUCACUUGGCUUUUGGGUCCAGUGCUAAUUUUUGAAGAUACUCGUACUGAACUGAGUGACCAAUUUCUUUUAUGCUAAUUUUUGAAGAAACGUUUGCUACACUUUUCUUACAUUUUUAGUUAUCAAGAGCUAAAUUUUCAACACAUACAUAAUGUUAUUUCUUUUAAUAUAUCGAUGAGUUCAAAUUUAAUUAAUCUCAAAUUUUAGGUUUUUGAGAAUAGAUGUUGAAAAAGUUUUUUUUAAUAUUAAAAUUUUGAAAAUAUUCUUCACUUAUUUAACAAUUUUAUUUUAUUCUUUUCAUAAUAUAACUUUAAAAAAAAUUGACUAUUAAAAUAAUUUUAUAAUUUUUAAUAAAAUUUCUCAUCGACAAUCAAACAACUUUUUUUUUUUUUGUGUGAAACUUUUACUUGUAAAAGUUUUACCAAAACAACUUUAUUUAGAUGAGCUCUAUUUGAAAAUGUUUUAUCAAAUGGAAUCUCAAUAAAGUUAUUUAAUAGAUAAAAUAACUUAUUUAAUUCUUAAAAGUUUUUCUUUAAAAAUAAAAUAACUAUAAAAAUUUUGAAAAGAAUGUAUAAGAUUAAAUAAACAUUUAUAACUAUUAAAUAACUCAUAGCAAAUAGGCACAUAAUUGUAAAAUGAUAAGACUUUAAUAUUUUCAUAGUGAUUUGAUAUUUUAUAAUUCCUGAAAUAGUUAGGCAUAAUAACUCUUUUUGUAAUUAUAAAAUCAUAUAUUUGCUUUAAUAACAAAUUAGAAUUGACAACAUAGUCGUAAUGUAAAAAACAUUAUUAAAUUUAGCUUCAAUUACAUUACUUUUUGCACUAUUUAGGGUCCUCUGUAGCGGAAUGUGAACAGACCGUUUGUAUGCUUAAAGACUCGAAUUAGUUGAGUUAAUUAACCCGAGUUAGUUGAUAAGAGAUGUGAUUUCUAUCCACCCCGCCACUGAGUUGAGUCAAAUUAUGGGGAUGUACGAGUGUGACUCUGCCUUUUUCUAUGAGAAAUUGUAACCCCUCUUCCUCAUUUUAUUGCUUCUCUUUCUUCUCUCCCUGCUUUUUUAAACAACCGCACAUUAAUCAUCACGUUUUGCAAAUAUUCUUCAUCCAUCCUUUGACCAACAUCUUGCUCAUCAAUUCAGACGUUAAAACAAUAAUCUUACCAGGUCCACGGUCACUAAUGAUCUAAUAAUUUGAUGAAAUAAAUAGAUAGAGUUGGUCGAAUCAUGCAUGAAUGAUAUAAAUAACUUUGUUUUUCUUACUUAAUCAGCUAUGGAAAAUUAUUUUAAAUUCGAAUCUCUCAUAUUUGCAGUUUAUUACGGACUUGCCGUUCUUUGAUCAAUGGUAGGAAAUUGAUUGUAUGAAAGAUAAAAUUUACUUAGAAUUUUGUAUAGUAAAAAAAUUAAGCUUUUGUGUGAAGGUACAAAUAUUUUUGCCCUUCGAACGGGUGUGAUUCUGAUGGUACAAUUAAAGCUUAGCGAGUACACUAAUCAGACAGUGAUCAAUACGUGGGAGCUGGCUAAAGUGACAAAUCUAUAACUUUACGGAUCACGUUUAGCCAAUUCCCAUUACUUGCAUGUUUUUCCUCUCUCCUCAGGAUACGUGUGCUCUUUCCAUUCGGUGUUAUUCGUCGACUACCGCAGCAACCAUUCCUACAAUUACGACGCGAAUUUGACAUAUAAAAUACCAAAAUUGCACUUGAUUAACUCCAAAAAAAUAACAAAAUAAGCAUUAUGUUUCGGUAAUUCAAAAACAUUUUCAUGGUGCCUACCAUAACUGCGAGUUGAGCACAUGCUCCUGAGCUUGUCGGUUUUGUGCAGAAGAAGAAGAGUUGCAUUCCGAGAUCAAUAUGAUGCAUAUAAGAUGCCCCUGCCAACAUCGACAGAACCUUGAUCCUUCAAGGUUCCCAAGUACACUUUUCUUACAUUUUUAGUUGUUAUGAACUCAAUUUUCAAUGCAUACAGUUCUUUCUUCAUUCAUAUAUAUGAAGCUUAAUUACAUUUGUUAUCUCUUUUGGCACUUUUUACUUGACUAUAAACUUAGUUAUAGCAUUCUGUGAUCUAGAGAGUAAGGGCUAGAACUUGAUGGUGCCAUGUUAGACUAGUGUAUGAGGUUUUUUCAUGCAUUAAUAAUUGAUCUUGAUGUAGGCCAUUUUUUUUUAAAAGCUAAAGAAAGUUAAGUUUUAGAAGAUCAUUACUUCUUUAAACCCAGAAAGCUUAUAAGUUUAUCUUCUUUUGGGUUUUGUAGAAUUAUUCAUUUUCUCCUUAAUUGCCUUUAUCAUGCUCUGCCAUAACUCAGAAAUUCUCUGCUACGGCAAAGCCUAAUGGAUAUUAUUGCUUAAUAAUAAUACUACUACUAAGAAUAAUUGAUAUAUGAUCAAUCUGUUGGGAAAAUAUGCUCUUUAAAAGCAUAUGUGUUUAUUUAAUUGUAAUAAAUAAUUUUUCUGAUUAAUAAAAUAAAUGAGGUAUUUUAUUCAAAUAUCUUAAUUGCAUUAAUAUUUGUAUUAAAGUCCAUUUAAUCAUAUUAUAUGUAUUUAUGUGAUCACCAUGUGGAUUCACAGAAGACAUAAAUACAAGUUAUCUUAUGAUUAAAUAAAUUUAGUUCGCAGUUAAUAAAUAAAGUUGGGCACUUUAUUUAGGUAUAGACUGUAAUAAAUUCAUUGAAUGAUUUGUCUUAAUCAUGUAUGAAUUUAUUGAUGUAGUACGACUACAUUGAACAGGAUCACAUAUGAGAUUUAAUUAACUUUGUAAUAACUGUCAGACUUAUUAAAUCUCAUAGGCGUUGAUUUUACUGUAAUCUUAAUCUUGAGUUAAUUAUGAUUUCAUGAUUGUGAUUGUUAUUUCAUUUGAGUUACCAAUGGGCACGACACAUCCUUGUGGUCAAGAUUACCCGGUAUCUUGGUGGGAGCAAUUAUGAGUAUUGGAGUUAUGGAUUAACAAUAUAGAAUUUGUACAACACAUCUCUUGAUAGGUUUUCGGUACUUGAUCAUAGAAUUCUCUGGCCAGAGUGUGUCAACAUAUUUAGUAUGUUGAAAAUGAUCAUUAGAGAAAACCAAUAAGGAUCAAGGAAUAAGAUGUUAUUAAAUUGAUUGGACAGUUGAGAUAUCAAUUUAAUUAACGAUGUGGUACAAAUGAUUGUGCAGUAAAGAAAUCAAUGUGGCUUGGGACGAAUUAUUAUUCGAGCAUACAAUUAUGGAAGUCAGUUCCAAUCUUUUAGUGAAGUAGAUUUGGAAUUAAAUAAUUGGGCUAGUUUAAUUACUGGCCUAAUUAUUGUAGCCACUAUUGUAUGUUCCCAAAUGAUCCCCGGGUUAGCUCAUUUAAUUGACUGCACCACUACUGGACUAAUAAGUAAGAUAACUAGCUAUUUGGGUCAAAAGCCUAAAUAUAUCAUUUAGUGGGAGGCUCCAUUUAAUUAGCUUUUGUAUAAGGGGCCUUAUGUUAUUUUACAUGGUGGGUCCCUUAUUGAAAAAGCAAAUAACGUGGGUUUUGUUUUUUGGAUUAUUGGGAGCCUAGGGUUUUCACUAAAUGGUGAUAUAAAAGGCUUAUUUUUCUCUAAAGAAAAGUGAGAAGCCACUUUAUACAAAUCAGAGAAAAAGAUUUUUCUCUCCAUUGUUGAGAGAAAAAUUUUCUCGUGCUAGUUGCUUUGGUAGUGAUAAAGGCGCCCACACGUCAAGUGCAGAUCGAACCUGAGUCAUAACCUGGAAGAUCAUUGGUGACAGUUCGUGGUCUAGCAAGCGUGGUGGUGACGGAUCGUGAUCUAACAGGAGUGGUGGUGGCGGAUCGUGAUCUAGGAGUUUAAAUCACUUCAACGGAAAAAGUCCAAUCGGAUUUUCAAGGUACGAUUUCUGGAUUACGUAUUCCUAUAUAUUAUAUGAGAGCGGUCCUUAAAAGGUUUUAUAAAAAUUAAAAACCGGAUUUUUCCCCAACAAUUGGUAUCAGAGCCAUCUCAUAUUAAUAUAUAAGAAUUUCGUAUGAAAUCAAUAUUGAUAUUUAUGUAUUAGAGUGGCACAAUUUAUUCAGAUGUAUAUUAUUCGGUUAAUAUAUGAAUAAAGCAUGUUUAUGGUUUGUCUUAAUUCAUGGUUAGAUUUUUCGUUGUAAUUUUUCUUUGGAUCUGUAACAAGAGGGGUGGUCUUUUAUCACCAUGUUUCCCUCUUGAUUUAUUUUACUGUUAUAGAAUUUUUGUAAGCCAAAAUUGGCCUAGGAAAUUUGUAAAUUAAUCUCGGAUUUUCAAGAUCGGAGCGACGGAGGCCGGAAAUUUUGACAACGGCAACCAGCAGCAAGCAGCACGCGGCCAGCAGCACAUGCUGCCAGCAAGCGCGCGCUGCACGCGCAGCGGCAGCAGCGCGCGGCUCGCAGCACACGCUGCCAGCAGCGCGCGCUGCAAGCCAGCAGCAGCAUGCAGCAGCCAGCGCUCGCGGGAAGCGUGGCUUGUGCACGCAGCACGCGCUGGCACAGGCUGCGCGCGCAGCAAACAGCGCGCGCGGCCAGCGUGGCCAGUAGCGCGAGCUGCACGAGCAGCAAGUUGCGUGCGCGAGUUUGGAGCGUUUCCGGCAACACGGCGGCAGCAAAUCGGCGUCGGAGAUGCGUGAACAGUCGCUGCCCUUUGUGGAGAUGGCGGCUGGGGAAGAUGAAAGAAAGAAAAAUAUGAUUUUAGGGUUUCAUGGUUUUUAUCAUGGAGGUCCCUAUGGUUUCAUGAGUUUUCUUUCGGGCAGAAAUGUUUCAAUUUUUUGCGUUUAAAUCCAAAAACAGUUUUGGGCUUAAAGAAUCCUAGUUUUAGGCCCAAUUUAAAUUUGGGCUUAAUGGAUUAAAAUGCAUAGAUAAAAUUGAACACAUUAAAUUUAUUUUUUGGUCCAAAAGUUUUAUUUUAAUAAAAAAAAAUUUAAUUAUUUAUUUAUUUUUUUUAAAAAAUUAAAAUUGGACCAAUUAUAAAUUUAAAAGUCCAAUUUCUCCUAGUCCAUUAACAAAGACAAGCUUAUGGAAGAUGGACAUUGACAAGAAGCCCAAUGAAGAUUAGGCUUAGGGUUAAUGUAUUUUUCAUUAUUAGGAAAGCCAUGAAUUAAGAUUAUUUAAUUGUUUUUCUAUAUAUUAUGUUUUGGAUGAUCACAUGCCAUGAUAACAUGUCAUAUAGAAUAGGUAGUGCCACUCUAUGCAUAAUGAUACAUGUCAUUCAUUAAUAAUGAAUUUCAUUAUAUUGUUUGAAAUUUGCGUAUGCUUAAUAAUAUUUGAUAUCAUCUAGAUAAUAUUAUAGGAAGCAUGCAAUUAACAAUAUGUAUGUUUUAAAAAGGAAAAACCAAUUUUAAAAUAUUGAGUGGGAGAGGGAAAAUUCAAGAUAAUUUUCCCACGGGCUCCAUUGUUAGUUCAAUAAUAAAAUUAUAUAUAUACCUCGACUUCAUGAUACGGUGAUGCUCCCUUCGGAGGGUAUAUAUAUUAGAUAUUUUAUUUGAUGAACUUCUUCAAAGAUAAAAUUGAAAUAUUUUUCAAUCGAUUGUUCACCCCAACGGUGACUAUUGAUAUGAAAAAUACGUAGAUUGAAACAAUGGUUAUACACUCAACUAAAGUUUGUUAUUAACCUUCCCAACGAAGCUCUGUUAACAAAUUUAGGUCCAAAGGGAUAACGAUAAUUAUUUAUCAUGUCUCUACAUGAAAGUAAAUAAUCUAAUGGAUAAUUGGGUCUAGUAAGUGUAGACAUGACUUCCCCAACGGAUAGCUUGUCAAAGCAGUACUAGAUUAUCGUUACAAUAAAUUAAAAUGCAUUUAUGGUUUUUUACAUUUUUGUCAUUUAUUGUGAAUAUUGUUUUAAAGUAUUUAUGCAUGUGUAUUUUGUUUUUUCAGAAAAUGUCUUCCAUCAACCCAUUAUUAUUUAUCCUUGUUAAAAAUGAACUCACUGGCGAAAAUUAUUUAGAUUGGAAACGCAAUCUAUUUAAUAUCCUCACUGCUAAAGGAAGCAAAUAUGUGUUGACCCAGCCUUGCCCUCCUGAACCAUCGUUAUACGAUUAUAGAAAUCAGAGGGAGCCUUAUGAGAAAUGGUGCGAAGCUAACAAAAUGGCUAAGCGCUAUAUAUUGGCUUCGAUUUCUAUGGAACUGCAUAAGAAACAUCGGAGCAUGGAAACAGCCACUGAAAUAAUGGCUAGUCUUCAUCAGAUGUUUGGGCAAAAUACCCAUUUUGCCAGAGAAGCAACAUUAAAACGUAUUACGGAUACUAAGAUGGAAGAGGGCACAAAAGUUCGUGAUCAUGUCCUCAAAAUGAUGGACUACUUGAAUGAGGUAGAGAUUCAUGGUGUUCAAAUCAAUGAUAAAUCAAAGAUUAACAUGGUGAUUGAAUCUUUACCUGAUACAUUCAAAGAGUUUAAGGUCAGCUAUAUCUUAAACAAUAAAGAUAUGACCUUAAUUGAAUUAAUGCACGAACUACAUGCUAUAGAAGAAUUUUAUAAUAGCAGAAAACUUCCUGAAAAAGGAUUCUCUUCAAGGCUUAAGUCAAAAGACAAGAAUGAGCAAGCAAGAGUUGAGAUCGGGAAACUGUCCAUUAAAAGAAGUGGCAAGCCAAAAGGCAAGUGUUACAAAUGUGGACAGAAGGGUCACUGGAAGAAAGAUUGUCUUAAGAUUAUUAAAAUCAGGUAUAGGAAAUCUUUAAGCUUCCUAAUUAGUUCAGAUUUCUAUUGAUUCAUACAAUAAUGAAUUCUGAGAUAACUAAUCUUAUUUGUAAUUCAUUUAUUUGGUUUUCAGGAAACCAAGAGAUUAAGUGAAGAAAGCUUCAAACAGCAGUUGAGGACAUGCUAGUUUAUAUCAAUUGAAAGACUAGAUCAAUUUUACAAGACUUUAGUUUUGAUAUUUGUCUUUAUUUUUCCAAAUAUUAGAGAAAUUUAAUUUCGGUGGCUUGUUUUAAUAAACAAGAGUACACUGUUAUUUUUUGGAUCCUCUGUUUAUUACUUAUUUUGGUUAUUUAUAAAGACAAUUUAUAUCAUAAAAGUACAUUGAUCUAUUCAAAGUAAGAUAUAAUGAUAAAAAGUAUAUGCAUUUAUCUAAGAAAAGAAAUGUUUCUUCUAACCAAAAAUCACCUCUGAUAUUUAUGCUUAAGUCAUAUAAACUAUAAUAAGAUUUUAAGAAAAUGAUUAAUGAUAGACUUGUUAGCCUAUUAAGAUUGAUCAUUGUAACUCUAUAAAUCUUAUUUAGAAAAGUAACAUGACAAGGAUGCUCUUUUUGAGCUAAAAGCAUAACAUUGUAUUUGAUGAUUUAGCGCAUACAAAUGUAUACGGACUAAUCAGUUUACAUGUUAUAAGAGGUUAUGAGUAUUCUAUCAAUCUUAUUGAUGAAUAUUCAUUUAAUUUAUGUUUGUCUAAGUGCGUCAUGAUUCCAUUGCUUUUGAAAUUCAAAAGAGUACGUGGAUAAGACAGAAGCAAUUAGACAGGAACAUAAAAGAAUUUCGAUAUGAUCGAAACAAAGAAUAUCUCUAUGGAGAAUUCAAGCACUAUUUGGUUGUCAAUGAACACUAUGAUACAAUAGUGUAAUUAAAUGAAGAAACAAGAUUCUUUUGGAUAAGACAAGAUAUAUACUAAGUGGUUUAUCAUUUACCUUUUUUAUUCCAGAUACUAGUAUUUGAAACUACAAAGUUUAUUGAACUUAGUUUCAUCUAUCUCGGUGUCCACUACUCCAAGAAAUUAUGAAAAAGUCACAAACAUGGUUUGAGACACAUUCGUAUUUGGAGUUUACUAGUAUUUCUACUAGAAUCAGAGAUAGAGAAGAUGGAUUCGUGUUCAGAAGCUUGCAUGUUUUAGGUAUCUUAAAGGAAUAAGGGAAAGUCUGAAUUAUAGUCCUCAAGAUAGGAAUGUAUUUAUAGAAAUAUUCUUUACUUUCUUUGAGGAAGACUAUAUAAUGACUUAUAACCUAAGAGUAAGGUAAAACUAGAGAAAUAAAAGAGAUCAGGUUGAUGCUCAGCUUUCAACACCUGUUAUAGAACAGGAAAAACAGCAACAACCAGCUGAUCAGUACAGGAUUAUCCUUGAACAACCAUCACUUUUAGAAACCUCGUCGUAGUGGGAGGGUAACUAGGUUACCUGCGAGAUACAUGCUUUUGGGAGAAACCUAUACGGCUAUCUCAGAUGAACAUGUACAAGAUCCCACUAGUUACAACGAAGCUUUAAUAGAUAGAGAUGUUGAAUUUUAGAAAAAGGCCAUGAAUCAAGAAAUGGAAUCUAUGUAUUCCAAUAAAGUCUGGGAACUUGUAGAGGCACCAAAUGGGGUAAAACCUAUAGGGUGCAAGUAGAUCUAUAAGAGAAAAAAAAAGGAGUAGUCGGAAGGGUGGAAACAUUUAAAGCAAGAUUAGUAGAUGAAGGGUUUACUCAGAAAGAAGGAAUCGAUUAUGAGGAAACCUUUUCUCCGGUUGCUAUGCUUAAAUCCAUCAGGAUUCUGCUCUCCAUUGUUGCAGUGCUAGAUUAUGAAAUUUGGCAAAUGGAUGUCAAGACUGCCUUUCUUAACGGGCAUCUUGAAGAAAACAUCUACAUGCAGCAACCAGAUGGAUUUAUACAAAAAGGCCAAGAACACAUGGUAUGUAAGUUGCAGAAAUCCAUUUAUGGAUUGAAGCAAGCAUCCCAGUCAUGGAACAUCAGAUUUGAUCAAGCGAUUAAAUCGCUUGGAUUCAUUCAGAGCAUUGAUGAACCAUGUGUGUACAAGAAAAUUCAGGGAAAAUUUGUAGCCUUCCUAAUUCUUUGUGUAGACAAUAUUCUCCUGAUUGGAAACGAUAUAGGAGUAUUGACUACAAUAAAGAUUUGGUUAGCAAAAUAAUUUGAUAUGAAAGACCUGGGAGAGACAAGUUAUAUUCUUGGUAUCAAGUUACUACAAGACCGGAAGAAUAAAACUUUAGCCUUGUCUCAAGCGGUCUAUAUCGAUAAGAUAUUGGCUAGAUUUAGCAUGGAAAAUUCCAAGACUGGUUUAUUACCAUUCAGACAUGGAAUUACAUUCUCUAAGGAUCAAUCACCUAAAACAUCUGAAGAGAUAGAGAGAAUGAGACGAGUUCCCUAUGCAAACGCUGUGGGAAGUCUCAUGUAUGUCAUGCUUUGCACUAGGCCAGACAUCUGUUUUGCGGUAUGGAUGGUUAGCAGAUAUCAAUUUAAUCCUGGACCUCAAUACUGGACUGCGGUCAAGCAUAUAAUGAAGUAUAUGAAAAGAACUUAAAAUUAUAUGCUUGUGUAUUCUGGUGAUAAACUUAUUCUAGUGGGUUAUACUAAUUCUGAUUUUUUGUCAGAUAAGGAUUUUAGAAAAUCAACUUCCGGCUAUGUGUUUACAUUGGGAAGUGGAGCUAUUAGUUGGAUGAGUGUGAAACAAGCUUAUAUCACAGACUCAAUAACUAAAGCUGAAUAUGUGGCUACAUCUGAAGCUGCAAAAGAAGCUAUAUGGCUUUGCAAGUUCCUACGUAAUCUUGAGGUGGUACCUGUUGUAACUGCACCCCUUAAACUAUUUUGUGAUAAUGGUGGUGCGGUAGCUCAAUCUAAGGAACCAAGGAACCACAAGAAACAAAACAUAUUGAAAGGAAGUAUCAUCUUAUAAGGGAAUAGUGUAGAAAGGUUAUAUGACAGUACCCCAAAUGGCAUUAGAUGCUAAAUGGCAGAUCUUAUUACAAUGGCCAUUAGUGGGAAACCUUUAUAACCUACACUUAGAGCCCUAGAGCAUGUGCAAUAUGCCAGAUAUGCUUUGAGAGCUAGUGGGAGAUUGUUGGGAAAAUAUGCUCUUUAAAAGCAUAUGUGUUUAUUUAAUUGUAAUAAACAAUUUUUUUGAUUAAUAAAAUAAAUGAGGUAUUUUAUUCAAAUAUCUUAAUUGCAUUAAUAUUUGUAUUAAAGUCCAUUUAAUCAUAUUAUAUGUAUUUAUGUGAUCACCAUGUGGAUUCACAGAAGACAUAAAUACAAGUUAUCUUAUGAUUAAAUAAAUUUAGUUCGCAGUUGAUAAAUAAAGUUGGGCACUUUAUUUAGGUAUAGACUGUAAUAAAUUCAUUGAAUGAUUUGUCUUAAUCAUGUAUGAAUUUAUUGAUGUAGUACGACUACAUUGAACAGGAUCACAUAUGAGAUUUAAUUAACUUUGUAAUAACUGUCAGACUUAUUAAAUCUCAUAGGCGUUGAUUUUACUGUAAUCUUAAUCUUGAGUUAAUUAUGAUUUCAUUAUUGUGAUUGUUAUUUCAUUUGAGUUACCAAUGGGCACGACACAUCCUUGUGGUCAAGAUUACCCGGUAUCUUGGUGGGAGCAAUUAUGAGUAUUGGAGUUAUGGAUUAACAAUAUAGAAUUUGUACAACACAUCUCUUGAUAGGUUUUCGGUACUUGAUCAUAGAAUUCUCUGGCCAGAGUGUGUCAACAUAUUUAGUAUGUUGAAAAUGAUCAUUAGAGAAAACCAGUAAGGAUCAAGGAAUAAGAUGUUAUUAAAUUGAUUGGACAGUUGAGAUAUCAAUUUAAUUAACGAUGUGGUACAAAGGAUUGUGCAGUAAAGAAAUCAAUGUGGCUUGGGACGAAUUAUUAUUCGAGCAUACAAUUAUGGAAGUCAGUUCCAAUCUUUUAGUGGAGUAGAUUUGGAAUUAAAUAAUUGGGCUAGUUUAAUUACAGGCCUAAUUAUUGUAGCCACUAUUGUAUGUUCCCAAAUGAUCCCCGGGUUAGCUCAUUUAAUUGACUGCACCACUACUGGACUAAUAAGUAAGAUAACUAGCUAUUUGGGUCAAAAGCCUAAAUAUAUCAUUUAGUGGGAGGCUCCAUUUAAUUAGCUUUUGUAUAAGGGGCCUUAUGUUAUUUUACAAGGUGGGUCCCUUAUUGAAAAAGCAAAUAACGUGGGUUUUGUUUUUUGGAUUAUUGGGAGCCUAGGGUUUUCACUAAAGGGUGAUAUAAAAGGCUUAUUUUUCUCUAAAGAAAAGUGAGAAGCCACUUUAUACAAAUUAGAGAAAAAGAUUUUUCUCUCCAUUGUUGAGAGAAAAAUUUUCUCGUGCUAGUUGCUUUGGUAGUGAUAAAGGCGCCCACACGUCAAGUGCAGAUCGAACCUGAGUCAUAACCUGGAAGAUCAUUGGUGACAGUUCGUGAUCUAGCAAGCGUGGUGGUGACGGAUCGUGAUCUAACAGGAGUGGUGGUGGCGGAUCGUGAUCUAGGAGCUUAAAUCACUUCAACGGAAAAAGUCCAAUCGGAUUUUCAAGGUACGAUUUCUGGAUUACGUAUUCCUAUAUAUUAUAUGAGAGCGGUCCUUAAAAAGUUUUAUAAAAAUUAAAAACCGAAUUUUUCCCCAACACAAUCACCAUUGCUUAAUCAAGAAGUAACACGAGAACCUCAAGAUUGAGUAAAAAAAAAAAAGAUUAAACACAACAGAAUGAUCAAUUUCAGAAAGGUCACAACAGAACAAAACAUAAGCAGGAAAAUUAAUUGACUUGACUCUUCUUAAAAUGAGUGUAUCUUGAAUGAAAAAAAGAAUCGUAUGUCAUCUAAACAAAAAUCCUACAGUUACUAAACAUAUAAAGAGUCCAUAGAGUCACUCUUAACGCACGUUAUUUACACCAGAAUGCUUUCACUUUCAUUGACCAGAGCUGAACUUGAUCAAAUUAGGGAGUCAAAGAGUUUCGAAUAUUGACUCAUUAUAUUGUAAAGUUCGUAAGCAUUUCUAUUGGUCUGGGUCUUUUUCUCUUAUAUAGGAAACUUUGCUUUUGAUUGUUAAAAUUAAUUCGAUGGUUUUGCAGUGAUGACGAUUUCAUUUCCUCAAUUUCAUACUCAAAAGUUUUUGAAUAUCUCAUCCCGACCUUGGUUGCUGUUAUGGGUGUAAAUGUGCAAGGCACAACUAGGCCGUUGAUGGAAACUCAUAGAAUAAGUUUGUGUUUCUCUGGUGGCCAUAAUUAUCCACUACAUUGCAUUUUCUGUCGAUAACAUGCCUCAACACUACCAAGCAAAAUCUCCACACCUAUGGGGCCUCAUCGCAGUUAUUUUUUGAUCUCUUUCAGUAGUGUCGUUGGUCUCCACAUUUUUCACACAGUCGGUUGCUGAAAUCAUUUGCUAUGUUGCAUUGAGCUGCACUGCUAUUAUCAUAGUUGUGUACCAAUAUGGCACAAAGCUUAUGGAUGCUUGUCAUUGGCUUUACCACGAAAUUUUGAGGCCAUUUUUUUGCAACAUCUUGAAUUGGUUUCAAGCCCAUAAUAACAACUUCUCUUCAACGGAGCAACAACGACUGUCAGUGUAAUUGAAGCAGUUUAAUCUUUAUUUUAAAAUUUCAUCCAAGAAUUUUUACUUACAGAUUUCACUUAUGUUUCCAGAUUUCAAUAGAUCAAAAUAUAUACUCAAAAUAUAUACUCAAAAUAUAUAGUUUUUCAUUCAAUAAUAUAUAUGUUAUUAUUGACUUUUAUUCACAUAAAAAAUAUUUUUAUUUUUAUUUUUAUUUAUAUGAUUUAUUCAAUCUACAAUGGAUAUGAAUAAAUAUGCAUUUGAAAUGUUAGGAGUUAUUAGCUAUUAUAAAAAUAAUAGGGAGUAAGUAGAUACAAUCUUUGAAAAGAAAAUUUUAAUAUUUAUUAUUGGGAUAUUAUUAUUUUCCUACAAAAAUUUUUCUGACAUAUCAAGUCAGUACCAUGCUUUGAUAAAAACUGCAAUUUACUACCAAACGUUUAAUUUGUUGUUAAUUUACUAUCUUUCUGUUAAAAAUAAGUUAAUAUUUAACGGAAUAUGAGUUAAAAGACGAUUUUGUCCAUGGAGCAUUAAAGACGAUUUUGGCCAUGGAAAAGAAAGAAAUAACAAAAAAGAAAACUACAAAAUUAGUCUAGAAUGGAUGAAGAACGGGAUCCUUGGUGAUCCAUUUUAUCGUUAGGGAUCUAAUUUAUGUCUCUUGAUUUAAAAAAAUUAGGUUUGGGCUUUGAUUAUUUGAUUAUUAAUUUUGUAGCGUUUGGAUACUGUUGAAGAGAGUGAAUUAAUCCACAUUAAAUAUGUAUUGGAACUAUUAGGCUGAAACCAGAUGGCUUCUGUUUACUAAGCAAUACAAGAAUUGAGUUAUAAUUAGGUCUGCUUAUGUUUUACUGUAACUAGAUGGGUUCUGUUUACUAACUUAUCUGUAUUAUCAUCUUUUUUAAGUCAUUCUUUAAGCUAAAUUAGGGUAUUAGAAACAGAGCUAGGAAAGAAAUUAGUACCUGCAUUCAGUAUUGCAAGCUAAUUGCUAGUGCUACUUCAGGUAUAUUGACUGAACAAUCAACACCCGGUUUAUGAUACAUGCAUUUAUAUCACACUAUACUUUAAUGAAUAAACAUUUUUCUUCCUCUAAAUUUCACAUAUUUGGUGCCAGAAUGGAAAACAAAUAGUCCAAGAAGGUGUAUUAAUUGCCUUGGCAUCAGUUGCUGACUCAUCUCAGGUAUUCUAUAAAAUAUGCUUUGAUUAGAAGUUAUUUCUUAUAGAAACCUGUCAGACAGGAUGAUUUUUUUGUAGAAGCUGCUCCGACGGAAACUUCUUUUAAAAGUGAAAAAAAGGGGGAAGCAAAGUAUAUGUUGAACUAACAGAAAAGGUAUCUACAAAGGUGAACAAUCUGUCAGUCCUUUUAAUAACAGCUUCUGCAUUUGAUGUUUUCUCUUUUUUUUUUUUUUUGUGGGUAGUUGAAAAAAAUAUUUCUAGAUGCAUAUAAUGCUCUUUCCUGUCUGUUCACCAAAUAUUUAAUUAAUUUUGAAGGCUGAAGAUUUAAUUAACGAGCAACCAGAAGGAGUCCAUCCCUGUAUUGAUUACCACAACAGCUGUUGGUUGCUGUGGUUUGUUUUUAGCACGAAAACUUUAAAUUUUGAGUUUCAUUUUACCCAAAAACCUCAAUUUCAAUGUUUUCAGACCAACCAUCCAUUCUGCACUCUAAAUCAGAAAACAUAUGAUCAGUAAUGAACUUAGAGUCAGGUCCAGCUUAAGGUAGUAACGGAUUCAGUCUUCUGGUUCUGCCAUUCAAGUUUUCUUGAUAAGUUUACUUUUUUCCCCCCACUCCUCAAAGUGUAACUAACUUUCUUUAAAUUCCACUUUCUUCAAUGCUCAGGAACUAGUGAAACCAAAGUAUUGAUGAAAGCAGCUCAUCGGGAAAUCAUUAUUUGGCUGAGGUAAGAGCCUGGUUUUUAUAAACACUGCACAAAAGAAAGAUCUUUUUGCGGCUGAAAUUUAAUUCUCAGCAAAUACAUCAUUCUUGCGGAUGACUUGUAGGGAUUUCAAAAUAGUCAACGUAUAUAUAGAUUUUAAAAUGUAACUAAUUAAUUAGCUGCAAGAAAGUUGUUUUAUCAGACUAAAUUCAUAUUAUUUUUAAAAUUCAAAAAUCAUCAUAAAAAAUUUAAAGUUUCUCUCUCCCUCUCUUACUCUCAGUCUUGCUCAAUCCUUCACCUCCCAGCCUUGCUCGAUGGUAAUUUAUUGAUUUCAAUUUUAGGUAAGCUCUGUCACUGUAAACUUUGGGUGAUGUGAAUUUUUGUUACUGCAUAGAUCUUAAUAGGUCAAAUUGAAGGGGAGAAAGUUGCUGAUUGUAAAGCUGAUUCUGAAAGCACUUCUUCACUUUUUGAGUAUGAUUUUACAGAUUCAGUAUGUAAUUGAAGUUUUAAAGCAAUGAUUUUGAAUGAUUUAGAAUAUUUAGAUGACUGGUUUAAAUUAACCCGUCAAAGUCGUUGUUUAUACACGUGCACCAUCGUAGGAACAUCUAAUUGGGUGAUAGAUUUUUACUUUUUAUCCUUCUUUUGUAUUUUAAAUAUAUAUGUGCGUGUGUGUGUGAAAAUAUAGGAAAAUUCUCAUUCGUGGAUAUCCGCACAAAGUGCAUGAAUUUUCAUGCGGAUUUAGGUGGUGAAAGCCUUUUACCCAGGCACAAAACCCCAAGUCUGCACAAAAAUACGUGCGAGCAUUUUACACACAUAUAUAUAUAUAUAUAUGGCGAGGAGACUGGAUGAGGAAUACAACUCGUUGUUCAAAGUUGUAUUAGUCUGCAAUUGAGGAGUAGGCAAAUUGAAAUUACUUUCCUGAUUUACUUGUAACGAGUUCUGUUUAGAGUCCAAUUCUACUAGUCGCGUCAAAUUCACCAUCUUUACUCUUCAAGUAACUAUUCGUCUUACUCUAUACUUCAUCUUAAUUACAGUAAUUAAUUUAUUAAUUUUUUAAGAUCUAGUAGAAGUAAUUAGUUUUAUCAAAUUUUUAAUUCGAUUUCCAGAUUAGGAUAAUUUAGAUACAUGUGAAUUGGAAGUGAUUCAAUUUUUUAUCUGAUUUUGUUGUUGCUGUGGAAUUACUAUUAGUAUGAUGAUUAAUUUGUGAUUUUAACUUAUAAUUUGGUUAUUGAUUUAGUUUAUGUGAGAUUUAAUUGGAUCUAUCGUUGUGAGAUUGUAAUUCACAUGAAAUGACUUUUUUUGUUUAAUUUAAAGUUGAAUGCUUUUUGAGUUUUUUGAAAAAGAAUGCUUCAUAAUUUUAAUCUGAAUAUUUUGGGCCACGAUUUAAAUGAUUAAUUUUAUGUGGUAAGGGAAGUGGCAGUGCCAAAUUGUGGACAGCUACGUAUUGGGGUGAAAAAGUUUGGGAUUGCAAUUAUUAGACCUAAUUUAUUCAUCAAGUUAAAAUCGGCACCGGCAAAUUUUGUCAUUGAAUUGGAUAAUUAGAUCGGCAUUUGGUGUUUACUUGUAUAUAUGAGUAGAGGGCUGUUCUCUGUAUGUUGGAGUUGGUGAUGCAGGUUGAAACUAACCUGAAGUUGACUCUUGGCAUAUUAGAGUUGAAUUGGAAUUGCAAUUAACUCAUUAAGAGAAACUUAUGAGCCAUGGGGUUUUUUUCAUUGAAUUAGAUGAUUAGAUCGGCAUUCAAUGUUUACUUGGAUAUGAGUAAGACUGUUCUCCAUAUGUUAAAUCAGGUUGAAAAAAUUACUUACUGAAUUGUUAUGGGUGCAAUCAUUUGAAACUUUUAAGAUUUUUUGCCAUUGUGUUACUAUGCUGUGGUUUUCUAAGUACAAGAGACAUUCAAAAAAACAUAAUAUCUUAAUCACUUCUAAUAAUCCUAUAAGUGCACGACUUUGUGGGUUUUGAAUUCAAGGGACAAAAUAGUAAGUUAUUAACGUAUAGAAUUCGUAUAGCAUUCGGUUUUGUAUAUAGAAGUCAUAUAGAAUUCGGUUUCAUAUUUAAGGCAAUUAGAUUUGUAUAUAUAUUAUGAAUCUGUAAUGCUUUUCUACUUAGAAUUCUAUUCUUUUGGGCUGUACAUCUAUAUAUACAUGUAGCAACGUUAAUGCAAGUAAUAACAAGAGUUUUAUUCAUAAACUCAGUUCUUUAUUUUAUAUGGUAUCAGAGCUUUACUCACUUAUCAAAUUAUUAUCUUCGUUCUUUUGUUUUUGUUUAAAUACUCAUGGCAGAUGGUCAAACAUCAAAACAAGUUGCCAUCCUUAAUAAACAGGAGGAUGAUGUCUUCCUUGUCCACCCAUCAGAUAGUCCAACUGCUGUAUUGGUUUCUCCUUUACUCACUAGUGAUAACUAUGGUACAUGGGUAAGGGCAAUGACUAUGGCUUUACGAGCGAAAAACAAGCUCGGUUUUGUUGAUGGAACUAUAUCAAAACUAGAUGAAGAUGAAGAAGAUGGUGGUAGAUGGCAACGUUGUAAUGAUCUUGUUGGAUCUUGGGUGUUGAAUUCCAUAUCAAGUGAACUUGCGGGAAGUGUGUUGUAUGCACAGUCUGCUAGAGAAGUAUGACAGGAUUUGCAAGAGCGUUUUCAGCAGACCAAUGCGCCAAAAAUCUAUGAACUCAAACAGGCCAUCUCUAAUUUACGACAAGGAGAUGCAUCUGUUUCACUUUAUUAUACUCGGAUGAAGGCACUUUGGGAUGAGUUGAAUUCUCUACAACAAGUAGGACCAUGUACUUGUGCAAAUGCAAAAACUUUCAGUCAAUUGCAGCAACUAGAUCGAGCUAUGGAGUUUCUUCAAGGCUUACAUGAUAGAUAUGCAGCAACGAGGAGUCAGAUUUUGUUGAUGGAUCCUUUUCCUAAUGCAAAUAAAAUUUAUUCCCUUGUGAGGCAAGAAGAAAAACAACAAGAUCUUCACGCUAUAGGGGGAUCUCCAGAAGCUGCAGCAUUGACAACACAAAACCGAAAUUCAUUUGGAAAUAGGAAUUGGAAUAACAAUUCUGCAGUAGACAACAAAGGAGGAAACUUGAAUGCAAAUGGUGGCAGACCAUCGUGUGAACACUGUGGAAAAUUAGGCCACAAAAAACAAAAAUGUUUUGAGUUAAAUGGAUAUCCGCCAAAUUGGAGAAGACGUGGACAAGGUAAUGAAAAUGAGAUUAAAGCUGCCAUGACAACAAAUAGCAAUCAAGACGUCCAAGCACCAAUAUUUACUCAAGAGCAAUAUCAAAAACUCCUAGCUAUGUUGUCCUCUUCAGGUAGCUACAUACUGCGAAUCUUGCAGGUAUAGCACUAAAUUCCUCUUUAUCACAUACUUGGAUCAUAGAUACAGGCGCUACUAAUCAUAUGUGUAGUUCGCUAGAUUUUUUUCACUCCUAUGAACCAUGUCAUGUUCCUCUUCAUGUUCAAUUACCAGAUGGUACAGUAGUACAAGUACUCACAUAGGGAAAGUCUCUUUUUCACCAGAUUUUUUAUUAGACAAAGUAUUUUACAUUCUGAGUUUUAAGUUUAAUUUACUGUCUGUUAGUCAGUUAACCAAAUCAAAUAGAUACAAGGUAAUUUUUUCUUCCAAUUUUUGUGAGUUUCAGGACCUAUACACGAAGAAGCAGAUUGGCAAGGGUAGACUUCGUGAAGGUCUUUUCUACAUCCAACUUCCAGCUGCAUUUUCUUUCACCUCCCAAAUCACCUCUACACAUGAGAUUGAUCUUUGGCAUUGGAGACUUGGCCACCCUUCUCUUGGACGUUUAGAGCAUUUUUCAAAAACUUGUCCUAUGGUUAGUUUUAAUAAAGAAUAUGUUUGUGAUAUUUGUCCUAAAGCAAAACAAACUAGAAAGCCAUUUUCCAUUAGUAGCAUCAAAAGUAAAAUACCUUUUGAAUUAAUCCAUUGUGAUGUUUGGGGUCUUUUUUCAACUUCAAGUUUUUCAGGGGCUCAUUAUUUUUUAACCAUUGUUGAUGAUUAUACUCGAUGCACUUGGUUAUAUUUAAUGAAAACCAAAUCCGAAACCCAAUUGCAUUUAUGUUCUUUUCAUGCAUUGAUAAAAACUCAAUUUAAUACUAACAUUAAAAUUGUGCGUUCUGACAAUGGGACUGAAUUUCUUGUUAAAGAAUUACAGAAAUUUUUUUUAGACCAAGGGAUUAUUCAUCAAAGAAGUUGCGUUCGAACACUGCAACAGAAUGGUGUGGUUGAGCGUAAACAUCGCCAUCUUCUCGAAGUUGUGCGAGGUCUACGUUUUCAAGCCAAUUUGCCAAUUAAAUUCUGGGGGGAGUGUGUUCUUACUGCAGCAUAUUUGAUCAAUAAAUUGCCUAGUGAUGUUCUUAAUGGAAAAACCCCACAUGAAAUGCUUUUUGGUAUAGCACCAGAUUUAUCACGCCUAAAAGUUUUUGGUUGCUUGUGUUUUGCCAAAAAUUUACAAGUUAAAAAUAAAUUUGAUCAGCGGGCGAAAAUGGGAAUUUUUAUUGGUUAUCCUUUUAGUAAAAAAAGAUAUCGGAUUUAUGAUAUUGAAUCUAAGAUAAUCUAUGUGUCACGUGAUGUUCUCUUUUAUGAACAUAUUUUUCCUUUUAAGGAUGUUAAAUCACCGGUUUUUUCUACACAUGUCACUAAUGAGUUUUUAUUUGAUGAAAAUUUUUUUGAGUCCAAUACUCUUUUAUCACCUUCUCCUAAUGAAAACAUAAGUUCAUCACAUGCUCUUCAUGAACGUGACCCACCUUUGCAAGACAAAGAUCCAUCCGUGACCAAUUCUUCUUCUCCCGACACCACUCAUGAACACAUCAUAACUGAAACAUCAUCUACCCAACAGCCUGGUUCACCAGCAGAUGCAACCUUAGAUUCAUCACUUUCUUUAGGCAACCAAAAUAUCCAGACUCCCACACGACCCCAACGUGAUAGACGCCCACCAGCUUACCUUCAAGAUUAUUGUACCUUGGCUUCUCACAAUUCUACCCAUGCUGAUCUUGUUUCUUCGUCUCCAGGUAAGAAAUAUCCUCUUCACAAUUUUAUUUCUUACCAUCUUUUUUCUCCAGCACAUAAGUCUUUUUUGUCUGCCAUUACCUCUACAACCGAACCAAGUUCUUUUCAUGAGGCAGUCAAGUUACUUGAGUGGCGCAAAGCCAUGGAGAAUGAGAUAACAGCUCUUGAGAAAAAUAAUACGUGGACUCUGACUCAUUUGCCGGAUGGUAAAAAGGCUAUUGGCAGCAGAUGGGUUUAUAAAAUUAAAUAUCAAUCCAAUGGCACCAUUGAGCGUUAAAAAGCUCGUUUAGUUGCUAAGGGAUAUACUCAAACAGAAGGCAUUGAUUAUCAUGCUACUUUUUCACCGGUUGCUAAGCUUGUCACUGUGAGAGCUUUACUUUCUCUUGCGGCUGUUAAGGGUUGGAUUUUAGAACAAUUAGAUGUAAGCAAUGCUUUUUUACAAGGAGAUUUAGAGGAAGAAGUUUAUAUGCAAGUACCACAAGGUUUUUCUAAGCAGGGGGAAUAUCUAGUCUGCAAACUCAACAAAUCUAUCUACGGAUUACAACAAGCAUCCAGAAAUUGGUUUUCCAAAUUUUCUGCUACCAUUCAACAAGCUGGUUUUCGCCAAUCUAAGGUUGACUAUUCAUUAUUUGUAAAAACUAAUGCCAAAUUUUCAACCUUUGUGUUAGUUUACAUUGAUGAUAUUAUCGUAGCAGGGAAUGAUGCUGCCGAGGUUAGCAGAAUUAAAGAUUUUCUUGCACAGAAAUUUUACAUCAAGGCAUUAGGGAAGUUGGAAGUAUUUUUUGGGGAUCUAAGUGGCACGGUCAUCACGUGGGAUCUUCUUGAGUCAGCGAAAAUAUGCCCUGGAUAUUUUAAAGGAUGCUGGUUUACUUGCUGGACGAGUUUCUCAUUUUCCAAUGGAACAAUAACUUCGGCUUUCAUCUACGGAUGGCGACCUUUUAUCAAAUCCCUCAAGUUAUCGACGUCUUGUAGGUCGGUUGAUCUAUCUCACAGUUACCAGGCCUGAUAUUGUCUUUGCAGUACAUGUUUUAAGUUGAUUUAUGCAUGAACCACGAACUACUCAUAUGGAUGCUGCCAUUCGAAUGCUUCGGUAUUUAAAAGGCUCACCAGGCAAGGGUAUCUUAUUAUCUUCAACAAGUGACUUACAUAUCCGGGGUUACUAUCAUGCGGAUUGGGGUAGUUGUCCUACUACACGUCGGUCUGUUACUGGUUAUUGUACUUUCCUUGGUGACAGCCCUAUAUCUUGGAAAACAAAGAAGCAAAAUGUGGUCUCUCGAUCUACAGCAGAAGCUGAGUAUCGCUCCUUGGCUGAUCUUUCAUGUGAAUUACAGUGGCUCAAAGCACUUUUUGCUGAUUUGGGGCACCUUCAACAUGAUCCUAUGACUGUUUUUUUGUGAUAAUCAAUCAGCUUUAUAUAUCGCCGAGAAUCCUGUCUAUCAUGAGCGAACAAAGCACAUUGAGUUAGAUUGUCAUUUCGUGCGAGAGCGUGUGCAAUCCAAUUUGUUAUUACCACUGCAUAUUCCUACUUCCAUGCAAGUAGCUGAUGUGUUUACAAAACCUCUCGGACAUGCUCUUUUCCAUCAUCAUAUACGCAAGUUGGGCGUUGUUGAUCUCCACGCUCCACCUUGAGGGGGAGUAUUAACGUAUAGAAUUCGUAUAGCAUUCGGUUUUGUAUAUAGAAGUCAUAUAGAAUUCGGUUUCAUAUUUAAGGCAAUUAGAUUUGUAUAUAUAUUAUGAAUCUAUAAUGCUUUUCUACUUAGGAUUCUAUUCUUUUCGGCUGUACAUCUAUAUAUACAUGUAGCAACGUUAAUGCAAGUAAUAACAAGAGUUUAAUUCAUAAACUCAGUUCUUUAUUUUACAUAAGUCUAGUGAAUAAUAUUUGAAAACACGUGUAAAAUGGAUUGAAUUGCUGUAAGAUCUGUCCAAAUUAAACAGUCUAAACUAAUUUACAGGCUUGUGGGAACAAAUAUAUAUAUAUAUUUUUUAGCAACUUCAGAGUCAUUAAAAAAUGGAAAUUUUGUCCCAAAGCAGCUUUUUGUUGUAUGAUUAAAGAGAAAUGUGUGAUUUUCAGGUUGAAGGAAGGACAACAAAAGCUCAGAUAUGGCACACUGCAGGUCAAGAGGGAUACAGAGCAAUAACCAGUGCCUAUUAUAGGGGCGCGCUUGGAGUGCUCUUUUAGUUUAUGAUGUGACAAAAUCAACAACAUUUGAAAACGUGAGCCGGUGGCUGAAGUAUCUGAGGGACAACUCCAACUUUGUGAUCAUGAUGAUCGGCAAGGGGACUGAUGUGAAGCACCUCCCAACUUCUACGUCAAUUUUUUUAGACUCUCAAUGGAUUAUUGUUUAAACUUGUUUUUAUUUAAUUUUUGUUAACAAUGUUAUAUUUGAAUUAUCCUCCUUAAUUGUUGUUGAGAUAUCAGAAUUAUUUUGUUAUUGUAAGAAAUAAUUCAAUGGGCCACUCCAAUUCUCAGCCCAAUGUGCAGCUUGUUAACCAAAACAAAGAAGCCCAGCAUUGUGCUAUUGUCUCCUUCAUUGAAGAGACCUGUCACAGAAUACUCUCUGCAUACAUAGUACAGUGCACAGAGAAAUAUUGUAAACCAUUUGAUGCUAGGGUUACACAAAUCUAUGGCUAGAUUAACAGUUUAGGUUACUUGGAGAGCACAAACAAAGGCCCGUCAUUAUCUCAACAUUCAAAAUUCUAACUGUUAUGGCAGUGUGUGCCAGCCAUGUUACAGCUUACGAUUUACAUUCUCUUUUCUAAUUUGUAUUUAUUAAAUUUUUUCUCAUAAGAUGGGUAUUUUCCUUGUGUGUUUGCCGAAGUCUUGAACAAUUUAUGUUUACCAAUUUCAUUUAAUAUCUUUUAUGAUACAAAAGUCUCUGUCAAUUUAGAUAUUUUGUUUACACAGUUCUUUAGCAAGUUUUUUUUUACGUUGCAUUCCAAAAUUUAAAUUAAAAGAAAUUAUGUUAAUUGUAAUAUUAAUAAAGAUAUGUAGAUUGAUUAUUGGACGCGAUGCGACAAUGCGCAAUUUAAAAAUUGAAAUAUUACAAAAGCCCAUAAAUUUUGAUGUGUGAAUGAAAUGAAAUUAUCGGUACUUAUAUGAUAUAGAUACAUAAGAGAUAAUUUAUGAUAAGUCUUCUUCUAAGUAGGUGUGACGAAGACCUUAUUUUUUAGAAUGUUGACCAAAUUAAAAGGACAGAAAAUCAAUCCUAAUUUGCUAAAAGAUAAAAAAUAAUAAUAUUAAAAUAUGUGUUUUUAUAUAUAUUUUUUAAUUUUGUUCUUAUAUUAAUAAAAUGAGGACAUCCUCAUUAGGAAAUUAUUCAAUUUAUAAUAAACCAAAAAUUUGUCAUAAUUUACACAAAUUAAAGCAUUGCAUUUGCAUAAUUUCAUCAAACUUGCAUAAAUUCAAUUAAUAUUAUUCACAAUCUUACUAGACGAACAAAAAAAGAAAAGAAAACAAAAAUUAUAUUAAAAAAAUAGUUACUAAUAAUGGAAAAUAAAAUGGAUAUACGUUGCAAUUGAUGCAGCAUAUUCAGCAUUCACACCCGUUACGUUUAAGAAAUAAAUUGAGUAAAUUUGAGACCCAACGCAUCCUCAGAUUCCCAUUAUGCUAGAAGAAGGUGAUUUAAAUGUUGAACAAACUUAAAGAAAAGAAAAGAAAAGAAACAAAACAGCAUCUUGCGACCAUCUUGACUAAAUUUCAUUUUCCUCGCAUUUUCAUCGCUACUAAGCUCCAAUCAAGAAUUACAAAACCAACGGUCCAUCAUUGUCUUUCCCUUUUUUCAGUUAUGCCACCCAUGGAACGAAUCCAUAUUAGUCGGUUACUUUAACUCCUAAGUUGGGUCUAUUGUAUGCUUAAAAGAAGUUAGGAGUUGUGAUAAUUAAGCCUCUCUAUAUAUUUCACCAUCCCUUGCUCCUCAAUUAAAUAUAUAUAAUUACUAAAAUUAUCCUUACUUUUUAAUAAGGAUAAUUAAUAUUUUAAUUUUAAUUUUUCCCCCUCUCAUCAGCUCUCUCGCACAAGCGUCACCAUCAUCCUCACCAUUUAUAUUCAUCACUAUCAAUUCAUUACCGCUUGUAGAAUAUAAUGAGUUUUUGUUGUUGAGUUUUAUCUAAUUUUAUAAGUGAUGAAUUUUAUUGUACUGAUUGUAUGGAUUUUGAUGUGUGACGAAUAAAUUACCAAAAAAAAAAAAAUUCUUAUUACUGGUCGCUAUUAUUUCUCACCUCUUGAAACUUAUCAUUAUCAUAAGAGCCGAACAACAAAAUUAUGAAAAUCUAUUUUUGACUUAAUUUUUUAUUCUCUUGUUUUUAUUGUUUUUUCUUUUUAUGCUUCCUUUGUUCUUGAAUUUAGCUUACAAAAUUAGUGAUCAUGAUACCAUAAUAUAUUGAGUUUGCUUCAUUGAAGGAGCAAAGUAGGUUACUCCAAAAAUUAAAAGUUGAAACUAAUAACAGUGCAAACCAGAGGAAAAAAAAUUUGAAUUUACCAUUUUUAUAAUAUUGAUAAAAAUUAUAUAGUCUAAUAGUGUCAUCACUCUUCUUCUUCCGUGAAUUGACUAUUUUUAUAUAGUCUCCCUUACUUUUGAGAACCUUAAUUCACUCUCCAUAUUUGUUAAGAAGCCAAAAAUAAAUAAAUAAAUAAACCGAACCUCAUUUUCCCUUAUCUUUUGACUAAAUAUAGGAGUAAUUUUAAGACUUUCAAAAAUAAGGGGGAUGAUUUGAAGAUAAUCAAUUCAUGAGAGUAUAAUCCAAAAUUCAUCCUUAUGCUACUAAAAGGAUUUAUACUUUUUUAGUGCAAGUUGUUUUUUUACUAUUUGAAUUUGAUUUUUAAGUGCCAAAUAAUUUUUUUAAUAACUUUUAUGUUUGAUUUUUUUUAAGAGUUAUGCUAUUAGCACCCCCUCAUUUCCUAAUAAAACUCUGUCUUUAGAUUUAUAAUUUUAUGCAUGUGUAAAAUUAGAGGAAACCACAUCCAAUUUCAUCUCGUCUUCCGCAAACUUAUUACAACCACACAUUGCAGAUUCAUAUUAUAAAUGAAUUAGAUAAUCGUAAACUUGUGUAUUUGUGCUUUUCUUUUAGCAAUUACUGUGAAAAGUUAAAAAAAAUUAUAAAUGGGAAUAUAUACAAAUCCGUUCGUAUAAUAGUGACGUCGAACAAAAUAAAAAUAAAAACUGUAAUAAUGAUAGCAUAUCCAUUAAGUCACGAUCUGUCUUCGUUACUUAUAAAAAGUCAAUCAGGUCGGGUUUCGGUGGCAUGACGAGACAAUCAUGAUAUUCAAAAGACAAUCAUGACGAGACAAUCGUUACUUAUUGGAGUGGAUUCUUGUUUGGAAUAUUUUCAAGUUUCCACGCACUUUAGAUUCGAUGGGCACUAAAUAAAGCCAGGGUUUCGUUACCACAAUUCGCUAUCAAAAUUGAUUUAAUACCAAAUUUACUAUCAAAAUUAAUUUUCCUUCAUUGCUUAAUUUUAACAUAAUUCAUGAUCGUUCCUUUCAUCAUCAUAAUCAUCAACAUCAUUAUUAUCUAGUAUGAAUGACUGAAGGUGUCUAAUUGACUUUUCUUUUUAUUCAUUUCUUUCUUAUAUCAUUUAGUUGAAAGAGAAAAGCUACUCCUUCAUAGAACCCUGUAAGUUAAUGUACAAUCUUGACUCUUCUCUUAUGUAAUUCUUCAUUUCAAUAGAAGUGGGUAUCUAUUAAUUUAAAUAGAGGAGCGAAGGGGGUAUCAACAGUGAAGAGACCAUCGAUGUAUAUCCGUAUACUUAUGGGUUUGAAAAUAAGUCUUAGAAAAUAGAUAUUCUCUUCAAAUGUUAUGUCGGACACAACAUAGAUUUUCCUUUCUUUUCAAAUUUUAAUUUAAAACAAAUGGUUGUUUUGUUGUCGUGUUGGAGGAGUUUUUCGGAUGAACCUUGACUGGUCGUAGGGAUAUUUUAAAAAAUAUAAGUGAUUAUAUGAUGAAAUCCAAAAAGGUUAAAGGAAAAUAGCAAUUUCCAUUAUUGAAAAUCUACCCAAAAUUACAUUCUCUGAAAACGACAAACAACCAUCACGAAUAUUCACGAUUCACAUUGCCAUUAUUGUUUAUUCAUUAUCAUAUUGAUUAAUUUUUCUUAUCCACACGAUCGUAAAUUGUCUUAUAUAAUAUAACUAAAUAAUUAUAACAAAAUGUGAAAGCAUUGCAUGACUCGACAGGGGAGACCAAUGAUGGCAGAAUGGUAAAUAAAGGCAAUAAGGAGGCUUGUGUCCUUUGACGGCAGAAUGGUAAAUAAUGAUGCCGUUGUUGGAAUAACUUUUGGUUACAUUACAAAUCCUAAAGUUCCCUAAUUCCGUUUAUGUCCCUACCUCCUAAAUCUAUAUAUAUAUAUACGCUUUCCUAAAGCUUGUUCACCACUUGCUUGCUGUUUUCUCAGGUCAUAUUAGCGUGUGAAAUUUAAAAAGGUAUUAGCGUUGGAAAAGAUAGGUGAAAUUUAAAAAGGUAUUAGCAAAUAAUAUUUUGAUGGUCACUCUGUGCUUCAUCAUGUAAAGUGGAUUGAAUUGCUACAACCUUUGACAAACAUUUAUAAAUAACCGCACAUUAAUCGCCACGUUUGCAAAUAUUCUGCAUACAUCCUUUGACAAACAUCUUGCUAAUGAAUUUAGACGUUAAAACAGUACAAUCACUAAUGAUCUAACAAUUUAACGAAAUAAAUAGAUAGAGUUGGUUGAGUCAUGCAUGAAUGAUAUAAAUAAACUAUAAGUUUGUUUUGCCUGCUUAAUUAUCUGUAGAAAUUAUUUUAAGUUUAAUUAAGCUCAAAUUGGCUUUUGAGAGUAGAUGUUAUUUUUUUGUAAAAUAUUAAAAUGUCUAAAAUAUUUUUUAUUUAUUUAAUAAUCUUAUUUCAUUCCUUUCAUAGAGUAUUUAAAAAAAAUUACUAUUAAAGUAAUUUUAUAAUUUUUAAUAAAAAUUCUUAUUGAUAAUCAAACAACUAAUUUUUUAUUUUUUUAAAUGAAAGCUCCAUUUGUAAAAUUUUUACCAAAAAAACUAUACUUAAAUAAGCUGUAUUUAAAAAAUUUUACCAAAUGGAGUCUCAAUAAAAAUAAAAUAGCUUAGGUAGCGUUUUUUUUUUUUUAAUCUAAAUGUGUUUGAAUUUUUCUAAAGUCUGAAUGGAUCUAAAUAUGAAAAUCUAAAUGACAUGUUUGUUUUUCUUUUUUAAAUAUCUGAAUAUAAGUGACAUCUUGUUUGUUUUUAUAAUAAAAAACAUCUUAAACUUGGUUACUUGACAUUUAUGUCCUUGUAAAUUAAAACAAAAAAAGAGGAUUAGAUUUUAUAGUUUAGGAAAUAUGUUAUUUUACAAAGAUAUUUUUAGAAUAUAAUAUUUACUUGUCUUUCAGACCUUUUUUCAUUCAGAUAAAAGUCACAAAUGUUUACUUUUUCUAUUCCGAUGUAAAUGUCUGAAAAUCAGAUAUAAGUUCUAAAAAAUAAACAAGCAUAUUUUAGAAAAUGUUUGAAAUUAAUAAAAUUUCAGACUUCAGACAUUUAACAAACAACUUCUUAUUAAUCUUUAAAAGUUCUUCUAAAAAAAAGACAAUAAAAUUUUUUAAAAGAUCUUAUGAGAUUAAAUAAAUAUUUAUGAUUAUUAAAUAAAUCAUGUAAAAUAGGCACAUACUUGUAAAAUGAUAGACUUUGUUUGUAGUUUAUUACCGAUUUGUCGUUCUUUAAUAAUAGGAAAUUGAUUGUAUGAAAGAUAAAGAUAAAAAUUAAUUAGAAUUUUAUAUAGUAAAAAAAUUGAUUAUUUGUGUUAAGGUAAAUUUUUUUUUUCCCCUUCGAACAGGUGUGAUUUUGAUGGUAGCAGUAUAACAGAACUAAUUGACCACGAAAGAUAUUCAAAUAUACUCUGGGCCCCAAUAUUUACAUGUCCCCACAGGCCAUAUAUAGAUGCACGUCUGUGUUUACACUUAGGAAUUUCCUUUUUGACAAAGGAAUCUUCCUUUGUCUAUAAGUUACAGCUUGGUGACAUUAGCAGCUCCCUUCAUUUAGACACUAAUUGUUGUAUUCGUGCAGUCUAUAAGUUACGGCUUGUGAAAUUGGCAGCUCCCUUCAUUUACACACUGUUUCUGCCCUCGUUUAGACCCUUUUUUGGAAAAACACUAUUCGCACAAGUGGCUUUUUUGGAAAAUCACUUUUUUGUAUUUUCAGGUACUCCCGCAGUUCCCUAAGUCGGUUUAUGUCCCUACGUCCUGAAUCAAUGUACAUACGCCUCUCUUGAAACUUCUUCACCACUUGCUUGCUUCUUUCUCAGUUCAUUUGCUUCAGCUUCCUCUUCCACUUGCAUCCUUCUUAAUCCAAUGCAGUGUAAAUAUAAUUAGUAGCAAGUAAACUAAUUAACGUCCCUAACUCUUUUAAAAGUCUUGCUACCUCUUAUGAGCAGAAAGAGAAAGCAAAGAAAUGGAAGUGCGGAGGUUUCAUGUUAAUGGCGGGUACCGAGUUGAGAGAAUCACAACAACUGAUUCUCAUCAAUUCCCUCGAGAGAGGCGUACCCUUCCUCAAAGGUUUCUCCUCUCUUCUCGUCCUUCUCUCAAUUAUAUAUAAAUAAUUUCCUUUUGGCUUCAUUACAAAAUUUUGGCGGGUUUCAAGUGGGACAUAAAUGUAUAAUUCGUGAUUAGAUAAUAUGACUUUUUACUUGCAGGUUACACACUACGAUUAUCAUGAUAUCGAGCUGUGUAAUCCAUAUGAGCGGACCAACGUUUAUUAGGUGAGUAUCUACUUUCAUUUGCGAAAAAUGUAUUCAGUUUCCAAUGUCCAUAGAUCUUGUUUGUAUAUAUGCAACACCAUAUGAUAUAAAGUCAUUUGUUUCUUCUUGAUAAAAGUUCGUCUUAAUUUGCACCAGGAUUGUACAAAUUAAGGCUUGGCACGGCAGGGGCAAGGUCUUUUUGAUCUCAGCCUUUAAAAGUACUUGAUUUUGUGUUUUGCAAUUUCGUUUCUUUUCUUUUCUCUCUCUCUCUCUCUCUCUCUUUUUUUUUUUUAAGAAAUUUGUGUUUUGGAAUUUCUUAAAAUUAGAGUUAAGCUUCCAGCACCUCUUUAAUUAAAACUCUUAUAUGAAACCCCCACUUAUUAUAUGUAUAUCUCUUAUAAUUAAAUAUUAAACUAUAAAUUUUAUAAUAAAAAUCUUAUCAUUAUAUAAUUUAUUAUUUUAUUACCCCAAAAUUAUUUUGAUUUUAAAAUAAUUAUUUUAUAUCAUUUACAUAUGGGAGGGUUCAUGAUUUUUAAGUGUAAAAAUGUUUCAUUUAGUUACAUUUAUAUUUAUCUUUUUAUGUAAUUUUUCUCUAACACUAGAGCUACGAUUACAAAAUGUGGGGUCUUAGUUUCAUAAGUAUUUUAAAAGGCUGGGAAAAGCAAUAUUCUAAGAUUAUCUUCAUUAAAUUUUACAAAGACAGUAACUUGUAUGGUUCUACUUAUACCACCCCUCAAUUUUUCUUAUAAAGCCUUUUUUUUAUAUUUAUGAUUUUACCUUAAUAAGACUACAUGAAACGAUAAAUUCAAUUCAAUUUUUUUUAAAACCUCUUUCUUUUGUAUAAUUUUAACUAUGGUUAAAAUAGUGAGGUUAAAAGGAUUUAGAAUAUUAAAUAAUGGAAUGAAGGGAAAAGUUCCCAAAUCAAGGGCACGAAAGAGCAUUACCCCAUAUGAACAAACUAAGAACGAUCCAUCAUCAAAUAAUGAUAGAGAAAGCAGAGUUAAAGAGUAUACAUUGCAACUAUAUAUUAUUUUUAUAUCAUAAUUUAUUAUGCAAAUUAAGUAAUUAUAUCUUCUUUUGAUGGUUUUGCAGUGUGCAAAAUUUGUCGUCAUCAUCGGCACCAUACCACAAAAUCUUUGCAUUUCUAAUUCCAUUGCUUGUUGGAGUUAUUGAGAUUAAUAAUAUUCAAGAAAAAAAUAAAUCCUUGAUCGAAACACACUCGAUGAGUAUGUGCCUGUUUCUGUUGGCACUACUCAUCUACGCCUUUCCAUAUUUUGCUACCAUGAAAUUCAAGCUUCAAAUCUUCAAGGCAAUUGUUGUGAUCUCAGGGUCUCUUUGCUCAGUUUCAUUAGUCUCCAUUACUCUACCACACCCUUAUGGACAUUUCAGUUUCAUUAUGUGGGCUUUUGUUGUUCUUCUUGUUGCUUAUAACAGGAGGCUUCAUAAGAAGAUUUGGCAAUUUUGGAAUAGAUUUGGAGGAAACAAUCAACUGCUCGAUCGCCUAUAUGCAGACACAUACCCGUGGAUGACAGCGGCAGUGGCCAAGAAGCAGCCAGAGUGGUGGCGGCUACGAUGGCGGCAACGGCCAUGAUUGUCUUUGUAAUAUAUUUGCCUUGUCUUCUCUCUCUACAUUACAAUAAAAAUUAUCGUAAAUAAUACCCAAGAGAAGGGGGAGGAAGCACGAGAUGAAAAUGGCCCCAUGAUAGUGGACUUGAGCAAAGUCGCUGGUCCCAUUUGAAUUUUGAUGCCGCAAUUUUUAUCUUUUUUAAUUUUUUUGUGUGGAAAAUUCUCUUUUAAAUGUGCAUUACAGCCAAAAUUCUAUCUCAUAUUAAAUGAAAUCAAGAUGAUGCAAAUAAGCUGCCUCUGCCAUCAUGACCUUCAUCAUCAACAACACUUAGAUCCUUGAAGGUAAAUACAUAUAUAUUUUUUUUUUAUAUUUUUAGUUAUUAUGAACUACGUACAGUUCUUUCUUUUAAUAGAUGAAAGAGUCUAAAUUUAACAAAGCUCAGAUUUUAAAUUUUUGAGAGUAAAAAGUUAAAUUUUUUUAAAAAUAUUAAAAUAUUUAAAACAUCUUUCACUUAUUUAAUAAUUUUUUUAUUUUUUAUAAUAUAACUUAAAAAACAUAAUCAUUAAAAUAAUUUUAUAACUUUUAAUAAAAAACCUCAUUCAUUAACAAAUAAAUAUCUUAAAAAUUUUUUUAAUGAAAACUUGACUAGCAAAAAUUAUAUUUAAGUGAACUCCAUUUAACAUGUAUAGAAUUUGAUCUAUUCUUAUAACACAACAAAAUCAACCCGCUGCCCAGGAUCCCUACAAGAUCAAUACUAAGCUGCAUACACUUAGUUUAAGCUCAAUCAGAUCAGAACAAUAACUCAAACUAAUUGUAUCAAGGACCUUGAACAAACUAAGAUGAAAUCAAGAAACUAAAGCAAUCAUAACACAAAACACACACAGAGAUACGUGGUUCGGUCUGUGUUUGACCUACGUCCACGGUGAAUCCAUCAGGAAAACCUCCAUUAAUGAAUCAAGAUGUUUAGUUACAGUGCUGUGAGAUCAAAACUACAAAGAACAAGAUUUCACUCUCCCUCUUUACAGUUUCUCACAGAAGUCUCUGGAUCAAGAUGCUGCACAGGAACACGACACGUGUUCAAGAAUCUGUUAUAACGAACUUGGGAUCGAUUAAAAUGAUCACGCGCUCGCUCUCGUGCCUCCACAAAUCAGUUGUGCUCAAAACGAUUUCAUGGUUGCCGUUUUAUGCAUUAAGAGCUUUAUGCCUCUCACGUGACUUCAUUAAGCCAAUUAGAAGACUUAGCAAAACGAUGCCGCUUUGGUUAAACCAUAUGAAGCACAUGGACAUCCUAAGAUGAAAAUCCCACCAUCGGGGGCCCCCCCUCGGUCACACCACGGAAAAUCCAACAAUUCCAGCUGUGCUCAAGACGAUUUCAUGGCUGCCGUUUGAUGGAUUAAGAGCUCUAUGCCUCUCACGUGACUUUAUGAAAAGAAUAAGGAGAUAUCAGGUAAGAUAUAUAAUUUUUCCACAGUUCAAUAAUUAUAAAAAUAUAAAACCGAAAAUGUAAGAAUCAUGAUGGUAAUGUUUUUUGAUCUAUCGUGAAAAGUAUAUCCUCCCACAGGGUCCCACGUCGAACAAUUCCACAAUCGAGGUCCCACUCUCGGUGGUUACCAUGUCUUUACCCAUUUUAUUCAUAAAGGUAUGAACAGUCUUAUUUCUUCUCUUUAAAUUCCUUGUCAUUUCCCCAUUUUCUUCAAUCUUUAACAUUCAUCAGUAGCAGAUUGCAGUUCGCCUCCGAGGAUGCCGAGCAAUCUUCAUCAACAAAACACUUCACCUUCAAAGUAUAAUUUUAUACUGUUUUUUUCCCCCCAUUGAUAAUUUAUAUUCUACCACCCCCGGUAAAAGCUUACAAACAUGGUUUAUUUUUGCAGUGAAGGAAAUUUGGUUUCGUCGAUGCUUUACCAAGUCAUUUUUGCAUAUCUGAUUCCAGUCCUCAUUGGUAUCCUGGGAGCCAAUACUCAGGGCAGAACAGAGCCCUUGUUCAAAACACAUACAAUAAAUAUGUGGGGUUUUCUUGUGGCCAAGGUAAUCUACUGCUUCGCACUUGCAGCUGAUAUCAAGUCCCGCCUUCAUCAAGAAAAUUCUUCGCAGUUAUCGGGCCUUGUUGCGGUUGUCUCAGGAUCUGUUUCUGCAGUAUCUUUGGUCUCCACCUUUCUUCCACCGUCCAUUGGUCAUAUCAUUUUGUACACUUCAUGGUUUUGCGCUGCCACUAUCAUUUUUCUCUAUCAAUAUGGCAUAUUGUUUAUGGAUGCCUGCCGUCGGUUCUACUACGAUACUUUGAAGCUACUUUUCACCAGAAUUUGGAAUUGGUUUCAAGAUAAUUAUCUCCUCGAAACAGCUGCAGAGUGAAGGGUAGAAACUUGCAGGAACCUCUCUUGAAUAACCUAAGGCACACGAAGCGUAAAAAUUUUCAACUUUUAGCAUGCAGGUGGCGCAAAAAAUAAUUUUUUUAUCCUUUAAAAAAAGUUUUAAUAUACUUAUAGUGAUUGUUGCUGCAAUUCCAAAGUUAUAUAUAUAGUUAGAUUGCGUUCUGUUAUACCACUUAUUCGGCAGCCUCUUUCUAAAAAGAAUAUUUUGACGUUUGUUAUUUGAUAAUUUUUCGGGAUAGUUAAUUAGGUUGAAUUAAAUUCUGAUGGAGUGUUAAAAAAAAAUUGAAAGUAAAUAUAUCCAUUGUAUAUCUCUUUAAAAUAUAUAUAUAUAUAUAUAUAUGUGUGUGUGUGUGUGUGUGUGUGUGUGUGUGUGUGUGUGUGUGUGUGUGUGUGUGUGUGUGUGUGUGUGUGUGUGUGUGUGUGUGUGUGUGUUUUUGUGUGUUUAAUGGCCAAUAAAAUUAGAACAGGUGUCACAACAUUUAUUAAUGUAAAAAACAUUUGACAAUUUUAACUAACUUAACUAAUUAGCUAAUGUUAUGUUACAUUCAUGUAACUUAUAACUCAUUCACAUAAAUAAUUAAUGGUAUGAGCUCAUGUAUUAUUCAUGUGAGAGGAUUGUAAAUUAUACGCAUGUGAAUUAAGGGAAUUACAAGUAAUUAUAUAUCUAAAUUAAAAGACUGAAGAAAUUAGCAAAGAAUAAAAAAUAUUUUAAAAUUUCCUAGUACGUGAAAAAUUGAAAAAAAAAAAACACAGCGAAAUUAUGGGCCCCGCAACUUUCGGGGAAAAACCAAAACAUGUCAGCUUUCUCUCUCACUAUCAUUCGAAGAAGCAUUCUCACGAUCAUUUGAAAUUCUAUGAUAUCAGGCUCAAUUAAGACCAAGAGGUCGCUUUUUAUCAUGAACUUUCAGGUUUAUUUUCAAUUAAUCUCACCAAAUUUGAUGGAUUUGUUCACUAGUUUCAUGAAUUUCAUCUCUCACUCUCAUUCGAUUGAAGAAGCUUUCACUUCCAUUUGAAUUUUUUCGAUCUCGAUCGGUUUCAAUACAGCGGAAGAGGUUUGAUUUAAAUCUGGCUUUUAUUCAAGAAUUUCAUAUUAAUCUCACCAAAUAUUAUGUGUUUUUCCUCUAAUUCAUUGUUAUGGAUCUAAUUCAUUCCUCCAAUUCAUUGUUAGGAUCUAAUUUAUGUCUCUUAAUUUAUAACGUUUAGGUUUGGGCUUUGGUUAUUUGAUUAUUAACCUUGUAGCCUCUGGAUACUGUCAAAGAGAGUGUAUUAAUCCACACUAAGUAUGUUGUAUUGGAACUAUUAAGCGGAAACUAGAUGGCUUCUGUUUACUAAGCAAAACAAGAAUUGAGUUAUAAUUAGGUCAGCUUUAUUUUGGCUGAAACUAGGUGGGUUCUGUUUACUAACUUGUUUGUAUUGUCGUCUUUCGUAACCCAUUCUUUAAGCUACAUUAGGGCAUUAGAAACAGAGCUUGAAAAGAAAUUAGUACCUGCAUUCAUUGUAGUGAAACUUGGACCAGCUUGUUCAUUCGUAUACAACUAUUAUAGCUGCGCAACUCCAUUUACAAUUCCUUUGCAAUCAGAUGAGUUUUUUUUGAAAGGAUAGGCUUCAUGUUGGGAUGUCUUUUGGUCUUCCUUUAUUGUCUAGUAACUAAUUUGUUCAACACUUUCUAUGUGGAAACUGUUAUGUUCUUUGGAUGUACUCAUCAUUGUACACAGGGUAAGUGGUGAUCUUCAUUACCUUAAUUUUUUAUAUCUGGAUUCUAGGCUUCUUACGUACUUAUGUGAAUCAUUUUUUGGCACCAUAAUUUUAUAAAUGUUACUCUAUGGCUUCCAGAAUUUUCUGAAGAUUUUUUUUCACUGAAUAUUCUAUGUUUGACCUUUCUAGGGGUUUAAAGUGAAAAAUGAGUUUAUUGGACUUCGGAAAUUGGUGUACCUAUUCUGUGGCCUAGUAGCUCUUAGAAUUUUACAUAAACUCCCUUUCCUUGUUAUUUGAUUUCCUCUCAUAUUUGUAUGCUGAAUUACAGGUCUAUCAUUGGAAUCUUAGAUUAUUGCUUGUGUGGGGCUUUGAGAUGUGCCUCUAUUGUACUUAGAUGGUAUUGCGAGCAAAAUUGCUAGUGCUACUUCAGGUAUAUUGACAGAACAAUCAACACCUGGUUUAUAAUACAUAUAUUUAUAUGACACUCUACUUUAAUGAACAAACAUUUUCUUCCUCUAAAUUUCGCAUAUUUGGUGCCAGAAUGGAAAACAAAUAGUGCAAGAAGGUGUAUUAAUUGCCUUGGCAUCAGUUGCUGACUCAUCUCAGGUAUUCUAUACAAUAUGCUUUGAUUAGAAUUUAUUUGUUAUAGAAAGCUGUCUGACAGGAUGAUUUUGCUGUAGUAGCUGCUCUGCUAACUUCUUUUAACCGAAAAAAGAAAAAAAAAAGGUAGGGAACCAAAGUAUAUGUUCAAUUAAAAGAAAAGGUACAUACAAAAGUGAACAAUCUGUCGCUCCUUAUAAUAUCAGCCUCUGCAUUUGAUAUAUAUAUAUAUUUUUUUUGGUGAAAAAAUUAUUUCUUGAUACAUAUAAUGGUCUUUCCUGUCUGUUCACCUAAUAUUUAACUAAUGUUGAAGGCUGAAGAUUUAAUUAAUGAGCAGCCAGAUGGAGUCCAUCCCUGUAUUGAUUACCAUAACAGCUGUUGGUUACUGUGGUUUAAAAACAAAAACUUGAAAUUUUGAGUUUCAUUUUAUCCUAAAACCUCGAUGUCAACGUUUUCAGACCAACCAUCCUUUCACCACUCUAAAUCAGAAAACAUAUGAUCAGUAACGAACUUUAAAUUUUGAAACUAACCUGAUGUUGACUUUUUACGUUUUAGAGUUGAAUUGGAAUUGCAUUUAAUUCAUUAAGUGAAACCUAUGAGCCACCAGAUGCUUUCAUUGAAUUAGAUAAUUAGAUUGGCAUUCGUUGUUUACUUGGGUAUGUGAGUUGGACUGUUCUCCACAUGUUGAAGUUAGUUAUGCAAGUUGAAACCAGUCUAUUCAAGCACGAUGUUGACUUUUGGCAAGUAAGAGUUGGGAUUUCAUGUCUUGAAUCAAAGCUGAGACUUCAGGUUGAAAGUAAUUGCAGCUUUAGCCUGUUUAGCAUAGUUUGAUGAGACUGAGUGGUGUACAGUAAAAGAAAGGAAUGUUAAUUACAUGAACACAAUUUUUUAUUCUAUAAGCUUAGGUGUGAAUCCUCUUUUAUAGGAAAGAUUCGCUUAGCAUUUUCUCUUACUAAGGAUGAACUAAUGUCACUGACCCUGUCCAAGUGAAAUUAUAUUAAAAAGCUAAGCAUGCAUUAAGUUAGUGUGAGAGUGCCCUGAAGUCUAUGGCAGCUUUGAGCUAGAGCUGAGUGUUCCUUCAGCAUUUUGGGUUUGGUUGUUCUCUAUUUUGUCUGAACCCACUUGAGAUAAAGCCCCAGAGUUGCAUUCCACCCGUGAUAUUCGAGUUUAUCGAGUUGCACCAUAUCUUAUACUUUUCCUGAAAACAAAUAUAUAUGUUAAAUCAGGUAGAAAAAAUUAUUCACUAGUUGUUAUGGGUACAACUCAUGUUUUCAAACAUUUAAGAUUUUGAGCCAUUAUGUUGCUACCCCGUGGCUUUUUAAGGUACUAAAAGACGGUCAAAACAACAGAAUAUUUUAAUUACUCAUACUAGCAUGUGAUAAAGAGGUCUUAGGGUUGGAGAAGAUAGGGUAGAGGUAAUGAAAAUUUUUGUGAGUUUUGAAUUCAAGGAACAAAAUAACAAGUCUAGUGUAUAAUAUUCGAAAACCCUGCUUCUUCAUGUGAAAUGGAUUGAAUUGCUGUAAGUUCUGUCCAAAAUAAAUUGUCUAAACUCAGUUACAGGCUUGUGGGAACAUAGAGGUUUUUUUUUUCUAGCAACUCCAGUCAUUUAGAAAUGGAAAUUUUUUUGUUGUUUGAUCAAACAGAAAUCUGUGAUUUUCAGGUUGAAGGAAGGACAACAAAGGCCCAAAUAUGGGAUACUGCAGGUCAGGAGCGAUACAGAGCAAUAACCAGUGCCUAUUAUAGGGGUGCACUCGGAGCUCUUUUAGUUAUGAUGUGACAAAAUCAACGACAUUUGAAAACGUGCCUGAAGGAUCUGAGGGACCAUUCAGACUCCAACAUCGUGAUCGUGAUGAUUGGCAACAAGACUGAUAUGAAACACCUCCAACUUCUAUGUUAAUUUUUCAGUCUCUCAAUGGUUUAUUGUUGAAACUUGUUUUUAUUUAAUUUUUGUUAACAAUGUUGUAUUUGAAUUAUUCUCCUCAUUUGUUGUUGAGACUUGAGAUAUCAGAAUUAUUUGUUAUGGCUGUCAUGCAGUAUACAUUAGCCACGGUACCGCUUACUCUGGUUUUCCGGUGUAUAAUAUAUUACUUUAGUUGGAUCCUCUAUUAUAAGGCAAUGUAGUUGGCUUUUACCUUUUCUUUUUUAAUUUGCAUUUAUUUUUUUUAUAAAAUGGGUAUUUUCCUUGUGUGUUUGCAGUGGUCUUGAACUAUUUAAGUCUUUGUAACAAUAGCCAAUAUGUCUUUCAUUAUACAAAAUUCAUAAUUAUUUUCAAGUGUGGACACUUGUAUUUUCUUUUAAUGCGAAAACACUUUUAAACCGUGCGGUUUCAAAAAUAAAAAUUAAUUAGAAUUCUAUGUAGUAAGAACUUGGUUAUUUGUGUGAAGGUAGUUUUUUUAUUUUUCCUUUUCUUCUUUCUACGGUGUGAUUUGUCAAAGUGUGAGCGUGUGUGAAAUUGUCGGGUUAAUUUGUCUAAUAGUGUGUGAAAUUGUCUGAGUUAAUGGUAUUUCAUGGACAAAUUAACUCGAUUGCACAGUGGAAAAGAGUAAGCACUUUGACGAAUCACACAAAAAAGGAAGUUGCUCGUGAAAUUGUAGAUUUUUUUUUUUUGAAAAUGUGAAAUUGUCGAGUUAAUGGCAUUUCAUCGAAUAAAUUAAUUUUCACUGACCACCCCUCAAUUAUAGCAAUAUCACAUUUAGAUGAAUUUUAUGUCCGAAUUUACAGUAACAUGUCCUAAACUUAACCGUAAAGUUCAUGUAUGUGUAGUGUGGCAAUAGUUGAGGGGAGUUCAUUUACCCUCAUCCGGUAGUGUGUAGGGGUGGUAAUAUGGGUCAGAAUUCGUUUAUUCGAUUCGAUACAAUUAAUGGGUUUGAAUUUGAAAAAUUUGAUUCUUAAUAAAUGGGUGAAUUCGAUUCGAUUCGUUAAUUAAACGAAUNNNNNNNNNNNNNNNNNNNNNNNNNNNNNNNNNNNNNNNNNNNNNNNNNNNNNNNNNNNNNNNNNNNNNNNNNNNNNNNNNNNNNNNNNNNNNNNNNNNNNNNNNNNNNNNNNNNNNNNNNNNNNNNNNNNNNNNNNNNNNNNNNNNNNNNNNNNNNNNNNNNNNNNNNNNNNNNNNNNNNNNNNNNNNNNNNNNNNNNNNNNNNNNNNNNNNNNNNNNNNNNNNNNNNNNNNNNNNNNNNNNNNNNNNNNNNNNNNNNNNNNNNNNNNNNNNNNNNNNNNNNNNNNNNNNNNNNNNNNNNNNNNNNNNNNNNNNNNNNNNNNNNNNNNNNNNNNNNNNNNNNNNNNNNNNNNNNNNNNNNNNNNNNNNNNNNNNNNNNNNNNNNNNNNNNNNNNNNNNNNNNNNNNNNNNNNNNNNNNNNNNNNNNNNNNNNNNNNNNNNNNNNNNNNNNNNNNNNNNNNNNNNNNNNNNNNNNNNNNNNNNNNNNNNNNNNNNNNNNNNNNNNNNNNNNNNNNNNNNNNNNNNNNNNNNNNNNNNNNNNNNNNNNNNNNNNNNNNNNNNNNNNNNNNNNNNNNNNNNNNNNNNNNNNNNNNNNNNNNNNNNNNNNNNNNNNNNNNNNNNNNNNNNNNNNNNNNNNNNNNNNNNNNNNNNNNNNNNNNNNNNNNNNNNNNNNNNNNNNNNNNNNNNNNNNNNNNNNNNNNNNNNNNNNNNNNNNNNNNNNNNNNNNNNNNNNNNNNNNNNNNNNNNNNNNNNNNNNNNNNNNNNNNNNNNNNNNNNNNNNNNNNNNNNNNNNNNNNNNNNNNNNNNNNNNNNNNNNNNNNNNNNNNNNNNNNNNNNNNNNNNNNNNNNNNNNNNNNNNNNNNNNNNNNNNNNNNNNNNNNNNNNNNNNNNNNNNNNNNNNNNNNNNNNNNNNNNNNNNNNNNNNNNNNNNNNNNNNNNNNNNNNNNNNNNNNNNNNNNNNNNNNNNNNNNNNNNNNNNNNNNNNNNNNNNNNNNNNNNNNNNNNNNNNNNNNNNNNNNNNNNNNNNNNNNNNNNNNNNNNNNNNNNNNNNNNNNNNNNNNNNNNNNNNNNNNNNNNNNNNNNNNNNNNNNNNNNNNNNNNNNNNNNNNNNNNNNNNNNNNNNNNNNNNNNNNNNNNNNNNNNNNNNNNNNNNNNNNNNNNNNNNNNNNNNNNNNNNNNNNNNNNNNNNNNNNNNNNNNNNNNNNNNNNNNNNNNNNNNNNNNNNNNNNNNNNNNNNNNNNNNNNNNNNNNNNNNNNNNNNNNNNNNNNNNNNNNNNNNNNUAGAAAAAUUUGUAUUUAUUUCUUCUCUUUCAAAAAAAUAAAUAAAAAUUUUCUAAAUUUAGCAAGUAACAAACACUAUUUUCCUCCAAAUUUCUAGCAUCCACCUUUGAAAAAAAUUAAAUCCAUCCAAUUUAUCUCCAAUUUUCAUUUAUUUUGGAUUAAAUUGUAAUUUUGAGGGAUAAAAAAGUCAUUUCGUUAACAUUCCGUUAAAUCCACUAACGGAAAUUAGACGGAAGUGGAUGAAUGCAACAAAAAAUAAACUUCAGGUGACGCGCUGAAAAAAAAAGUGCUUGUGUAUUUUUGAAAAAGGCAAAACAAAUAGGUGGACAAGUGUAAAUUUCCCAAUUAAUUUUCCAAAUUACAAAAAAUAACGAAAAAUAUGAAGCAUAUAUACAAAUUACGAAAAAUACAAACUUUUAAUAUAAAUUGAUUUUCCAUUUUUCAUAAAUUUAAAUCAAAGCCAUAAUAUGAACUAUUUACUUAAGUCCCAUCGCAUGGCCGUGGGUCCCAACUCCCUGUAAUCAUCCAGCCACCAACGUGGAUCGUUAAAAAGUAUCAAGAUGUUCCUGUGUCGAAGACAUGAUGCAUCAAAAUUUUGUCGCGCCAAGCCUCUUUUGACCAAAAGUUUUUAUAAAAUUGAAACAUAAUGCAAAAUUGGUGAUAUAUAAUUCUGUACUGGUCACUCAUUUUGAAAUUUUCAUUUUUUCUAAACAAAAUUACAAUUAAAGUUUUCUUCAACGGAAAAAUCAUUGAUAUUUUCUUAAGAGUAAUAUUCUAGCCACGCAUUUUUAUACAAAUUAGUGUGGUAUAACAUGAUUGAUAGAAUAAAAAUAUGAAAUAAUAAAAUAAAUUAUGUGGACCGUAUAAUAUUUUUAUUCAAGAAACCAUAAUAUAGCAAAUCAAUUUAUAUAAUAAAAAAUAAUUUAUACACAAUUAUUUCAUUUGUUUCGACAAAUGGAUAAAGCAAAAACGAACAUUUUUCAUUUAUAGAUGAUAUAAAAAAGAGUUGCAGGCCGAUUUUGUGAUCAGAAGAAGAGUUGGGUUCCGAAAUCAAUAUAAAGCGAACAAGCUGCCCCUGCCUUCAUCACUUUCAUCAUCAACAGAACUUUGAUCCUUCAGAUUAGAACUUUGGUACAAAAGUACAACUCUCUUACAUUUUUAGUUGAGAUUUGAGAUAUCAGAAUUAUUUUGUUAUGGCAGUCAUGCAGUGUACGUUAGCCAUGUUACAACUUACUCUGGUUUUUUAGAGUAUAAUCUAUAGCUUUAGUUGGAUCCUCUAUUACAAGGCAAUGAAGUUGGCUUUAACAUUUUCUGUGGUCAUUUUUGUAAUUUGGUUUGAGUGUUUGACAAAAAUGGUAUUUUCCUUGUGUGUUUGCCUCGACCAAUUGCAAUUUUCUAGUUAUAAUGUUUUUGAAACAACAUCCAAAUAGCGUUAAAUAUCUUUUACUACACAAAAGUCUCUCUCAAUUUGCUAUUAUUAUUGUUGUUAUUUUUUUUUUCAAGUUCAUGGCAUUACUUUGACCAUUACAUAAUUUUUACAGCAAGUCCCGACAUUGUAGUAUUUGACUUGUGGAAACAGACUUUUAUUUAUUAUUAAUUUUUAAGAAAAAGAAUAAUAAAAAGAAAUACUAUGUCAACUGACUUGGCUCCAAGUAUAAUAUUAAAAAAGAAAUAUAUAUUGAUUAUUUGAUGCCCCGUUACAAUGCCCAAUUUAGAGAAAAUUGUUACGAAUAAUUAUUGGAAAAUGAAAUGAAACAAAAAAAAUUGUUACAUGAUGAAGCACCCUCCACUCCCUUAGCUUUAAGACAAUAAAAGUGGCGUAAAUUGGGGGACCCGCAAAGUCGUCGUGUAAGUUUGUUUUACGUGAUUUGAAGUUAUACAUAAUUGAUAAUUUCAAAACAAAUGAAAAAGAAUAAUCGAAAAAUCAAAAUGCACUUCUAUCUUGCCACCGCUCAGCACUCACCCUCUCGACUAAAUGUCAUUUUCUUUGAACUUUCAUGGCUUCUAAGCUCCCAUCAAGAAUUAGAAAUUUAUAAAUCCAUCCUUUAUCAUCUCAGCAAUACAACCUUUAUAAGCCGUGGGGUCAAUUGCAUAUAUAUAUAUAUAUAUAUGGCUGAACGGUCAAUUCCAUUUUACUUCUGACGCAACAAGCACGUUCCAUUCUCACACACCAUUACUUAUUCACAAGUUUACAUUCAUUUGACUUUUGAGCCCAGUGGUGCUAAUUUUUGAAGAUACUCUUACUGAACUGAGUGACCAAUUUCUUUUAUGCUAAAUGUAUCCUGUGAUGCAGAAGAAGAAGAAGAGUUGCAUUCCGAAGUCAAUAUCAUGCAAAUAAGCUGCCCUCGCCAUCAUCACCUUCAACCGGCAGCACUUUAAUCCUUCAAGGCAUAUGCCUACACUUUUCUUACAUUUUUAGUCAUUAUGAGCUAAAUUUUCAACACAUACAUAAUGUUAUUUCUUUAUAUCAAUAUAUUGAUGUGUCUAAGUUNNNNNNNNNNNNNNNNNNNNNNNNNNNNNNNNNNNNNNNNNNNNNNNNNNNNNNNNNNNNNNNNNNNNNNNNNNNNNNNNNNNNNNNNNNNNNNNNNNNNNNNNNNNNNNNNNNNNNNNNNNNNNNNNNNNNNNNNNNNNNNNNNNNNNNNNNNNNNNNNNNNNNNNNNNNNNNNNNNNNNNNNNNNNNNNNNNNNNNNNNNNNNNNNNNNNNNNNNNNNNNNNNNNNNNNNNNNNNNNNNNNNNNNNNNNNNNNNNNNNNNNNNNNNNNNNNNNNNNNNNNNNNNNNNNNNNNNNNNNNNNNNNNNNNNNNNNNNNNNNNNNNNNNNNNNNNNNNNNNNNNNNNNNNNNNNNNNNNNNNNNNNNNNNNNNNNNNNNNNNNNNNNNNNNNNNNNNNNNNNNNNNNNNNNNNNNNNNNNNNNNNNNNNNNNNNNNNNNNNNNNNNNNNNNNNNNNNNNNNNNNNNNNNNNNNNNNNNNNNNNNNNNNNNNNNNNNNNNNNNNNNNNNNNNNNNNNNNNNNNNNNNNNNNNNNNNNNNNNNNNNNNNNNNNNNNNNNNNNNNNNNNNNNNNNNNNNNNNNNNNNNNNNNNNNNNNNNNNNNNNNNNNNNNNNNNNNNNNNNNNNNNNNNNNNNNNNNNNNNNNNNNNNNNNNNNNNNNNNNNNNNNNNNNAUGAGAUUAACUAAGUAUUUAUGAUAAUUAAAUAACUCAUACCAAAUAGGCAUAUAAUUAUAAAAUGAUAUACUUUAAUAGUUUUCAUAGUGAUUUGAUAUUUUGUAAUUCUUGUAAUAGUUAGGUGAUAAUAGCUCCUUUUAGAAUUAUAAAAUCAUAUGUUAGCUUUAAUAACAAAUUAGAAUUGACAACAUUGUUGUAAUGUAAAAAACAUUAUUAAAUUUAGUUUCACUAAAAGAAAAUGUCGUAACACACUUCAAAUACAUUACAUUCCGCCACAUCUGUGGCUGAAUGUGAACAGACCGUUUGUCUGCUUAAUUUAAAGAUUCGAAUUAGUUGAGUUAAUUAACCGUUUGUAGACUUUGAGUUAAUAAACCUCAGUUAAUUGAUAAGAGAUGUGAUUUCUAUCCACCCUGCCAUUGCGUUGAGUCAAGCUAUUGCUUUUAUAUUCACCAUCCCGGCCCCACUGCAAUGCCUUUGGCCUUUUGCCGUUUGCCUCCCUCCCAAUGCCUUGUUCACUUCAUUUUCAUGAUGCCUAUAAGAACUGCGAGUUAGGCACAUACUCCUGAGCAGGUCGGUUUUGUGCAGAAGAAGAAGAGUUGCAUUCCGAGAUCAAUAUGAUGCAUAUAAGCUGCCCCUGCCAUCCUCGACAGAACUUUGAUCCUUCAAGGUACAUAAGUACAACUCUCUUACAUUUUUAGUUGUUAUGAGCUAAAUUUUCAAUGCAUACAGUUCUUUCUUUCGUUCAUAUGAAGCUUAAUUAGUUUUGUCAUCUCUUUUGGCAUUUCUUACUCGACUAUAAACUUAGUUAUGAGCACCCUGUGAUCUGGAGAGUAAGAGCUAGAACUUGAUGGCGACAUGUUAGACUAGUGCAUGAGGCUUGUUCAUGCAGUAAUAAUUGGUCUUGAUGCAGGCAAUUUUUUUUUUUUUUAAGCUAAAGAAAGUUAAGUUUUAGAAGAUCAUUACUUCUUUAAACCCAGUAAGCGUAUAAGUUUCUAUUCUUUUGGGUUUUGUAGAAUUAUUCAUUUUCUCCUUAAUUCCCUUUAUCAUGCUCUACCAUAACUGAGAAGGAAAAUGCUAAGUAUCAAGAAAAACGAGAGAAGAAUGAGAGAAUGAAGCAUGUGUUGGGAGGAGAGAGAGAGAGAGAAAAAGCUGACAGAAGAGAGAGAGAAGGGGCAAUUCUCUCGUCCUUCUCUCGUUGUUCUUGAUAUUUAACAGCACUCAACUGAGAAACAUGGCAGUAGUGGCAGGUCUACAGGUGGGCUACACCGGGCUAUAGCCCGGUCUUGAUUAGGAAAAAAAUUAUUUAUAUCCCUUAUAUUUUCAUUAAUUUUAUAUAAUAAUAUAAUUUUUAUUAUAUUUCAUGUAUGUCCCUAACUUAAUUACCCUUAUAUUUUCAUCAAUUUUAUAUUAUAGUGGAACUUUUAUUUUAUUUUCAAAUAUGUCCUUAAUCCAAUUAUAUUUUUUCCAUUUGAAAUUAGUUACUUAUUUAUAAAAUGAUUAAAUUGUACAUUUAUUGAAUAUAUUGAAAACAUUAGGGGGACAAAUGUUGCUACUGCUUUAUUUUAAAAUAUUCUAAUUGAAAAAAAUUAUGUCAAUCUAAUAUAAAAUUUUCACUAAUAUUAAAAGUAUUUACGAAAACAACAUGUAAUAGCAAUUAUCAACAUUUUGAUAAACUUUUUAUGUGAAUUUUGAGAUUUCAUUUAAUAGUAAGUUAGAAAAUAAAAUUUGAGUUUUUUUUAAAAGCUUUUCAUAAAAUAAUCAUCAGCAUAUGAUUCUUCAAAGAGAGUUAGAGCACCUACCAAAGAAACAACGGCAUUUAAAUACAUUUUAAUUAGAUGAGUUUAGUUUAUUAUUGAAAUUUUUUACUAACAAUAUAUUUAUAAUUUUAAAAGAUGAAUAAAUUUUUUAGUUGUUUAAUUUAUUUAAGCCUACUAAUUAAGUACUUGACUUCAAACAUUAAAGUUUUACUUGUGAGUUUUAGUUGAUUGUAAUUACAUGUAUUGCUUUAAUUUUAGCUUAAAAUUCUUAAUUGAUUUAUUAAUCGUUAUAUAAUUAUAUUUUAUUAAAGGUUGCAAUGUCGGAUUCCAUAAUUGAAAAAUAGGGUUUUCAUAUUUGAAUUACCUUUUGUUUUCUACUCUUUUUUUAUAAGUAUUUUCAUUUCGAGUACGUAUUUAUUAGGAUAAGGUUCUUCAUGUUCCUCUUAUUUGAUGCACUUCUUCCUACAUAUGAAUUUUUAUAAUCACUUCAAAAUAUAAUUUUUUUAAUUUAGCACCGGGUAAUAUAAAUUCUUGGGUCUGCCCUACAUGGCAGAGCAUGAUGAAUAUUAUUAUUUAAUAAUAAUAAUAAUAAUCAAACCAACAGAAAGAAUGAUUCGUAGAUGAUCAAUCAACAUUACUUAAUCAAGAAAUAACACAAGAACAUCAAGAUUGAGUCAAAGAGACAAGAUUAAACACGGCAAAAAUGAUCAAUUACAAAAAAGCUCACACAACAGGACACAACAUAAACAGGAAAAUUAAUUGACCUCACUCUUCUUAAAAUGAGUGUAUCUUAAAAAAAAAAGGGAAUUAUAUAUCAUCUAAACAAAAAAUCCUGCAGUUACUCAACAUAUCAAAGAGUCCACACAAUCACUCAAUGCAAAUUAUUUACACCACAAUGUUUUGACUUUUAUUUACGUAAGUUAUUUCAGAGCUGAACUUGAUCAAAUUAGGAGUUAGGGAGUUUCGAAUAUUGACUCAUUAUAUUGUAAAGUUCGUAAAUAUUUCGAUUGGUCUGGGUGUUUUUCUCAUAUAUAGGAAGCUUUCCUUUUGAUUGUUAAAAUUAAUUCGAUGGUUUUGCAGCGAUAACAAUUUCAUUUCCUCAAUUCCAUACCCACAAGUUUUUGGAUAUCUCAUCCCGACUUUAGCCACUAUUAUGGGUGCAUAUGUACAAGGCACAACUAAGUCAUUGAUGGAAACUCAUAGAGUAAGCUUGUGUGUUUCUCUGGUGGCCAUAAUCGUCCACUACAUUGCGUUUGCUGCCGAUAAGAUGCCUCGACGCCAUCAAGCAAACUUUUCACAGUUAUGGGGCCUCAUCGCCAUUGUCUUUGGAUCUCUUUCAGCAGUGUCGUUGGUCUCCACAUUUUUCACACAGUCAGUUGCUGACAUCAUUUGCUACGUUGCAUUGAGUUGCACUGCUAUUAUCAUAGUUGUGUACCAAUAUGUCAGAAAGCUUGUGGAUGCUUGUCAUUGGCUUUACGACGAAAUUUUGGUGCCGUUUUUCAGUAAGAUCUUGAAUUGGUUUAAAGCUCAUUGUUACAACUUCUCUUCCACAAAACAGCAGCAACGCCCGACAGUGUAAUUGAAGAAGUUUAAUCUUUAUUUUAAAAUUUCAUCCAAGAUAUUUUACGGAGAGAUUCCACUUAUGUUUCCAUAUUUCAAUAGAUCAAAAUAUAUACUCAAUAACAUAUAGUUUUUCAUUCAAUAAUAUACAGUUUAUUUGAUAAUUUUUUAAGAUAGUGAAAUAGAUUGAAUUAAAUUCUAAGAGUAAAUAUGUUUGUUGUAUAUCUCAUUUAAUAUAUAUAUAUAUUCUUAGUAUGCCAAUAAAAUUGGAACAGGUUUCACUGUCAUUCGAUUUGUUCCCUAAUUUCAUGAAUUUCAGCUCACUCUCAUUCAAUAGAUCAAAAUAUAUACUCAAUAAUAUAUAGUUUGUCAUUCAAUAAUAUAUAGUUUUUGAUAGUGCAUUUGUAUUAGAUUCUUAUAUGCAUUGUUUUAUUGUUAUUAUAAAAUAUAAAUAUCUGUAUUGUUUGUGUUUUCUUGACGAAUUAGAGACUUGAUAUCAACUGUAAAGGGAGAGUAGUAGAUUACUUGGAUCACAAGAAGAGUCCACAUAUUUAUUGUUUGUGUUUGGGGUAAGGGCUUCAUUUCUAUCCGAACAUUGGCUCCAAGGAUAUCCAUGAAUGACACUUAAAAUAAGAAAGAAAGAAAGAAAGAAAGAAAUAUGUGUUUUGAUGUGAAUAAAAAAUUAAUAAUAAAAUAUUUUUCUUGUAUCAUUAUCAUUUUAUAAAUAUUUUUUAAUUAUAAAUUUAUGAAAUAACAAAAAUAUAAAAAAAAUAUGUCGUUAUUAAUUUUUUAUUCACAUAAAACAUAUAUUUAUUUUUAAUACUUAAAUUUUUUAUUUUAAUUUUAAUUUAUAUGAUUUAUUUAAUUUAUAAUAGAUAUGAAUAAAUAUGUAUUUGAAAUACUGUUGAAAGUUAUUAAUUAUUAUAAAAAUAAUAGAGAGUAUAAAAAUAAUAGGGAGUAAGUAGAUACAAUCUUUCAAAAGAAAAUUUUAACAUUUAUUAUUUAAUAAUUUUUCAGGAUAGUUAAUUUCAUUGACUUAAGCGCUUAAAUUCUGAUAGUAAAUAUAUCCACCGCAAUCUCAUUUUAAAAGAAAAAAAAAGUUUAACUACCAAUAAAAUUGGAACAUGUGUCAUGCCGUUAUUAACGUCAAAGCUUUUGACUAUAUUAACGUACUUAACUAAUUAUACAUCUUUUUCGAAAAAAUAAAAACUAAUUAUACAUCUUUUUUUUUUAAAUGAGAACUAUUGCUCAUGAUGAUAUUUACAAUCAUAUAUAUAUUGAGACCCGUUUAUAUUAAUUUUGAUAUGACAUCGCUCAGAUUUGUAACCCUCUCAAAUAUUCGAGGGACGUCAACUUCCAUCUUGAUAGAAAGACUGCCUUCACUUAAGCUCUGAGAUUCUAAAGAAAGAAAUUUAAAUUAAAUCUCUACAAUACGCUCUGCAGAGACUCGAACACCUUUCCUUACAUUUAUGUUGGAAUGGUUCUAGCCACUUGGGCUAACUAAUUAUACAUCUAAAUGUGAAGAAAUUAGCAAAGAAUAAACUUUAAAAUUUCCUAGUACUUGGAAUUCGGGAAAAAAAAAAAGGUAAAUUUCAGUAGCUCUCGGCCCCGCACUUCCGUCACAAUCAUUUGAAAUUCUAUAAUCUCAGUUUCAAUGAAGACGAAGAGGCUUGGUUUAAAUCUCGGCUUUCAUCAUGCAUUUUCAGGUUUAAUUUCAGUUAAUCUCACCAAAUUUGAUGGAUUUGUUCCCUAAUUUCAUGAAUGUCAGCUCUCACUUUCAUUCGAUCGAAGAAGCUUUCACUUUCGUUUGAAAUUUUUUGAUCUCGAUCGGUUUCACUGUAAAGGAAGAGGUUUGGUUUUAAUCUCGCUUUUAUUCAAGAAUUUCAUGUUUGUAUGCGUUUAAUCACACCAAAGUUGAUGUGUUUCUCCUGUAAUUUAUGGUUAGGGAUCUAAUUUAUGCCUCUUGAUUUAAAAAAUUUAGGUUUGGGCUUUGAUUAUUUGAUUAUUAAUUUUGUAGCGUUUGGAUACUGUUGAAGAGAGUGAAUUAAUCCACAUUAAGAAUGUAUUGGAACUAUUAGGCUCAAACCAGAUGGCUUCUGUUUACUAAGCAAUACAAGAAUUGAGUGAUAAUUAGUUCUGCUUAUGUUUUGCUGAAACUAGAUGGGUUCUGUUUACUAACUUAUCUGUAUUAUCAUCUUUUUUAAGUCAUUCUUUAAGCUAAAUUAGGGUAUUAGAAACAGAGCUGGGAAAGAAAUUAGUACCUGCAUUCAUUUUAGUGGAUCUUGGACCAGCUUGUUCAUUCAUAUACAACUAUUAGAGUUGCACAGCUCUGUUCAUAUGCCCCCAGUGUUGGCCACAGCUGUCUUGUGUGCAUGGAAUUUAGAGAAUCAAUAAAUUUAAGUGUAGACUAUUAUUUCCUUCCUUCUACGAUAUGUCCAAUGAACCACAUUUUUCAAUUACACUUUUUCCCCCCCUCAAAAAUACAUAUCCUUCCUAGUAAUUUUCCAACGGAUCUCAUUUGUUUUCUCGCUAAUACAUUUUUUGCGGGUUAGAGGUGCCUCAAAAGCAAUUACUCAAGGAGAGAUGUGGCUUUGGCAUGGAUUAUGUUGGAUAUUUAGUCUUUUUCUUAUGGAACUAAUGACACAUCUAUUUUAUUACAAUGCCUUUCCAAUCAGGGUGAGUUUAUCAGAAAGGAUAGGCUUCAUGUUGGGACAUCUUUUGAUCUCCAUUUUUUGUCUAGUAACUAAUUUGUUCAAUAUUUUUCUUGUGGCAUGUGGGGACUGUUAUCUCCUUUGGAUGUACUCAUCAUUGUAUAUGGUGUAAAUGGUGAUCUUCAUCACCUUAAUUUUUUAUAUGUGGAUUCGAGGCUUCUUACAUGCUUAUGUGAAUCUUUUUUUAGCACGAUCAUUUCAUAAAUGUUACUCUAUGGCUUCCAGAAUUUCUGAAGAUUUUUUCAUGGAAUAUUCUAUGUUUUACCUUUCAAGGGGUUAAAAGUGAGAAAUGAAUUAAUUGGACUCUGGAAAUUUGUGUAGCUAUUCUGUGGCCUAGUAGCUCUUAGAAUUUUACAAAACCCCCUUUCCUUGUUAUUUGAUUCCCUCUCAUAUUUGGUAUGCUGAAUUACAGGUCUAUCAAUGGAAUCUUAGAUUAUAUGUUAUGUGGUUUUCAGAUUUGCCUAUAUUGUACUUAGAUGGUAUUAUGAGCAAAUUGCUAGUGCUACUUCAGGUAUAUUGACAGAACAAUCAACACCCGACUUAUAAUACAUACGUUUAUAUCAGAUUUACUUUAAUGAACGAACAAUGACUUCCUCUAAAUUUUUCUUUUUUGGUGCCACAAUGGAAAACAAAUAGUGCAAGAAGGUGUAUUAAUUGCCUUGGCAUCAGUUGCUGACUCAUCUCAGGUAUUCUAUAAAAUAUGCUUUAAUUAGAAGUUAUUACUUAUAGAAACCUGUCUGACAGGAUGAUCUGUUUUUGGAGUAGCUACUCGGAUGGAAACUUCUUUAAAACGGGAAAAAAAAAAUAGGGAAGCAAAGUUUAUGUGGAAUUAAAAGAAAAGGUAUCUACAAAAGUGAACAAUCCGUUGCUCCGUAUAAUACCAGCUUCUGCAUUUGAAGUUCUCUGUUUUUUUUUUUUUUUUUGGUUGAAAAGAAUAUUUCUAGAUACAUAUAAUGCUCUUUACUGUCUGUUCACCUAAUUUAACUAAUUUUGAAGGCUGUAGAUUUUAUUAAUGAGAAACCAGGAGUCCGUCCCUGUAUUGAUUACCACAACAGCUGUUGGUUGCUGUGGUUUGUUUUUAACACAAGAACUUACAAUUUUGAGCUUCAUUUUAUCCAAAAACCUAACUUUCAAAGUUUUCAGACUAACCAUUCUUUCUCCACUAAAUCAGAAAACAUAUGAUCAGUAAUGAACUUAGAGAUUCAGUAUCUUAAUUUAGUGUAAGUAGCCCUACUAUAUAACGAAUUCAGUCUUCUGAUUCUGCAAUUCAAGUUUUCUUGAUAAGUUUACUUUUUUAUUUUUUCUUUUUUCUCCUCAAAAUGUAACUAAUUUUCUUUAUCUUCAACUUUCUUCAAUGCUCAGGAACCAGUGAAACCAAAGUAUUUGAUGAGAGCAGCUCACUGGGAAGUGAUUACUUGACUGAGGUAAGAGCCUGAUUUCUAUAAACAGUACAAAAAGCCUUUGCGGAUGACUUGCACAGAUUUUAAAAUAGUCGCAACGUAAAUAUAGAUUUAUUGCCAUUUAGAUUUUAGACUUUUAAGAAGCAAAUAAAUAAUUAAUUAAAGAAAGUUGCUUUAUCAGGCUAAAUUCAUAUUAUUUUUAAAAUUUGAAAAUCAUCAUAAAAAAUUUAAAGUUUCUCUCUCCCUCUCUUACUCUCAGUCUUGUUCAACCCUUCGCCUCCCAGCCUUGCUCGAUAGUAAUUUAUUGAUUUCAGUUUUAGGUAAGCUUCUGUCACUGCAACUUUUGGUCGUUAAAUUUUGUUAUUGCAUAGAUCUUAAUAGGUCAAAUUGAAGUGGAGAAAGUUGCUGAUCGUAAAGCUGAUUCUGAAAGCACUUCUUCACUUUUUCAGUAUGAUUUUACAGAUUCAGUAUGUAAUUGAAGGUCUAAAGCAAUGAUUUAGAAUGAUUUAGAGUAUUUAGAUGAAUGGUUUAAAUUAAUCCAUCAAAGUUGUGGUUUAUACACAUGGAUCAUCAUGGGAACAUCUAAUUAGAUAAUAUAUUUUUACUUUUUAUCCUUCUUUUCUAUUUUAAAUAUAUAUGUGCGUGUGUGUGUGUAAAAAUAUAAGAAAAUUCUCAUGCGUGGUUGUCCGCACAAAUGGCAUGAAUUUUCAUGUGGAUUUAGGUUGUGAAAGCCUUUUACACUGGCAUGAAACCCUAAGUCUGCACAAAAAUACGUGCGAGCACUUUAUAUAUAUAUAUGGCGAGGAGACUGGAUGAGGAAUACAACUCUUUGUUCAAAGUUGUAUUAGUCUGCAAUUGAGGAGUAGGCAAAUUGAAAUUACUUUCCUGAUUUACUUGUAAUGAGUUCUGUUUAGAGUCCAAUUCUACUAGUCGCGUCAAAUUCACCAUCUUUACUCUUCAAGUAACUAUUCAUCUUACUCUAUACUUCAUCUUAAUUACAGUAAUUAAUUUAUUAAUUUUUUAAGAUCUAGUAGAAGUAAUUAGUUUUAUCAAAUUUUUAAUUUGAUUUCCAGAUUAGGAUAAUUUAGAUUCAUGUCAAUUGGAAGUGAUUCAAUUUUUUAUCUGAUUUUGUUGUUGAUGUGUAAUUACUAUUAGUAUGAUGAUUAAUUUGUGAUUUUAACUUAUAAUUUGGUUAUUGAUUUAGUUUAUAUGAGAUUUAAUUGGAUCUAUCGUUGCGAGAUUGUAAUUCACAUGAAAUGACUUUUUUUGUUUAAUUUAAAGUUGAAUGCUUUUUGAGUUUUUUGAAAAAGAAUGCUUUAUAAUUUUAAUCUGAAUAUUUUGGGCCACGAUUUAAAUGAUUAAUUUUAUGUGGUAAGGGAAGUGGCAGUGCCAAAUUGUGGACAGAUACUUAUUGGGGUGAAAAAGUUUGGGAUUUCAAUUAUUGGACGUAAUUUAUUCAUCAAGUUAAAAUCGGAUCCGGCCAAUUUUGUCAUUGAAUUGGAUAAUUAGAUCGGCAUUUGGCGUUUACUUGUAUGUAUGAGUAGGGCUGUUCUCUGUAUGUUGGAGUUGGUGAUGCAAGUUGAAACUAACCUGAAGUUGACUUUUGGCAUGUUAGAGUUGAAUUGGAAUUGCAAUUAACUCAUUAAGAGAAACUUAUGAGCCAUGUGGUUUUUUCAUUGAAUUAGAUGAUUAGAUCAGCAUUCGAUGUUUACUUGGAGAUGUGAGUAAGACUGUUCUCCAUAUGUUAAAUCAGGUUGAAAAAAUUACUUACUGAAUUGUUGUGGGUGCAAUUCAUCUUUUGAAACAUUUAAGAUUUUUUGCCAUUAUGUUACUAUCCUGUGGUUUUCUAAGGUACAAUGAGACAUUAAAAAAGACAUAAUAUCUUAAUCACUUCUACCUACAAGUGCACAUAACUUUGUAGGUUUUGAAUUCAAGGAACAAAAUAGUAAGUCUAGGGCAUAAUAUUUGAAAACACGUGUAAAAUGGAUUGAAUUGCUGUAAGAUCUGUCCAAAUUAAACAGUCUAAACCAAUUCACAGGCUUGUGGGAAUAAAGAAUAUAUAUAUUUAUUUUUCUAGCAACUUCAGAGUCAUUGAAAAAUGGAAAUUUUGUCUCAAAGCAGCUUUUUGUUGUAUGAUUAAAGAGAAAUGUGUGAUUUUCAGGUUGAAGGAAGGCGAAGGACAACAAAAGCUCAGAAAUGGCACACUUAGAGGUGGUAAAAAUACCCGCCUAGUCCGGACUCGGAUCGUACCCGGGCGUUGUGGGCCGGGUAUUACCGGCCCGGGUAUGAAGUCGGGUCGGUCUUGGGCAUCACUUGAUAAACCCGGAACCCAAAUUUUAUUAAAAAAAUAUUAUAAAAUAUAUAUUAUUUUAAAUAUUUAUAUUUAUUUGACUCGUUUAUUAUACAUAUAUAAAGUUUUAAACACUUAAAAUUUAUAUUUUUAUGUCAAAUUUUAUUGAAAUAAAUUUAAAACUUAUAAAAUUACAAAAAAUAAAAAAUAUAUACACAUAUAAUAUUAGAAAAUAUAAAAAUUUGGGUACCCGGAUUAAAACCUGGCCCGGACUCGGACUCGGACCGAUUGCAUCCGGGCAAGGUCCGAUCAUUGCAAUACCUGCACCCGGCCCGGGGAUUGCCAUCCCUAGGCACACUGCAGGGCAUGAGGGAUAUAGAUAGGAGCGCGUUUGGAGUGCUCUUUUAGUUUAUGAUGUGACAAAAUCAACAACAUUUGAAAACGUUAGCCGGCGGCUGAAGUAUCUGAGGGAGGGUAAUUAUCAGAAACCUCCCCUGAGGUUUAGCGUAUUCUUAGUUUGAUAGUAUCAAUGUAUUCUCAACCACCUCCCCUGACGUUUGUAGACCAUUUCGUAUAAGUUGAUUUGGUGAGGGCAAAAUGGUAAUAGAACUCUUUAAUAUAAAAAAGUUCAAACAAAAGUGAAAAUAUCACAUUGGAAUGAGGGCAAUAUGGUAAUGAAAUUCUUUAAUGAUAAUAAAAUUCAAACAAAAGCGAAGAUAUCACGUUGGGUUCUAGAAUUGAUGUGAAAUUUUUUAAUAUCCAUUGUGUAAAAUUGGAAGCAAGAGUUUAACCAACAUACUAUCACUAAAAAUUAAAAAAAAAAAAAACAAAAUGGAUACCUUCUUUCUCCAACCAAAGUUACGAAAAGUAAAUCCUCUUUCGUCUUCUCUACAAUGUUUUAACAGAAAAAUUGUGCCAUGAUUUGGAGAUAAUGAUGACGAAGCCGAAGAUGCCAACAUUAAAGACAGCUGAAUCGCGACCGUCAGGUGUAAGGAAGCUGAUCAGCAGUGAGUUUCGCCGUCGACCCACUGACAAUCUUAAUUUGCCCGAGCCACGAAUGAGGUAUGAAAAUGGCUUAUUACGGUGCAUGUUAGUUUUAUUAGAUGGAUUUAGUCAAUUUGGUAAAAUAUGAAUAAUGGGUCUCGAAAUUUUUUUGGGAGUGUUUUUGUUGCUUUGAUUUUUUUCUAUCGAUUGGUGUUAGUUGUAGAUAAUGGUUGCUGUCAAUGUAUGUUUACUUCAUUUUGAUUGAAUAUGGCUCGUGAUUUUUUAUGCUACCUUGUGUAUGAAUGAAAAUGAGUUUGAAAAAUUUGUUAUUGUUGAAGCUAGUGCCACUAAUUGUUGAACAUGGAUUUACGGUAGUUUUUGUUAAAAUUGAAUAUUGGAGACAACUUGUUGGGAUAAUUGAUUUAGGUUUUUAUCUUAAUCAUGGUAUGGACAUGUCUUGGGUUGAAAAAAUGUCAUGGAUUGUUGCAUUAUCUCGCACUGAAGCAGUGAGCUUAAACAAUAGGGUUUGGAGUCAUUGCUUUGUUGUAGUUGUUUAUCUUUAUAAUUCAAGCAAAAUAAGCUUCAACAAUGAAGAUGCUUUAAAUUAAGGCUGUAAUGGUUAUCAAAUGCGAAGAAGUAGUUUGAUUAGUGGCAUAGAAAUUGUUUUGAGCUCAUUUUUAUUGUAGUUAUAUUAAAGAUGUAAUUGCAUGCUGAGGAUAGCUUGAAGUGUAUAGUUUGUUUGCUGUCAAAGUGGCCAAAUGUGAAUUUUUUUUUUUUUUUUUUGGUUACAAUCUAGAGCUUAUAUUAAUUAAUCUGUUCAGAACCUAAUCUUACAUGUUUUGAACAUUUACCAAUUCCUUCUCAUUGAACCAUUUUUCAUCCUUAUUUACAUGGACAUUGAGGCUGUGGUUAACGGAGAAAUGCUUAAAGUUUGGUCUGUAAUUUCUGAGCAGUACACUUUAAAGAAGUUGUGAGAGGACAUUAAAGAUAUUUUCAAUGUAAUCACUUUGAUUUGGCGCCAAAACAGACCCAGAAUUACUUACCAACAAUUCUUUAAUAUGUGUAAACAAUUUUUUUUUUUCAGCCUAGGGGUAUUUUGGUCAUUUUAUUAAGCAACAAUCCGGCAAACAAAUGGUCUACAGACGUCAGGGGAGGUGGUUGAAAAUAUGUCGAUACAAUCUAUCAAACUGAGAAUACGCUAAACCUCAGGGGAGGUUUUUGAUAAUUACCCAUGUGAGGGACCAUGCGGGCUAGAGGUGGCAAAAAUACCUGUCCGGUCCGGACUCAGAUCGUAUUCGGGCGUUGUAGGCUGGGUAUGAAGUCGGGUCGGUCUUGAACAUCACUUGAUAAACUUGAAACCCGGAUUUUAUUAAAAAAAUAUUAUAAAAUAUAUGUUAUUUUAAAUAUUUAUAUUUAUUUGACUCAUUUAUUAUACAUAUAUAAAGUUUUAAACACUUAAAGUUUAUAUUUUCAUGUCAAAUUUUAUUGAAAUAAAUUUAAAACUUAUAAAAUUACUAAAAAAUAAAAAAUAUAUACAUAUAAUAUUAAAAAAUAUAAAAUUCGGAUACCCGGAUUAAAACCCGGCCCGAAUCCGGAUCGAUUGCAUCCGGGCAAGGUCUGGUCAUUGCAAUAUCCGGACCCGGCCCGACGUUUUGCCAUCCCUAAUGCAGACUCCAACAUUGUGAUCAUUAUGAUCGGCAACAGGAUUAUUGUUUAAACUUGUUUUUAUUUAAUUUUUGUUAACAAUGUUAUAUUUGAAUUAUCCUCCUUAAUUGUUGUUGAGAUAUUAGAAUUAUUUUGUUAUUGUAAGAAAUAAUUCAAUGGGCCACUCCAAUUCAUAAUAAACCAAAAAUUUGUCAUAAUUCACACAAAUUAAAGCAUUGCAUUUGCAUAUAAAUUCAAUUAAUAUUAUUCACAAUCUUACUAGAUGAACAAAAAAAAGAAACAAAACAAAAAUUAUAUUAAAAAAUAGUUACUAAUAAUGGAAAAUAAAAUGGAUAUACGUUGCAAUUGAUGCACCAUAUUCAGUAUUCACACCCGUUACGUUUAAGAAAUAAAUUGAGUAAAUUUGAGACCCACAAAGUUGUCGACUUAAUUUGAGAUUAAGAUCAUGUUUGUAAUUGAAGUACUGUAUCUUUUAAGUUACAGUUGUUGUAGAAAAAAAUUAUAACGAUCAAAUAAAAAUUAAUAAUAUGUAGUAAAUAUAAAUUUUAAAAAAUAAUUUUGAUAAAAUUAUUAAAGAUAUAAUAAAUUUUUUAUUAUAUAAGUGAAAAAUCAUAUCAACAUACCUUCUAAGCUACACCAGUUAGUAUUUAUCAAAUAUUUUAAUGCUGUUACUUUCAAGGUACAACUGUCUCAUCUCAAUCUCAAACACACCCUCAGAUUCCCAUUAUGCUAGAAGAAUGUGAUUUAAAUGUUGAACAAACUUAAAGCGGGAAUUAAAAAGAAAAAAAAGAAACAAAGCAGCAUCUUGUGACCACCAUGACUAAAUUUCAUUUUCCUCGCAUUUUCAUCCCUACUAAGCUCCCAUCAAGAAUUUCAAAACCAACUGUCCAUCUUUGUCUUUCUCUUUUUUUAGUUAUGCGCCCCCCCCCCCCCCCCCCCCCCCCNNNNNNNNNNNNNNNNNNNNNNNNNNNNNNNNNNNNNNNNNNNNNNNNNNNNNNNNNNNNNNNNNNNNNNNNNNNNNNNNNNNNNNNNNNNNNNNNNNNNNNNNNNNNNNNNNNNNNNNNNNNNNNNNNNNNNNNNNNNNNNNNNNNNNNNNNNNNNNNNNNNNNNNNNNNNNNNNNNNNNNNNNNNNNNNNNNNNNNNNNNNNNNNNNNNNNNNNNNNNNNNNNNNNNNNNNNNNNNNNNNNNNNNNNNNNNNNNNNNNNNNNNNNNNNNNNNNNNNNNNNNNNNNNNNNNNNNNNNNNNNNNNNNNNNNNNNNNNNNNNNNNNNNNNNNNNNNNNNNNNNNNNNNNNNNNNNNNNNNNNNNNNNNNNNNNNNNNNNNNNNNNNNNNNNNNNNNNNNNNNNNNNNNNNNNNNNNNNNNNNNNNNNNNNNNNNNNNNNNNNNNNNNNNNNNNNNNNNNNNNNNNNNNNNNNNNNNNNNNNNNNNNNNNNNNNNNNNNNNNNNNNNNNNNNNNNNNNNNNNNNNNNNNNNNNNNNNNNNNNNNNNNNNNNNNNNNNNNNNNNNNNNNNNNNNNNNNNNNNNNNNNNNNNNNNNNNNNNNNNNNNNNNNNNNNNNNNNNNNNNNNNNNNNNNNNNNNNNNNNNNNNNNNNNNNNNNNNNNNNNNNNNNNNNNNNNNNNNNNNNNNNNNNNNNNNNNNNNNNNNNNNNNNNNNNNNNNNNNNNNNNNNNNNNNNNNNNNNNNNNNNNNNNNNNNNNNNNNNNNNNNNNNNNNNNNNNNNNNNNNNNNNNNNNNNNNNNNNNNNNNNNNNNNNNNNNNNNNNNNNNNNNNNNNNNNNNNNNNNNNNNNNNNNNNNNNNNNNNNNNNNNNNNNNNNNNNNNNNNNNNNNNNNNNNNNNNNNNNNNNNNNNNNNNNNNNNNNNNNNNNNNNNNNNNNNNNNNNNNNNNNNNNNNNNNNNNNNNNNNNNNNNNNNNNNNNNNNNNNNNNNNNNNNNNNNNNNNNNNNNNNNNNNNNNNNNNNNNNNNNNNNNNNNNNNNNNNNNNNNNNNNNNNNNNNNNNNNNNNNNNNNNNNNNNNNNNNNNNNNNNNNNNNNNNNNNNNNNNNNNNNNNNNNNNNNNNNNNNNNNNNNNNNNNNNNNNNNNNNNNNNNNNNNNNNNNNNNNNNNNNNNNNNNNNNNNNNNNNNNNNNNNNNNNNNNNNNNNNNNNNNNNNNNNNNNNNNNNNNNNNNNNNNNNNNNNNNNNNNNNNNNNNNNNNNNNNNNNNNNNNNNNNNNNNNNNNNNNNNNNNNNNNNNNNNNNNNNNNNNNNNNNNNNNNNNNNNNNNNNNNNNNNNNNNNNNNNNNNNNNNNNNNNNNNNNNNNNNNNNNNNNNNNNNNNNNNNNNNNNNNNNNNNNNNNNNNNNNNNNNNNNNNNNNNNNNNNNNNNNNNNNNNNNNNNNNNNNNNNNNNNNNNNNNNNNNNNNNNNNNNNNNNNNNNNNNNNNNNNNNNNNNNNNNNNNNNNNNNNNNNNNNNNNNNNNNNNNNNNNNNNNNNNNNNNNNNNNNNNNNNNNNNNNNNNNNNNNNNNNNNNNNNNNNNNNNNNNNNNNNNNNNNNNNNNNNNNNNNNNNNNNNNNNNNNNNNNNNNNNNNNNNNNNNNNNNNNNNNNNNNNNNNNNNNNNNNNNNNNNNNNNNNNNNNNNNNNNNNNNNNNNNNNNNNNNNNNNNNNNNNNNNNNNNNNNNNNNNNNNNNNNNNNNNNNNNNNNNNNNNNNNNNNNNNNNNNNNNNNNNNNNNNNNNNNNNNNNNNNNNNNNNNNNNNNNNNNNNNNNNNNNNGAAGAGAUUGUGUGUGUUUUUUUAGUGUGAUGAUGAUAAUGAUUAUCAUUGAUGUGGGUUUUGGGUUUGGCAAUAGCCGGGAAAGAUUUAAGCCUGCAAAAUCGGGAUUCUAACUUAAUGGGAAGGAUUCAGUCGUCGGAGAAACCAGAAAAGUUGAUGGCAGAGACAACCACCUGUAGAAUGGUGUCUCCUACAUUGACUUUUUUUAGUGAUCGGCUUCCAACCGCUUAAAUCAAUUCUAUUUUAUUAUUGUUAUGUUUACCUGGCAUAUAAUUAUUACCCAAUUAGUCAUAUCAUCGGCUGUAUGUUACGUUAAAUGUAACUCAGAGAGGUCCUCAUAACUAUAUGAAGUGGCAAAAAGUAUAAGAAAAAUAUGUUAUUAUUAAUAUUUUAUUUAUAUAAAAAUAUAUUUUUAUUUUUAAUAAUUAAUAUUUUAUUUAAAUUUCUAUUUAUAUGAUUUAUUUAAUUUAUAAUAAAUAUAAAUAAAAGUGAAUUUGAAAAUCAGAAUAAUAUUGUAAAAUUUUACUAUUGGGAUUAUUAUCUAUUAUGAAAAUAGUAGGAAGUAAGUGAAUUUUAGUAGUAGGAAAUUGGUAAUCCGAAAAUUUUGACAUUUAGUAUUUGAUAAUUUUUAAGGACAGUUAAAUAGGUUUAGUUAAAUUCUGACAGUAAAAAUAUUCAUUUUAUAUCACUUUAAAAAAGAAAUGUUUAUUAUGCCAAUAAAAUUGGAACAGGAUUCAAGACAUUUAUUAAUGUCAAAAACAUUUGACUAUAUUAACUAACUUAACUAAUUAUAUAUCGAAAGCUUUUUUUGUUUGGGAUAAAAUUAUGUAUAGAAAGCUAAAACUGAAGAAAAUGGUGAAGAAUAAAUAAUAUUUUAAAAUUUCGUAGUACUUGAAAUUCGUAAAAGUAAAAAAAAAAAAACAGCGAAAUUCUUUAGCUCUCGGCCCCACGCCUUCGUCUGUGGGGUGGUGUAGAAAAAGGAAAAGGAGAAAGCUUUAUCUCUCACAAUCAUUUGAAAUUCUACGAUCUCAGUUUCAAUGAAGACGAACAGUUUUGGUUUAAAUCUGGCUAUUCAUCAUGAAUUUUCAGGUUUAUUUUCAAUUAAUCUCACCAAAUUUGAUGGAUUUGUUCCUAAUGUCGUGAAUUUCGGCUCACUCUCUGACUCCCAUUGGAUCGAAGAAGCUUUCGCUUUCAUUUGAAAUUUUUUGAUCUCGAUCGGUUUCGAUACAAAUGAAGAGGGUUGGUUUUAAUCUCGCUUUUAUUCAAGAAUUUCAUGUUUGUAUCCGAUUAAUCUCACCAAAGUUGAUCUGUUUUUCCUCUAAUUUUUUGUUAGGGAUCUAAUUUAUGUCUCUUAAUUUAAAAAAUUACGGUUUGAGCCUUGAUUAUUUUGAUUAUUAAUCUUGUAGCCUUUGGAUACUGUCAAAGAGAGUGUAUUAGCUUUAAUGGUUUCUGUUUACUAAGCAAUACAAGAUUUGAGUUCUAAAAUGGUCAACUUUAUGUUUGGUUGAAACUAGAUGGGUUCUGUUUGUUAAGAUUAUAUGUUGAGUCAGAUUGCUGUGUAAGCUGCUGAAUCAGAUUGCCCUGCAAGCAGAGUGCUUAGUCAAUUGCCAAACUGGCAUGCUGUUAUGCAAAGUGAUAUUAGCUUUUUAAGUUUGUUAAAUUCCCGCCAAGAAUUUGUUGCAAUUAGUUAGUUUCCAGCUCAUGCUUUGCAUGCUGGAGAAGGGUCCAGACUAUGCUAUAAAUACCUCUGUAACAUUUAGAUUGUUUUUGAGCUUAAUAAGAAUCAUUUUUCAGUUUCUAGAUUUCUCUCCCGUUAAACAUUUUCCUUUACUUUCUUGUUAACCAAACAGAACAAAAUAUUUUAACUCUGCUUACUAACUUAUCUGUAUUAUCAUCUUUAUUAAUUCUUUAAGCUGUAUUAGGGUAUUAGAAACAGAGCUAGGAAAGAAAUCAGUACAUGCAUUCAUUAUUGCAAGCAAAUUAGUAACAUUUCAGGUAUGUUGACAGAAUAAUCAACACCCAGUUUAUAGUACAUACAUUUAUAUCACACUAUACUUUAAUGAACGAACAUUUUCUUCUUCUAAAUUUCGAAUAUUUGGUCCCAGAAUGGAGAACAAAUAGUGCAAGAAGGUGUAUUAAUUGCAUUGGUAUUCUAUAAAAUAUGCUUUGAUUAGAAGUUAUUUGUUAGAGAAACCCAUCUGACAGGAUGAUUUUUUUGUAGUAGCUGCUCAGAUGCAAACUUCCUUUUUUUUUUUCUCGGAAAAAAAAGGGGGAAGCAAAGUAUAUGUUAAAUUAAAAGAAAAGGUAUGUACAAAAGUGAACACUCUGUCACUCCUUAUAAUAUCAGCUUCUGCAUUUGAAUUUUUUUUUUUUAAUUUUUGGUGAAAAUAAUAUUUCUAGAUACAUAUAAUGCUCUUGCCUGUCCAUUCACCUAAUAUUUAACUAAUGCUGAAGAUUUAAUUAAUAGGCAAAAAGAAGGAGUCCGUCCCUGUAUUGAUUACCACAACAGCUGUUGGUUAUUGUGGAUGACUUGCCGGGAUUUUAAAAUAGUCGCAACAAAUAUAUAGAUUUCUUGCCAUUUAGAUUUUUAGACUUUUAAGAAUCAAAUAAAUAAUUAAUUAGCUGCAAGAAAAUUGCUUUAUCUGACUAAAUUCAUAUUAUUCUUGAAUUCAAAAAUCGUCAUAAAAAAUUUAAAAUUUCUUUCUCCCUAUCUUACUCUCAGUCUUGCUCAAUCCUUCGCCUCCCAGCAAAUUUAGAUGACUGUUUUAAAUAAUCCAUCAAAGUUGUUGUUUAUGCACAUGCACCAUCUAGUUGUUAUAGAUUUUUGUAGAUUCAUAUGAAGUGGAAGUGAUUCAAUUUUUUAUCUGUUUUCAUUAUUGAUGUGUAAUUACUAUUAGUAUGAUGAUUGAUUUGUGAUUUUAACUUAUGAUUCAGUUCUUGAUUUAGUUUGUACAAGUUUUAAUUGGAUCUAUCUUCAUGAGAUUGUAAUUCACAUGAAAUGACCUUUUUUUGGGGGGGGGGAUUUAGAUUUGAAUGCUAUUUAAGUUUUUUGAAAAAGAAUGAUUUAUAAUUCAAGUCUGAAUAUUUUGGGCCACGAUUUAAAUGAUUAAUUUUAUGUGUUAAGUGAAGUUGCAGAACCUAAUUGUGAUAGCUAAGUAUUGGGGUGAGAGUUUGGAUUAAAUUAUAAAUUUAAGUUGUAAUUUAUUCAUCAAGUGAAAAUCAUGCACCGGCAGAUUUCGUCAUUGAAUUGGAUAAUUAGAUAGGCAUUUGGUGUUUACUUGUAUAUGUGAGUAGGGCUGUUCUCUGUGUGCUGAAGUUGUUGCCUUGGUGAUGCAAGUUGAAACUAACAUGUUGUUGACUUUUUGCAUGUUAGAGUGGAAUCAGAAUUGCAAUUAAUUCAUUAAGAGAAACUUACGACCCACCAGGUUUUUUCAUUUAAUUAGAUAAUUAGAUCGGCAUUCAAUGUUUUCUUGGAAAUGAGAGUAAGACUGUUCUCCAUAUGUUGAAGUUAGUUAUGCCAGUCGAAACGAAUCUGUUCAAGCCUGAUGUUGAGUUUUGGCAAGUUAGAGUUGGGAUUUCAUUUCUUGAAAUCUUGAAUCAAAGCUGAGAAUUGGGGUUGAAAGUAAUUGCAGCUUUAGCCUGUUUGGACAUUGGGUGAUGGGACUGAGUGGCGGAUGUGAAAGAAAAGGAUGUCAACUUUGAGCUAGAGCUGAGUAUCCAUUUCACAUUUUGGGUUGUAGUUAACCUCUAUGUCUUGACUGUUUCCCACAUGAGAUAAAGCCCCCGACUUACAUCCCACCCAUGAUAUUUGAGUUUAUCAAGUUACCAUAUCUUAUACUUUUCCUGAAAAACAAGUAUAUGUGUUAAAUCAGGGUGAAAAAAUUAUUUACUGAGUUGUUAUGGGUGCAACUCAUGUUUUGAAACAUUUAAGAUUUUUAGCCAUUGUGUUACUAUCCUGUAGUUUGUUUAUGGUAAAAGAGACAGUCAAAAAAACAUAGUAUCUUAAUCACUUAUAAUAAUCCUAGAAGUGCACAUGGUGUAAAGUUAUUGUCAACUCAUACUAGUGUGUGAAAUUUAAAGAGGUCUUAGGGUUUUGUGAGUUUUGAAUUCAAGAAACAAAAUAAUAAUAUAGUGCAUAAUAUUUGAAAACUUUGCUUCAUCAUGUAUCAUGGAUUGAAUUGCUGUAAGAUCCGUCCAAAUUAAACUGUCUAAACUCAUUUACAGGCGUGGGGGAACAAAGAAAUUUUUUUUCUAGCAACUCCAGAGUCAAUUAAAAUUGGAAAUUUN
rnacentral:lncRNA from 1 species